rnacentral:lncRNA from 1 species
ACCCAAACUUUCUUAGCCUAAAAAUUUUUCACAUUCCCUGCCUUUCCACCUGUUUGACAUUGUCAAAGUCAAUGUUCUAAAAGAACUACUCCAAUUUUGUUUGAAGCAUCACCUAUCACUUGUGUCUUAUACCUUAACACCAUUUGUAAACCAAAAGCGGGUGGCUCAGAAUCUAAGAGCUUAAUCCAAAUAGGAAAUAGAUGGCACUUGUCUCCCUCAUAAGGUAUGCAUUAGUAAUCUUUUCGAGGGCUCAAUUUCAUACACUGGAAUCAAAUAGUUAUACAAAUCCAUAAGCUCUUUCCCAAAACCAUUUAAGUUCAAAAUAUAAAGAAGUCCAAAAGCAAAAUAAAAGUUUAUAUGGUCACCAACUUCUUUCAAGACACGUUAGGUAAGCAGAUGGCGCUUGAUCCUUGACAAGGCCUCAUGAGGGUUAUCAUAAGUUGGUUACACUGUAAGACUCCUCCAACCUCUCCGAUGCGAGAAUAGGUAGCUUCCUAUCAUCUUGUAAGACAAAAAAGGAAAUGGAACAGGAGAAAUUGAUUCCAACCAACGCUCAGUUGUGGUAUAAAUGGCAGCCGCUUCUUCUGGAGUAACAUCUAGCCCAUCUUUCAAAUAGUUGUGUUGUCUUUCCUACUCAGCUUUUAGCUAGAGGCGUGUCAACCUGCCUAAGUUACUAACCUGAGCAAACACAAUGAGUUCUGAGCAAGGCGUGGGAAGAAAAUGAACAGUUGUGAGGGUAAAAAAACAAUAGUCAAAAUGAUGACAUAGCAUGCACAAUUAGCUGCGGCUAUGAAAUUUAAUAUUUGAGUGGUUACAAUGAAAACAAUCUUUAAUGACGCAAAUUUGUUUUUUUAAGUAUAAUAUUGGUUGGAUAACCAAAUUAAAAUAGUAUUAAUCGAAUUAGUCAAAUUUUUUAAUUUUUUAACAGUUAACCGAAUCGAAAUAUUUCAAAAAAUUUAACCAAACCAAAAUAUUUUGAUUAAUUCGGUCGGUUAACAGAAUUAAUCAAAAUUUAUAUUUUUUUAUUAAAACAAGUAUAAAACUUAUAAAAAUAAAUAAAUUGAUAUGUCCAUUUGACCGAAUUAACCAAAUUAAAACUACAUAUAAUUUGUAUUAUUAAUUAUUAAGUUCAUUUAACUGGGUUAAUUACUCAAUUUCGAACCGAAUUAAUCGAUAAUCGAACUUCCAAAAAAACCAUUAACCUACCUCUAACUGAAUUAAAUCGAUUAACCAAAUUAAAUCGAUUCAAUCAAUUAAUUUUGUUUUAUCGAAAUUUGAACACCCCUACUAACCGCAGGCAAAACAGAUAGAGUUUGGAAUCAAUUAAUCACAAUUGAGACCGAUAAUAACCAAAACAAACAAAUAAAUUAUUUAAACUUUAACAAAUAUUUUAAAAUCUUACUUUUAUCUUUGUACCCCCUCCCCCCGCGUUAUUUAUUUUUUCACUCAAUUUUAAAAAUUAUCAUUUUAAACAUUAAUAUUUAAAUUUGUUUCCGUUUUGGUCACCUAUAAUUAAAUUAUAAUAAAAAGUCUUUUUUAAUUGAUAUAAUAACACAUUUAAUCCCUAAUAUUUAUUUAUUCUAUCAAUUUGAUCCUAAUUCUAAAUAAUUAAAUAAAUUUAACCCCUCACAUUUACAAAUUCUAUCAAUGUGAUCCUUCACUUCCUAACCAAAGCUUUCAGCUUUUAAAACAGAGUCAUUCCGCAUCCAUUAAUUAUUUUAUUUAUGAAUGAAAUGAUCCAAUUUGAUACAUAAUCCUUUUUGUUUAUAUUUUUAAGAAGUUCUUGUUAGAAAUUAACUAAACAUCAUUAAAAAUAAUAUAAUAUAUAAUAUAUAAUAAAAUUAUAUAAAUAAUUUAAUAUUUUUUAAAAAUAAAUUUUCACUUUGACUAGCAUAAUUUCAGUUUUUAAUUAAUUUGGUAAAUGGUUUUAUACUAAACCAGGUUAUUAAUGAUACAUAAAGCUUAUUAUGAAUUUAAAAUUUUUAAAAAUAAUUAAAAAUAAAUAGAAUACAUAAUAAUCUCUUAAUGAGUUCAUAAAAAUUAAAAAAAAAUCAUUAUCAAUGUUACAAAAAGAAAUUCAAUCAAUUCUUUCACAUUUGUUUUCUUACGAAAAAUUAAAUGUUAUAUAAUUAUUGAUUGAACAAUUGAAUUUUUCAAAACCAUAUUUUUUAACUUUGGAUUUAAUUUCCAACUUCAAAGAUUAACUUCAAGGAUUAUUUCUACGUACCUUGAAGGAAAUAUCAUACUACUAACAACAACAAUAAAUCUAAAGCAAUUUUCUAAGAUUUUUUCAUUUUCUUUAGUCAAAAUUUUAUCAAUCAAAGGAUUAUAAAACACUAUAUUAAAAAAAUAAUGAAAUAAAAAAAAUAAAGUUUCAAGAUAAACUUAUUAAUAUCAAGAAUUAGCUCUAAAAAAGGCUCCAUAAUUGAAAUAUAUAUAUAUACCUUAGAAUAUACUUUUGUUAAAUAAAUAAGAAUUUAUUAUUUCGUCACCUUGUAUGCGAAACUUUUACAUUGUAUUAAUGUCAGAAAUAAUAAUCUUUAUUUUUAUUCAUUGGGAUUAGUGAUUGAUUUGUUCAAACAUUGUAAUUAGUUCAGUAUGAUAUAAACUUGAAAACCCAAUUGGAAAAAGAAAGAAUUGUUACUGUUUUUUUCUCUCUUUUUUCUUCUUUUUUUUUUUUAAAUAUAGAUAAUUCCUUUUUAAUCUUCUUACAUGAUAUUGAAAAAAAUGAUAUGCUGAAUCCAUCUCUAUUAUACCAGCUAAAAGUUAUUGGAUCAAAGUCAAAUAAUAUCUAAAGCCCAAGAUUAAGUUGACUUUUACAAAGGACAUUUAGUAGUAUAUAAGAUAAACCCUCGUAGUUUUCGGUGUCUAGCAUAAUCACAGACAAUCACUUGCAAUACGUAGAUUGGCACCUCACGUAGAUCAUAUUGUUUCCCUUACAAUGUACCCUGUGUAGAGGAGAGGACCAUAUGCAACUCAUGCUUUGCGUCCAAGAUAGAUCAACUUUAUUGAGGUCCUAAGUAAGAUCAUCCCUUUUCCAGUCUUUCCCUCUUUUACCAUUACUCGCCUCAUCCUCGAUUAGAGUUGCACUAAACCAUUUUCUUCAGAAUCAUCACUAACUCAAGCUUCUAAGAGUGUUUUGAAAUCUACACUCUAGUACCUCUUAGCUUACCAUCUUCUUACAAUCUUCCUCCAUCAAUGAUGUCCACCAAGAUCUAGCUUAAUUCACCUUGAAGCUUAUCCUCCAUCAAUAAAGACAAACAUUUGUCGUCUAUAGGAACCUCAAGUAAAAUGCCAUGAAUCCUAUCAUAGAAGCAACCUCCACCUAUAUCUCCGCCUUAGUUUCUACCACUUCAAUCAUGGCAACCAUAAAUGCCUUUGGCACAACCCAAAACUCCUCUAUUAAGAACAACAUGCCCAAUGUAUCCAGCCAAGGCUUGAACAUUCCUAGUGUGAAGAAACCAGUUGUGAACAUUUUAAGUAUUCUCUCUACUGUGAACUUAGGUUUGCUCACUUUAACAACCUUGUCCUCUACAUUUGUUGGAGCCUUCGCCAUGCCCUUACUUUAGGGUUCUCCACCAAAGUAUUAUCCUUCUGGUCCAUAGGCUUCUUUGUUUUUUCAAACCUAAAAACCUCUCAACAGUUUGGCUCUUAUGAUAAGAGUAAAUAGUGUAUAUAAGUUUAGUUAAAAAAUAAGUAUUUCCUUAGCCCCAAAACAAUGUUCACUAUUCACUCGAUGACUGCAAGUGUACAAUAUCGUUGUCAAAUAAUAAUUAUAACAAAAUAAAUCCAUUAGAAAGUAUUUGAGGAUCGAACUCAUAAGAAAAUGUUACGGAUGACUUUAACUAAUUACUUGACUCACUAAUUAACUAAACUACUAAUAUAAAUAAGAAGAUAAUUAAAUAAUGCAAAUAUCAAUAAUAUGUAAAAAAUGAAAGUGCAAUAGGUGAAACAAUAAGAUAUCUUUUAUCUCUUUGGGUUAAAUCCGUUCACCCAAUGUGAUCCUAUUUAUCUCAUGAUAACAAUUACAUCUUCCUUCAUAAAAAAUUCAAUUACUAACACAUAGUAAUUAAAUCAUUCAUCCUAGAUAAAUAACUUAUGGCCAUGUUACUUUUCCAUCAACCAUGUAAUGCCUGUGAAAGGAUACCAUUUACCUUUUAUUGAGCUAUGAAUUUCACUAUUGUAAACAAAGCUAUAUCAUGUAGAAGUCAUAUACUCAACGUGCCAGUUUUCAGAUCUAUUACCAAUUGAACUCAGGUUUUUAAUACAUCAAAGUAUACGAGUCAUGCACACAUAGUCAGUCGUUUACUCAGGAUUGAGGUAAGCCACAUUAUGAAUGUCACAUGUGAACAAAUCCAUAAACAGAUCUUCAAUAAAUUCAACUUGGGUCUUUUUCGAUGUAUUUUCAAUCCAAACAAUCACACAUACAUCUCUAUCUUCUAGGAGUCAUUCGCUCCAAUACCAAAGACAAGGCAUCUUCCCAAUUGAAAUUGAUAGACAAUAUAAUAGUCUUUGAAUCGAUUUGCUCAUUUUGGAUCUUUCAACUACAAACUAUUUGGAUUACCUACCAAUAUAAAUUGUUUUCUUGCAUCAUGAUUCGACCACAUGACACAACUAAAUAUUAGCUAAGUAUUAAGUAAUUGGUAAGUGAUCUGUCAUAAUUUGAUAUGGAAAAUUAGGCUUUCUCGGUAUACUUAAGGAGCUUAUUCUCAAGCAAAUAAACAUCAUUUUUGUAGUUUUUCAUAAUUUUUAUAUUUUAAGUUAAUAAGCGCAAAAGUCUCAUUUUUACUCAUUUGUGACCCAAUUUGGCCGAUAGUUCCAUUGGGAGACUAACGUGUGGUUGAGUGGUGUAGGCACGUGUUGGAGGUUGAAAACGAGUGAAAAUAACACCAAAGGAAAGGGAAUCACGAUUCCAAACCUUUGAAUUGCGAUACCUCCAAUAGGCUUAAAGAUUGGAGACCACCCUUCAGUGGGAUUGCAAUAUCCAUUUUGGGUAUCGCGAUAUCCACCCUCAAAGAAGACCCCCAAGUUCGAAACUAAUUGGGAUAUUGCGAUAUCCUCUUUUAGGUAUAGCGACACUGAUAUCGUGAGGGGGAAAUUGGACAAAAAAGGGUAGUCUUUGUCCACCUGAUGUACUAAUCACACAAGGCUCGUGUAGGGGAAAUUUUGGCAACAAAAUUUCAUCAACAUUCAGCCUAAAAUAGCCAAUUUUGGCUGAGGAGGAAAAAGACACACAUUAGUUUAGUUUUUAGCUUUAGUUUCUCUAAGUUUUCUCUUAAUUUUUCUGGAACUUUUCUAGGGUUUUAUUUUUUCUUCUCAUUUCUUAGUUUUAGAUUUUUUUUUACACUUGCUUAUUGUUCUUAGUGUUCUAAGUGUUAGUUAAGUCAGUUAUCACUAUAGCUUAGGUUUACUUGCACUUUUAGUUUCUCUACCUUAGUUGUAAGACAUUUUUAGUUUAAGUUUAAUGUAUUUCAGUUUCAUUUACUUUAAAUCAGCUAAAGUUUGUUGCUUUAGAUUUUCUUAUUGAAAGCCUUUAGUUUCAUAUUUUUUUAAGUUCUCUUGCAUAAAAAUCUAAACUUUAAAUUUUUCUUAAGCUUUACUUUAAUGGUUUCUUUGCUUUCAUUUUCAUGUCCAUUAACUUUAUUUUCAGCAUGAGUAGCUAAACCUAAAAGGGGGUUUGUUGAUGGAGAUGUGGGUAAGUUUAUUUUUUUGGACAAUGGACUAAAUGUAACACCUCUAACCCGAAUCUGUCACCAGAACAGGGUUACGAAACAUUAUCAGAGUUUACAAAUCAAACAGAUAGAAAAUGCAAACAUUUCAUAUCAUAUAGCAUUCAUGUCAAAAACCAAUCAAAAUCAUACAUAUUGUCCCUUAUACGAGCCCUCGAGGCCCAAAUUACGCAUCAGAAACAAAUCGGGACUAAUUCGAAAAUAUAAAAAUUUUUUUGGAAACAUUUAAAAUAUUUCAAAGUUACAGGGGACACAUGAUCAUGUGGCCAAGCCAUGUGACUCACACAGUUAGGAGACACGCUCGUGUCUCAGACCGUGUGGACAUUCAUAAUAGGGACACACGGCCAUGUCCCAGCCCGUGUGAAUAUAUUGACUUGGGACACACGGCCAAGCCACACUCCCGUGUGCUAGGCCGUGUGAGCAAUUUGAGCAUACUGAGUUGUGCAAAUUAAAAGAUACAGGGGACACACGCGGCUGUGUCACAUGGCCGUGUGUCACAUACGGCUGAGACACACGCCCGUGUUUCUGUCUGUGUGGACAAAAAUAUGUCAUUUUUCAAGUCACAUUUCUCACCAAAUUUGACAUCAACCUAACUCAACAUUUUUACACAUCAACAAGCCACAACAAGUCAUUUAAAACAAGCCAAAAUCAUGUAUCAAACAUGACAUAUUACCACAUACAACCAGUGUGCCCUUAGGCACCUCAAAUGACAAUUUAAAGACAUGUCAAUCAAGUAUCUCAAUUUACUUAUUUGACCCAAUUCAUAUAUGCAUUUUCAAAACACAUUAAUCACACUUCAAACAUGAUAAAACCACUUAUGUAUAUACAUCAAAAUACCAAUACAAGUAAUUCAAAUAGCUAGUCUCAACAAAACAUUGAUAUGCCAUCAAUGGCCAAAAUAACCUAUACAUGCCAUUAUAACCGAAUUAAUUUUCUGAAAGUACCAAAAGAGCCGAUGGAUAGAGUGAAAUAGCUCCUACCAGCUUCCAACCCGUACAAGCUUCCGAAUUACUAUAAAACACGGAAAAUAACACAGAGCAAGCAUUUAAGCUUAGUAAGUUCGUAUAAUUAAGAAUUUAACUUACCAAUUAUUCACAUUUAAGGUAAACAUACAAGACAUAUUCAAACCAAUUUGGCCAAAAGCAUAAACACAUAACCUUAACAUGUUAGCCAUGUAAACACAUAUAAUAGCUUAUAAUCAUGGAUGAACAUAGUCAUUAAGCAAGUUCCACAUACAUGUAUGAACCAAAUCAUGUUCCAAUAUAUCAAGUAAUAUCAUUUCCAUGUAUACAUCGGUAAUAGUUUGUACUGAACUCAUUUUGUCUCAUAACAGAACAUUGCCCAUUGAACCUUUUGAAAUAUCGUUGGAUACACAGGUAGUACACACGAAGUGUACAAAACUGUAAUCCGUCAAUUCAUGUACAUGUAUGCUCAUAUGAGCAUGUAAACGGGAAGCUCUUCCGAGCUAUAUAACAGGAAGCUUAUGUGAGCUAAAAAACGGAAAGCUCAUGCGAGUUGUAUAUCGGGAAGCUCAUGCGAGCUAAAUAUCAGGAAGCUCAUGAGAGCUGUCGUGUGUCCGCAACACAUGCAGGACUACAACCAAAAUGGUAACCCUAAUGACAUGUCAUUUGUAUCUUCUGAAUUUCUAAGGUUCAAACGAGACUUAGUAAUUAUCGGAUAUGUGAUCGGUAAUUAUACAUGGAAAUUGUACAAAUCACACACAAUAAUAUUAAAUUUUAAAACAUAUAAAUGUACAAUUUAGUUACACGAACUUACCUCGACAAGUGUAUGUAGAUACGGAGGCUACUAAUUUGUUACUUUUCCUUUGCCUCGAUUUAACUCCGUACUAGGUCUAUCCGAAUCUAUAAGAAUGAAUUUGACUUAAUUCAAUAUCAUUCAUAUUCAAUUCAGUCCAACACACAUUUUUGACAAAAUUACUAUUUUGCCUCUAUACUUUUAAUUUAUUACAAUUUAGUCCCUAGGCUUGAAAAAUGAAAUUCAUACAAUUUAAUUCUUACUCAAGCCUAGCCGAUUUUUAUACAUAUUAAUAGUAGCCCAUGUAUUUCACAAAAUUGAAAAUUUUACCAUAAAUUUAUCAUCUUUUCAAUUUAGUCCCUAAUUGAUCAUUUCAUCAAAAUCCUCUUUACAAAAGUUGUUUAUCUAACAACAACCUUUCAUUUUCUAUCAUAAAACUUCAAAAUUCAAGCAUACUCAUCCAAUUAAAAAUCCUAAUACUUUAACGGUUUUGUAAAUUAAUCCCUGAGAUAGUUAGAUUAAGCUAUUACGAUCUCGGAAACAUAAAAAUUAUUAAAAAUGGGACAAAAAUACAUACCUAAAUAAGUAAAAAUGAGAUUGCUAACUUCAAGCUUCCAUGGCUAGGGUUUCCAUCUUUUUUUUAUUUGGUAAAAGAUGAUAUUAGAUUAUUUUAUUUAUUUAUCAUCAUUUAUUAUUUCUUUUUCCAAAAUUAACCUUAAUAAUUUAUUAAAUUUCUAAUGAUGAAUAAUCAUUCUUAUCCACUAACUACUCUAAAUGGUCUAUUUACUAUAUAAUGACCUCCAAUUUAAAAUUUCAUAGCUAUUUAAUACCUUUAGCUAUUAGAAUUCAAAUUUUGCACUUUAUGCAAUUUAGUCCUUUUUAUCAGAUUAGACAUGUAAACGGUAAAAUUUCUUAACGAAAUUUUUAUACGAUAUUUCUAUCAUACUAUAAACCAUAAAAUAAUAUUAAAAUAAAUUUUCUUCCAACCUCGAAUUUCUGGUCCCAAAAUCACUGUUCCGAUUUCACUGAAAACGGGCUGUUACAAAUGUAAUAAAUUAGUCUAAAUCGAAUAGACCUAAAAACUUAGGGAUUUAUGCCCCUAAGGGGAUAUCUAGACAAGUGAGACCGAGAGGUAAUCUUGUUGUGCACCAAUUUAUUAGUCCAGAGUAGCCGAUGAGAUCGAAAGAUAAACUAGAUUAAUUUGUCUAAGUUGGUAAAAUUAAGAUUGAGAGAUAAAAAUGAGCCACUUAGUAAUUUAAGCGAUUUAAGUCCCUCAUUCGAAGACCAACGAACCACAUCAAAUUCAACCAACCACUAUUAGUCAUUUAUUGGUUAAUCUCGUAGUUUUGUACUCUUUACAAUUUGGUCCCUAGAUUAGCAUAUUUAAUUUUCUUGCAAAAAUUUCUUAUUAUGAUUUGUCAUACUAUAAUAUCAUAACAGUAGCCGCCUAGACUUUGUAGUGCAUGCUAUUUAUCACUCAAUCGCCAUCUCCUUUGGGUUCGAUCCUUGGAAUACUCUAGUGUUCCAUUGUAACACUACAAAUAUUACGACUAACCUGUAUGCUUGUAGUAAAAUCACAAUUUAAAUUUGUUCUAUAAAAUUGUUUGUUUUUAUGCGCACACGGUUAGUGAGCCUAUAACAGCUCGUUUUUAGUGAAAUCGGAAUAGUGAUUUCAAGACCACAAAUUCGAAGUCCAAAAAAAUUAUUUUAUUAUUAUUUUAUGGUUUAAAGUAUGAUAGAAAUACUAUAUAAAAAUUUAGUUAAGAAAUUUUACUGUUUACAUGCCUAAUUUGAUAAAAAAUGACUAAAUUGCAUAAAGUGCAAAGGUUGUGUUCUAAUAGUUAAAGGUAUUAAAUAAGUAUGGAAUUUUAAAUUGGAGGUCAUUAUAUAUUAAUAGGCCAUUAAAGUUCUUAGUGGAUAAGUAUGAAUAGUCAUCAUUGGAAAUUGAAUGAAAUAUUAAGGUUAAUUUUGCAAAUUAGUGAUUAAAGUUAUAAUAAAUAAAAUAAAAUAAUCUAUUCUCAUCAUCAUCCACAAAAAAAAAAACACCUAGCCAUGGAAGCUUGAAAAUUUAGGCAAGCUUAUUUUUUUCAAUUAUGUAUGAAUCUUUGUCCUGUUUUUUAUGAUUUCUAUGUUUCUGAUAUCGUAGUAGCUUAAUCUAGCUAGUUCGGGGAUUAACUUGCAAAAUUGUUAAAGUAUUAGGGUUUUUCCAUUGAUGAAUAUGCUUGAAUUUUGAAGUUUGAUGAUAGAAAAUGAAUGGUUGUUGUUAGAUAAACAACUUUUGUAAAGAGAAUUUUGAUGAAAUUAUCAAUUAGAUAUUAAAUCGAAAAAGAUGAUAAAUAUAUGGUAUAAUUUGUGAAUUUUGUGAAAUAUAUGGGCUGAUAUUAAUAUGUAUAAAAUUGACUAGGCUUGAGUAAGGAUUAAAUUGUAUGAAUUUUAUUUUUCGAGCCUAGGACUAAAUUACAAAGGAAUUAAAAAGUGUAGGGCAAAAUGGUAAUUUUUCCAAAAUUCCAUGUUGGAUUAAAUUGAUUGAGAAUUAUAUUGAAAUGAGUUAAAUUUAUUCGUAUAGAUCCUGUCAAACGUCGUACAGAGUUAGAUCGAGGCUAAGAGAAUAUCUAAUUAGUCGCCUUCGUAUCUACGUACACUUGUCGAGGUAAGUUCGUGUAAUAAAAUUGUAUAUUUAUAUGUGUUAAAUUGAAUUAUUGUUUGUGAAUUAUAUAAUUUCCAUGAAUAAAUAUCGGUUGUAUAUUUGACAAUUACCAAGCUUUGUUUGAACCUUAGGAAUCCGUAGGAUACAAAUGACAAGUCAUUAGGGUCACCGAUUUCAGCUCUUAUGAACUUCCUGAUACUCAACUCUCAUGAGCUUCCUGUUAUUCAGCUCGUAUGAGCUUCCCAUUAUUCAGCUCACACGAGCUUCCCGUUAUUCAGCUCGGAAGAGCUUACCGUUUAUAGCUCGUAUGAGCAUACAUGUACAUGAAUUGACGAAUUACAGUUAAGUACACUUCAUGUGUACUACUCGUGUAUCUAACGAUAUUCUAAAUGGUUCAACGGACACAGUUCUGUUAUGAGAUUAUAUGAGUUUGAUAUGAACUAUUACUGGUAUUUACAUGAAAUACACGAAAUAUUAUUAUUUGAUGAAUUCAACCAUGUGUGUUGGAUCUUAUAUGUGAUUUUCAUGGCUAAUAUGUUGGUGAUCAUGUGUUUAGGCUUUUGGCCAAAUUGGUUGAGAUAUGCUUUGUUUACUUACCUAUUUUAUGGAGAUAUGGUAAGUUAAAUUCUGUGUUAUACGAACUUACUAAGCUUGAAUGCUUACUUUGUGUUAUUUUCCAUGUUUUAUAGUAAUUUGGAAGCUCGUACGGGUUGGAAACUGGUGUAACACCCCUAACCCACAUCCAUCGCCGGAAUAAAGUUUCGGAGCAUUACCGAUCAAACAAAUAUAAUUUUAAAACACAAUCAAACACAUCCAAAACAUGUCAUAACAAUAAUCCUAGGUGUCUAAUCAAUGUACCCUCAUAGGUACCACAAUUAUAUUAAUAAAACAUAUCAAUAGAACAUCAUUCAAAUCCAACUUGUAAACAUGCCAAAUAUAAUCUAUUUUACCUAUUUCAUGUUCAUUUAAACAUUAACUUAAACAUGCCAUAAUAUGACCUCAAACAUAAACACACACACACACACAUAUAUAUAUAUAACCAACCAAUAUUAACUUAUAAUCUUAUUUACAAUCAAUCCACAAAAUGACUAAUAAUUAGACACCUUAGGUACAUGCAGACACAAAAAGGAUAAACAUCACCACAUUUGAGUUCGAGACCGUUAUUGGAUGCUAAAUUGGUGAUCAAAAUUAAGUACCUAACCUGCGCACUGAAAAAAAAACCGUACGCUGAGUAAAACUCAGUGGUAUUUCUAUAAUCCGGAUAUAAAAAAAAUAUGAAUCACAAAUAUACAAUCUAAAUAUUUCAAUAAUCAUAUCACAUUUCAUUUGUUUCACAAUAUCUCAAUUCUCAUAUUUGCUAUAUAAAUAGUUUUUCACAAUAUAAUACACAUCAUUUAAACAAUAAUUUUGUUCAUUCCAUAUCCAAUUCAUGAAUGAACAAUUCAUGUGUCUCAAUCCAUAUUUCAAUUCACUGUCCCAUUUUCAUUUAACAUACAAUAUCAUCUAACAUCAAUCAUAAUGCAAUUUCGAUUAAUUACCCCUAUUAACACGACUCGGACUUGGACGAAUACACGGAUACAACCAAAACACACCAGUUUGGCACCCAGUGCCUCAUCGGAUAAUUCAAAGUAAUAAUUUGACACCAAGUGUCUCAUCGGCUAAACCGAAGUAAAUUGGCACCCAGUGCCUCAUCGAAUAUAUCCGAAGUAAUAAAUUGACACCCAGUGUCUCAUCGACUCGAUGUCGAAGAAAUCCCUGAAUUCUUCCAAUAUUAUGGCAUGCCAUCUAUAUCCUACUCAGCUCGAUACAGUUAAUAGGGUUUAAUCUCACAUUUCUGAUAUAAUUAAUAUCCAAUACUGAUUUUUCAUAUAAUCACAUAAUUACACAUAUAUUCAUUUCAAUUCAAAAAUCAAUCCAUUCAAUAUAUAUAUCUACUAAUUCAAUUCAUUCAAUCAAUUAUCAAAAUAUCAUUUACUCAUCUCAACACUUACCAUAUACAUGAAAUAAGAAUUAGAACAAUUAAUCACUAGCUUCGGAUUAUAGAAAUACAAAUCAGAAAUUCUGAGCUAUUCCUCGUCGACUUUAUCUUUCUCCUUUUUAGUCGAGAGUUCCGGUACGACGUUAGCUAUAGAAUUAAAAUAAUUAAAAUUUAUCAAUACAAUACAAUUUAGAUUUCAUAUUGAAUAUUUCAACUUUUUACUCAACAUUUUUCUAAAUUCCAAUUUAGUCCCUAAACUGAGACUAACUUUUAUUUUUCACAUUUAAUUCUUUAUUUUCAUGAAAAUUCCAUUUUAGACUAAAUUCAACUCCCUAUUUUCACAUAAAUUCCUAAAUUUAAAAAUUUUCACAAUUUAGUCCCUAUUACUCAAAAUUUACAAUUUAAUCUACAAUUUAAUCCUUUUUCAUUUCUAACUUAAAAAUCUAUCAAUUUAAUCCAUAAUACUCAAAUUAUUCAACAUAGUCAACAUUUAAAAACUCAAUAAUUUCUAAAAUUUCAACAUAGAUCGGGUAGUAUUGAAUAUCGGGAUUCUAAAAACUUAAAAAUUAUAUGAAAAGGGACUAAAUUGACUAGCCAAUUGAACUUGUAACCUUGAAACCCUAGUUUCUCAUUUCUUUCCUUUCUUUUCUCCUUGUUUUAUUUUCUGCUUUGUUCUUUCUAUUCUUUAUUUAUUUCAUUUACUUAUUUAUUUUAUUAUAUUUACUUUAUUAUUAUAUUAUAUAUAUUUGCUUAAAUAUUAAGUAAUACAUAUUUUAUUAAUAUAUACAUAUGUAUAGUAUUAUUACACAUGUAAUCACUAUUAUCAUCCACUUGUAGAAAUAAGGCUUAAUUUCUUAUUUAGUCAAUUUACUUUUUCUUUAAUCUAUAAUUCAACUUUUAUCUUUUAUGCAAUUUAGUUCUUAUACCUAAUUACUCUUAAUUCAUGCAAAUUCACCUAACCAAAACCUAAUUAACUACACAACUAACUUCGUAAAUAUUUGUAAUAAAUAUUUACGAGACACCCGUGAGUAUCGGGUCGUUACAACUUGUCGGAGCUAUUUCACACUAUCCAUCGGUCCUUUUCGUACUUUCAAUAAAUUAAUUCCGAUUAUAAUGACAUGUAUAGGUUAAUUUGAUCAAUGUUGGUAUAUAAUUGUUUUGUUGAGAUUAGCCACUUAUAUGGGUUGUGUUUGGUAUAUUUUGAUGCAUAUAUAUAUGCGGUCUUACCAUAUUUAAUGUGUGUUUAAUAUGGUAGAAUGAUGAAAAGUAAAAUGUGGUUUGAAUAUGCAUAUAUGUAUUUGGUCAUUUAGGUAAGUUUGGAUACUUGGUUGACAUGUUUUUAAGUUGUCAUUUGAGGUGCCUUAGAUGCGGCAUAUUGGUUGUAUGUGGCAAUAUUUCUUGUUUAAGACUUAUUUUUGGCUUGUUUUGAAUGUCUUAUUAUGGCUUGUUGAUGUGAAAAAAUGUUGAGUUAGGUUGGUGUCAAAUUGGGUGAGAAAUGUGGCUUGGAAAAUGGUAUAUUUUCUUCCACACGAGCAAAGACAGAAGUAUGUGUCUCAGCCGUGUGUGACACACGGCCGUGUGUCCCUUGUAUUUUUUAAAUUGCGCAAGUCAGUAUGUCCACCUAAGACAUGGACGUGUCUCUGAAUAAAGAUAUAAGGGACACACGGCCUCGAAAAGAAAAGUAAAGCGAAGAAAAUCUCAAUUCACUGUAUUCAUCAAAUCGUCGCCUGAACCCUAGUGGGUUCUAAGGUAUUCGGGGUGUCAGAGAUGAUUUCUGACGGUGACAGAAGGCGAAACGACAGGUAAAGUUCCUAUUUUUAUUUGUUAUUCUUUUUUUCCCUUAAGGAAUAAAGAAAAUAAAAAAAUGCUACCUCUUUUGUUCGAAAAUUGAUACUUUUUUUUGUAUUUUUUCGUGUAUGUCUAAAAAUACAUGGUAGCUGUUAUGGCUUUUAUAGUCGAUUUACAACACUGCAUGUUACUUUUUUUGUAUUUUCUUUACUGUUUCAACUGCUUUGCAUGUUUGCGUUCGUUGUCCUUGUUCUUCUUUUUUUGCAAAUGUCAUUGGAAAUUCAACGAUAGGGCAAGGAACCUGUCUUUGCCAUUUUUGUGAAACGGCGAUAGGGGCAGACCUCGGGACGAGAGGCUUUGGGUGACAUGCCUGCAAAGGGGGUGCGGCGUCAGGCUAGGGUUUUUUUACUGAAAUGUAGUUUAAGCUGUUGGGCCACCAGGCCCUUAGGUUUUUUCAUUUGGGUUUUUGAGCCUUGUAAAUGGACUAGCAUAUUUUAAUUGGACUUGGGUUUUAUUAUUUAUUUUUGGUUUUUAUUUUUUUUGCUUAUUUAUUUCUGAUUUUGGGCCAGAUAAAAUUGGGCCUUUACAGCUGCCCCUCUUUGUUCAUUAACGUGUAACGGGAAUGGAGCAAAGACCUUAAAAAGGGUCAAUUUUUCCUGGUCUUGUCGAAUCUUCAACUUCUUUGGUGUUUCUCUUUUCCAAAUAGACUCAUUCUAACCCACUGCAACUUCUGAGGUAAAGGAUUUUUCGCUUCAACUUGUUUCACUACAACUUCAGGGAGAUAAGAUUAGUAGCUUCAAUCUGCUCCAUUGCAACUUUAGAAAGAUGAGAUUCAGGGAGAUAAGAUUAGUAGCUUCAACUUGCUCCACUGUAACUUCAGGGGGAUAAGAUAAGUAACUUGCAGCUUUAAUCUGUUCCACUGCAAUUUAGGGAAAUAAGAUUCGUUGUCUUCAAUCUGCUCCACUACAACUUCAGGGAGAUAAGAUUUGCUAUGGCACAUUUAAUCCGACCCAUUGCAACUUCAGAGGUUUAGGAUUUAGUUUGAAUCUGCUCUGCUGGAACUUCAGGGAAAUACAAUUUGUAGCUUUAAUCUGCACCACUGUAACUUCAGGGUUAUAAGAUUUGCUAUUUUCAAUUUGCUCCACCGCAACUUCAGGGAAAUAAGAUUUUCUAUUUUCAAUCUGCUUCACUGCAACUUCAGGGAGAUAAGGUUUGUAACUUGUAGCUUUAAUCUUUUCCACGGCAACUUCAGGGAAAUAAGAUUCGAUAUCUUCAAUCUGCUCCACUACAACUUCAGGGAGAUGAGAUUUGUAGCUUCAAUCUGCUCCAUUGCAACUUCAAGGAGAUAAGAUUUGUAACUUGUAGCUUUAAUCUGUUCCACUACAACUUUUAGGAAAUAAGAUUUGCUAUCUAUAAUCUGUUCCACUGCAAGUUCAUGGAGAUAAGAUUCACUAUCUUCAAUCUGCUUCACUGCAACUUUAGAGAGAUAAGAUUUGCUAUAUUCAAUCUGAUCCACUGUAACUUCAGGGAAAUAAGAUUUUCUAUUUUCAAUCUGCUCUACUGUAACUUUAAGGAGAUAAGGUUUUCUAUCUUUAAUCUGCUCCACUGUAACUUCAGGGUGAUAAGAUUUUUUGUUUUAAUCUGCUCCUCUGUAACUUUAGAGAGAUAAGAUUUGUGGCUUUAAUCUGCUCCACUCCAACUUCAGGGAGAUAAGAUUCGCCACGAUGACUUCAAUCUGUCCCACUGUAACUUUAGGGGUAUAGAAUUUAUGGUUUCACUAAUCUGUUACACCGUUCUCUAAGGAACACGACCCGUAGAAUCCAUUUCGUGGGCCGAUAUUUACGCCAAGUAAUUAGGAUGUCAUGAUCAGAAUGAAUCAAAUGCUCCUAACUAGAUGUGUAUGAAUGAAUGUAAAAUGUUAUUUUUUUCGAGAAUGAUCCCCUUUUAAUGCUUAGGUUGACAUUGCUCAUUGUUAAUCAAUGUUCUAUCAUUGACGCAUUACCCUGCCUUCUUGUUCAGCUGGUAUCUUUGACAAAAAACCUGAGGAAAUAAUCACAAUUUAAACUAUUCAUUCCCAAACCUCUCAAACUCUUAGAUUUGGUUAGUUUUAACUAGUAGUCUUGUUUCAGAUCCUUGUACUAUUUAGAAAAAUUUCAGAGCAAUAUGCAAAAAAUCUUUUUACUUGAAUAUUAUUAGUUCAUUAAUCGUUAUUUCAAUGAAAAAUGCUUGAAAAAUACAAUAACAAUGGACAAGGUUGAAAGUUAUUAGGAGCAAAGCUCAAAAUGAAUAGAUUAAUCAAAAUAUCAAACAUUGCUAAAAUACAAAAUGAAUAAGAUGAAACUAGGUGCCCUAGAUAUCGUAGCAUGAGCUUUUUCGCACUAACUUCUCGAUAACCCUUUUGAGCCUGAUAUAUGUUUAGGAGAUCUAGAGUACUUCACUGAUGCCUUAAGAUGUAACGUUCUUCCCUCUGAGAAGACCCAACCGUCACAUGUUCAAACCAAAUUUGAGCUGCCCUUUCUUGGGUUUUCAACUCAAAACCCCUUUAGUCUCAAGGCACCCUUUGCAAGUUUUCGUCUUGACCUCCAAUCUUUGUUUUUAGGUGAAAUAUUUCUUGACUGAGUUCGAAUUGACAGGAUUAUUCAAGUUUUUACCAUCCAUCUCAAUCAAAAUCAGUGCUCAUCCAGAAAAGGCCUUCUUUACCACAUAAGGUCCUUCCCAAUUUGGCAUCAAUUUCCCUCUGAAAUCCUUUUGUAUAGGCUAGAUCUUUUUCAGUACUAGGUCCCCCUUAUGGAAUUUUUUUGGGUGAACAUUUUUAUCAUAAGCUCACAUCAUGCGCUUUUGGUACAUCAUACCAUGACAGAUAGCUUUCAUCCUCUUCUCCUCAAUCAAAUUCAGUUGAUCAUAUCAGGAUUGAAUCCAUUUUGCUUCAUCUAACUUCAACUCUGCUAAAACUUGGAGAGAAGGAAUCUCGACUUCAAUGGGCAAAAACGCAUCUAUUCCAUAAACCAAUUAGAAAGGCGUUAACCUGGUGGAGGUCCUGAAAGACGUUCGAUAAGCGUAAAGGGAAAACAGUAAUUUCUCAUGUCAAUCUUUAUAAGUCACAGUCAUUUUCCCCAUGAUCUUCUUAAUGUUCUUAUUGGUCGCCUCCGCACCAUUCAUUUUUGGGUGAUAUGGUGACGAGUUGUGGUGUUUGAUCUUGAAUUGACUACAGACCUCCGCUAUAGUGCUGUUGUUUAAGUUUAAUGUAUUAUUAGAUAUAAUCCUUUCUAGCAUCCUAUACCGACAUAUGAUCUCUUUCUUUAAAAAAAUGCUGACUGCCGAAUUCGUGACAUUGGCAUAAGAAGUGGUCUCUACCCACUUGGUGAAGUAAUCAAUGACUACAAAGAUGAAUCGAUGUCCAUUGGAUGCUUUUGGCGAGAUCGGCUUAAUGACAUCCAUGCCCCACAUAGAGAAAGACAAUAGAGAAGUCAUAACAUGAAGAGGUGAAAGACGUACAUGAAUUUUGUCUCUAUUAAUUUGACACUUAUGGCAUCUCUUUGCAUAACUAAUACAAUCCCCUUCCAUGGUGGACCAAUAAUACCUGAAUCUCAUGAUUUACUUGGCCAUUGGAAAACCAUUAGCAUGCAUUCCACAAAUGCCCUCAUAGACUUUUUCUAAAAUUUUCUUACCCUCAACAGCGUCCACACAUCUUAGUAGCACUUGAUCUUUUCUUUUUUUUUUUGUAUAGGAUCUCUCCAUCUAAAACAUAGUCACUGGCCUGUCUUCUCAACGUCCUUUUAUCAUUCUUAGUUGCUUGGUCAGGGUAUUCAUGAUUCUUCACAUAUCACAAUAUAUCAUGUUACUAAGGGUGAUCAUUAUUUUCUUAUUCGUCUUUGAUGUUGUAACAAUGAGCCGGAGUCUCAUAAAUGCUCAUUUGGAUAAGUUUUACAUCCUCUUAUUUGUUCACUUUGACCAUGGAAGCUAAUGUAGCCAGGGCAUCAGCCAUUUGAUUUUUAUCUCGCAGGAGGUAAUAGAAGGUGAUGUCAUCAAACUCUUCAAUUAGCUCAAGAACCAGCCUUCGAUAAUUGAUCAAUUUGGGGUCUCUCGUCUCCCAUUCACCUUUGAGUUGAUAGAUCACUGGUGCAGAAUCCUCAUAUACCUCUAGUACUUUGAUCUUACGUUCUAUGGCUGUACGAAUACCUAUGAUGCAUGAUUCAUAUUCUGGCAUAUUGUUUGUAUAAUCAAAAUCCAAUUUACUAGUAAAGGGAUAAUGAUUUCCGUUUGGGGAUACCAACACUGCCCUGAUUCCAUUACUUAUAACGUUUGACGCUCCAUCAAAAUUUAGUUUCCAAGGAUAUCCUUCCUUAGUAUCUUCUUCAAUGGUCGUAACAUACAUCAGAUCUUCGUUGGGGAAAUCAAAGUUCAAAGGCUCGUAAUCUUCUAGAGCUUUACUAGCUAAAAAAUCGGUUAUUUCACUCCCUUUUAUUGCCUUCUGGUUUAUAUAAAUUAUAUCAAGUUCAGAAAGUAGAAUUUUCCAUCGGGACAUUCUUCUAUGCAGAGCAAUCGACUCCAUCAUGUACUUUAGAGGGUCUAUUUUUUAUAUUAGCCAAGUUGUAUGGUACAGCAUGUAUUGUCUCAAUCUUCGGGUUAUCCAGAUUAAAGCAUAACACAACUUUUUGGUUGGCGAGUAUCUUGUUUCACAUUCAGUGAGCUUCUUGCUAACGUAGUAUAUCGCUCUUUCUUUCCUUCCUGACUCAUCGUGUUGGCCGUGCACGUAUCACAUUGAAUUCCCAAAUACUGCCAAGUACAAUAUCGGUGGCUUAUCUAGACUAGGUGGAAUCAGUACUGAGGCAUUAGACAGGGUAUGUUUGACCUUGUCAAAAUUUUUCUAGCAUUCUUCAUCCCAUACACUUGAAUUGUGUUUCUUAAUGAGACGGAAUAUGGGGCCACAUUUCUCAAUUAGUUGUGAAAUAAAUCGAGUGAUGUAAUUUAGUCUUCCUAGGAAACCUCGAACUUCUUUUUGAGUGUGCGGUAGAGGCAACUCCUGUAUAGCCUUAACUUUAUCUAGGUCAAUCUCGAUCCCCUUUUCACUGACUACAAAUCCUAGUAAUUUUUCCGACCUGGCCCUGAAGGUACAUUUUACUGGAUUGAGCUUCAGCUAGAAUUUUCUCAAUUUCAAGAACAAUUUCCUCAAGACUUGUACAUACUCUUUUUCUGUUCGAGACUUUGCAAUCAUAUCAUCAACAUAAACUUCAAGUUCCUUGUGCAUCAUAUCAUGAAACAAAGUUACCAUGGCUUUUUGAUAUGUUGUUCCCCUAUUUUUUAGUCCAAAUGGCAUAACUUUAUUACAAAAUAUUCCCCACAUGUAUCUUGAUCUGGUUGUAUCCGGAGAAGUCGUCUAUAAAUGAGAAAAGUGAAUAACCUGUCGUGUUGUCCACUAAGGUGUCGAUGUGAGACAGCGAGAAAUUGUAUUUCGAAAUGGCUUUGUUUAAAUCCCUGUAGUCUACACACAUUCAGACUUUCUCAUCUUUCUUAAGGACGGGAACUAUAUUAGCUACCCACUCUAAGUAUUUGACCACUUGUAGGAAACCAGCGUCAAAUUGUUUUUUAACCACUCCUUUAAUUUUUCCAAGACGUCGGGCUUCAUUCUUCGGAGUUUCUAUUGAACUGACUUGCACUCUUCCUUUAUAGGGUGUCAAAGUACCAUGAUAUUAGUACUUAUCUCGAGCAUAUCUUGAUACGACCUUGUGAAGACAUAUUUGAAUUCUUGGAGUAACUCAAUAAGGUCUCAUUUUGUCUCCACGGUGAUGCAAUUUCUGAUCCUCACCUCUUUCUCUUCUCCUAAACUCACAAUUUCUACUAACUCUUUGUAAGGUAGGAUUUGUUUCUCAUCUUGUUCUACCAUUCUUAACAAAUUAGGAGAUAGGUUACAAUCUCGAUCAUCUUUAAUGUCCUGAGGUUCCUUUGGACACAUAUCUUGCUCAAACGGAGAUUCUGAGUCAGUGCAGCGUCGCUCAUAUCAUUAAUAUCCGAAGACUUGUUAUAUGAAUGAAUGAAGACCCAAAGAACAAAUGAAUCUAAGAAUAAUUGUUUGUAUGGUAUGAGUAUGAAUGACAUUGAAGAAAUAAAAGAAUAUUUGCCAAAAUGAGACACAAAGAUGAAUUUUAUUGAAAUAAAGAUAUUGGACCUAUGCCUAUUUCACAAAAGGAUUCUUAUUGCUCUCAAGCUUAGAGCAAUAAGUGUGUUUUGAACAUUACUCUGAAUUAGUUCUAAAAAUUACAGGGAUCUCUUUCGCAGUUCAAUUGUUUAAAACACUUCCAGGGAUAUAAGGAUGAAUGUCUGACAGGUUUUCUUCCCCAAUUCUUUUUUUAGAUAUGACGUUGAUGCUCAGAUUUCCCAACAUUCCUUCCAAGCCUUUGACCUCUUCAAAGAAUGCCAACUAUUUGUUAUCCAUUAGAUUUUGCACUAAAGUUUUAAAUUUAGCGUAGUUUUGGAUUUCAUGAUCUUCUUCAUCGUGGAACUCACAGUAACUCCUCAUUUCCUUAGGUAACUCCUCUGAAUCUUGAACGGUUAAUCCUACGUUUAUCAUCUUUUUCCAAACCCAUUUUAGUGGGUUUUUUUACUUCCGCCACAUCAAUUUUGGUCAUCUUUCCUCUAUUCUCAAUUAUUGUGUUUACCCCUUGAUCUGAAUGACUAGGUAAAAAAUUUCCUGCCACUUUAAGUCUUGAUGGAUUAUCAAACCUUACGAUCCCCAUCUUGAUCAAAUUUUCAAUCAGCUUUUUGAAUGUGGCACAGUUCUCAAUUGAGUGUCCCGUUAUUCCUGCGUGGUACUCACAUUGAGCAUUCGUAUCGUACCAUUUUGGGAACGGAGGUUGUAUGGUUUUUAAGUAAAAUGGGGAUACCACGUGCGCAUUGAACAAGUUCUGAUAUAACUCACUAUAUGUCACAGAGAUGGGUAUGAACUUGAGUUUUUCUAUGUUUGGUUUUGAGUUGGAUUCUUGCCUCGAAGGGUCUUGGUGGCUAGUUGUCACGGUCAUUGGUUGGCCCACAGUAAUCGGUUUUGAAUAACCUUUAUUAUACAUGCUCACAAUAUUCACUUCAUUUUCCUUUUUCCUUGGGGCUGAUCUUUUAGCGUUUUCCCCUGCAUCUAUUUUUUCACUCCUUACUGCAUUUUCAAUCAUUUCUCUGAACAAUACUAUAUCUGAGAAGCUCUUGGUAACACUUCCCAAUAUAUGGUUAAUGAACGGGGCUUUAAGAGUAUUUAUGAAAAGCGUUGUCAUUUCUUUCUUUAGAAGAGGUGGCUGAACUUGCAUUGCCACCUCCCUUCAUUUCUAAGUGUACUGUCUGAAGUUUUCACUUUACUUCUUUUUCAUGUUUUGCACCAUAAUUUAGUCGGGUGUCAUGUCGGUCAAAUGGUUGUAUUGUUUCAUGAAAGCUUGUGCCAAAUCUUUCCAUGAACCGAUUUUGGCACGGCUUAGCUAGUUGUACCACUUGGUGGCUGACCCGAUCAAACUAUCCUGGAAGUAGUAGAUUAACAGUUGGUCGUUAUUGAUGUAUCCCGUCAUUUUUGGCAAAACAUUGUGAUAUGGGUUUCAGGACAACUAGUCUCAUUAUAUUUUUUGAAUUCUAGAGUUUUGAAUUUUGGUGGGAGCAUUAGAUCAUGGACUAAUCUCAACUCCUUAGCAUCAACCCCGUCAAGGUAAUCGACAUUCUCCAUAGCUCUGAAUUUCUCUUCCAACCGCUUGAACCGAUCUUCUAGUUGUUUUGGCAAUUCAAUUUUUGCCCUAUCCAUUUCAGCCAUGUCGUCCAAAUUGGGAACACUUGGGUUGGUCAGAUUAUCCUAGGGGUUGGAACUUGAACCAGUCGGGUAAUUAACCGGCGUUGAGGUACCGGCUUGAUAUGGUUGAAGUCUUAUGAUAACGAGUACCCUUCGUGGAUAUGUUUCUGGUUAGGCUUGAACAUUUAACAGGGUAAAGCAUGGGAGGUAGGUAGGGUCUUCAUUAUCAUCCCCCGAGUUAACUACAGUGCUUUUUCCUUUUUCGGUCCCUUCGGCCAGCAACUAUGUCAACUGGCUUAUCAUACUUCGUUGGGAUUCUUGUAUUUGAUCCCUCAUGUCUUACUAUACUUUAGCUAAUUGUUCCUGUAGUUGUGCUUGCAACUGAUCUUACAUGUCCUUUUGAAUUUUUUCUUAUCUCUCUAAUCUUUGAUCCAUUGCUUUGAUUUUGCCGCGAGUACCGUAACGAUGUUUAGUUGGUAGAUUCUUGUUGGUUUCCAAGGUAACUGUCAUAAUUUUGAUUAAUUAGGGUCUUUUUAUAAAAUUCAAUGCAUAUGAUGAAAUGUGUUGCUAUGAAUGAAAUGAAUGCAGAAAAACGUUGAUUCUAGUUCAAUUUCAUUAUAACAACUUUACUAGAAAAUAAGUUUCUUUACAUAAAGUAGAUACAUAUACGACCUCGCCUUCACAUUCAAAACCAUAACUUUCCCGAGACAAAAAGCUAAUUCUCGGCCUUGAUCCGACUCCGAUUCAUAUAUCAGGCUUUGAACAGUUGGGGUCUGUAAGUGGUCAGCCACUUCUCGUACUCAGACCAAAGCUUCGGUAAUAACAUGGUCCAUAUUUCUGAUCUGCCCCUUUCACAGGCUGUCACAUUUUUCUUGUUACCUUUUCUUGGGCCAUAUUCGCGCGAUCGUGUUGUCUUUCACUUUAUCAAAAAACCUCUUUUCCAUGACAAGCUCUCUAUUUAGUAAUCGAACACGAAUCAACACCCUUUUUUUAGAUGAAAAUGCAAUGCAAUCACAGCGAAAAUAAGAUUAAACAAGUUAGUACAUUUCAUAUAAAGUUAGAAUUUAAAUAAAGCAAGAAAUAAUACAUAGAGAACUUAUUCGGGUGACCACUAGAGGUUCGGUAUGGUUCUAUCUAGGGUAAGUUAUUAGGGCUCAUUACAUGUGGUUCGGUUCUAAAGUAAGGGUACCUGAAUCAACAGAUUCCUCGAUCCUCACCCAUUAUAGGCUCAUAUCGACCGAGUUCGGCAUAGGGGAAUACAUUUCUCUAUGGCUGUACGGAGAUGAAGAUCUCACGAAAACAUAGGUACGAAUGUAUACCGAAAGCGAUCCAUUAUCCUAUACAGAGGUGAAAACCUCACAAAGGAAUAACUUUUCACUCCCACUUAAGAAGGGCAAAAUCAAACGAUUAUGCAAUGCAACAUGCGGAAACAUACUAAGAGACUUGAACCAAUUAAAGCAAACAUAUCAUUAUGUAACAAAAUGAUGAAGACCACAAAAAUGAAGGAUGAAAUGCAAUGAAUGGGUCGUAAAUUUAAACUAAAUUAUCAAUUUUCGACAAAAAGACCAAAAGUAAUCAACUCGUGGCUUGACUCUCUUAUUUUGUCCCUAGUGGAGUCGCUAAGCUGUCGAAACCUUUUUCUUUUGAAAUCGACUUUAUUUAAAAACGAAAAUAGAAGUCGCCGCCAAUCUUUUUUAUCAGGUGUGAUUGGAUCACCUCGUAAUUUGAUCAUUUUAAUAAAAUUUUAGAUUUACUAAAACGAUGAUUUCUGAUAUACAAAAUCCAGGAGAUGGGUUCGGGAGCUGGUUACGUACGAUAAAGGAUUAACACCCUCGUUACGCCCAAAAUUGGUACCUAAUUGAUUACUUGAUAUUUUAAUGUCGAAAAUUCUAAAAUUUGAAGAGAACUUGAAACACGAUCCCUUUUUGCAUAAUUUUAUUAAGAUAAGAUUUAACUAAAUUAAAUUAAAUGGAAAAGGCCUUAUUUGAAGUUAAUCGAGAAGAAAGACCAUGCUCCGCGAGUUAGGACAUGAUACCUUGGAUUCUCGAAAAUCAAAAUAAUCGCCAUUUUUUUGCCUUUUCAGUCCUUUUUAAAAAAAAACCUAAAAACCAUAUUGAAGCCAAAUGUCCUCUAAAAUCGAAAAGAAAAGAGAAAUAAAGCGAAGAAAAUCUCGACCUUGCCACGUUCAUUGAAUCCUUACCCGAACCCUAGUGGGUUCUGAGGUAUUCGGGGUGUUGGAGAUGAUUUCUGACGGUGACAGAAGGUGAAACGACAGGUAAAUUUCCUAUUUUUAUUUGUUAUUCUUUUUGUUUCCCUUCAAAAAUAAAAAAAUAAAAAUAAAGUUCCACCUCUUUUUUUUUUUUAACUUGAUGCUUCUUUUUUUUGUAUAUUUUCGCGUGUGUCUAAAAACACAUGGUAGCUGUUAUGGCUUUUAUAGCCAAUUUACAACAUUGUAUGUUACUAUUCUUUUAUAUUUUCUUUAUUGUUUCCACUGCUUUGCGUGUUUGCAUUCGUUGUCCUUGUUCUUCCUUUUUUGUAGGUGUCCCUUGAAAGUCAACGACGGGGCAAGGAACUUACCUUGCCAUUUUGGUGAAAUGGUGACAGGGGCAGACCUCCGGACGAGAGGCUUCGGGCGACAUGCCUGCAAAGGUGGUGCGGCGCCAAGCUAGGGUUUUUUUACUGAAAAGCAGUUUAGAUUGUUUGGCCACCAAGCCCCUAGGUUUUUUCAUUUGGGUUUUUGGGCCUUGUAAAUGGAUUGGCAUAUUUUAACUGGACUUGGGUUUUAUUAUUUAUUUUUGGUUUUUAUUUUUUUGUUUAUUUAUUUCUGAUUUUGGGCUGGAUAAAAUUAGGCCUUUACAACGUGGUUAUAUAUAAUUGGGAUGCUCUAAGAGUCCUAAAGUUUAACUCAUGACUUCCCAUUUCUUUUGGGUUUGCUUUGAUUUUUGGUUUACAUUAUAAGAUAGUGAUCAAAUUUUAUUUUUGACCCCUAUACUAUCCUAUAACUUGAUAUUUGAUUUAUAUACUUUAAUUUUUUUUAUAAUUUGGUCCAUCUAUUUUUAUAAUGUCAUUAAUUGCUCUAAAUAGUUAAUAUUGUUAACUAUUUUAAUCAAAACGCUAACUUCAAUUUUUCUUAAGAAUACUAUUCCAAAAAAAAAUUAUCAUGACGAAUUUGAAUGAAUAUUUUUAAGAAAAAAUUCACAACAAUAUUUUCAAUGUUAUUUUUAUUGCAACAUAAAUAUCAAGUGAAUAUUUUUUUUAUUUAAAAUUUUAAACCAAUGAAUUUAAUAGAAAGAUUUUAAACCAAAAAAUUAUUUUAUCAUGAUGAAUUUGAAUAGUAAUUUUUAAGCAAAAAAAUUCACAAUAAUAUUUUUAUUGUUAUUUUUAUUAUUUCUUAAAUAUUAAAUAAAUAUUUUUAUUAUUUUAAAAUAUCACGUCCAUAAAUUUAAUAGAAAUAUUCUAACAAUAAUUUCCACUCUAAAUCUAAACUUUUAAAUCCAAACAGUAAAAAACCUAAAAUCUUAAAAAUAAUACUUAAAACCUAUUCAACCCGUUUAUAAUUUAUCACAAAAAAUGAGUAGACAAAGCUCCAUUUUAUACCAUUUGGAAGAACACAAAUAACAAAAAAAAAAGUUGUUACAAAAAUCUGGACGAAUAUGCAGAAAAUAAGAUUAAACCUUGGAGUUUAUCCAUUUAUAAAUGGCGCAACACUGACAGCCAUAAAAAGGGGAAUUAUAUAAUAUUAUAUGAAGAAAAGUGGAAAGGGAGUUUGGCGCUGCAAUGAUAAGCACAGUUUGUUUUGGGGAUGACAAAGAUAAGGUCUCUUUAUCUUUUCAAUUAUUCACUCAAUACUAUAUAUAGUGGCCAUGCAGAGAUACGAAGCAGAGCAGGGUAACUUACAAAAGUUGAACACAUGGACGGUCUCAAUAAUCAAAAUUUCAUGAUUCUUCUGCCCAUACCAACCAAUCAUUUUCUCUCUAAUUUUUAAUUUAAUUUAAUUCAAUUCAUGGAAUUUGGAAUAAAAUUAGAAAAAAGAACCAGAAAUGAGAUUUGUAUAAGAUGCUCUUUUGGUUGGCAAAACCCAAGCUCAUAGCUGUAUUUGUGCUUAUUUUAACUUAUAUUUGAAUUAUUUAUGAGUUUUGGGAAUCUCCAAAAUUGAUCGAACAUUCACUUCAUUUGGGAGAAGAACUAAAACACCAAUAAUACAUUGAUUCCAAAAAUAUGAUUAUUAGGAAUAUAAUAUUACUAUGUUUGCUAUAAUUAGAAAUGUACUAAUUAAAACUAUGAGAAAGUCAUAUUGAUAUAUUUGGUUUAUUUAGGACUUUACUAGUAACAUGAUGGUAAAUUUUGAAAUUAUAUGCAAAUUUUAAAAUAAAAAUAAAUUAAUAUAUGAUAAUUUUUUAAUUUAAUAUAUAUUUAAUUAUUAUAUAAUUUAAAAUUUAACUUGAUAGUAUUUGAAAUAAAUUUAGAGUUAAAUAAUUUUUAUGAUUUUGUAAAGGAAAAAUAUAUACAAAUAAAGAAAAUAAAGAAAAAAAAAAAGAGCAACUUUGUCUGGAUGUAACUUUCUAACUAUAUGGAAAAUUACCUUCCCAUUAUUACUUAAAGGAAUCACAUUUUCAUGGUUGGUCACUAGGACAUCAAACUUGGUGAACUCUAUUGGUAAGUGAUGUGAGCAUGGGUACGCAUUUAGGACCAAACAUGAAGGUUUCAUUACUUGGAGAUGUGUUUCAUGUACCUACAGGGCCAAUUACAAGGGUAAGGGCUAGAAAACUUAAGGAGACGCUCAAUGCUCUUAUAUAAGUCAUUUGGGCUGAGUUGGAACAAUUUUCAUUGCAUUUUCGAGUUAACAUGGAACAUCAACCUUGCAACGUUUUAUUCGUUGCUCAAGAAGUACUUUUGUUGACCAUACAUCUUCCAUGAAGACCUUUCAUCUCCAAAUCAGAAUUCAAGGAUUCAAGCAUUCAUGGACGAAUUUAAUAGAGGAAGAAUUAAUGAUUCAAGCAUUCAUUGGUCAGGUUUAAUGGGAGGAAUUCUAAAAGGCUCAUUCAAGCAUCUUAGGUGACCAUUCGAUUAACCAAAGUCCUUGAUAAUUACCACAAUUCAAGAUGGAAGCUGAACAUGACUUUUGGAAAACAAGUGAUUUUUCAGCAACCUUGUGACCUUUGGAGAGAUUCUAUUUUAAUGCAUUUAUGCACAUUAAGUAAUCGUUUAGUAACUCCCAUGCACAAUCAUUUCCACCAUCAGAAAAAGGGGGUUGAAUAUGAAUUUUGAAGUUAUUCUUUGUUUAUUAAGUCUACAUGUAAGGUUGGGAGUUAUGUGACUUUUCGUGUACUACAUGCAUUCAUGCAUAAUUAAGGCUUUAAACUUCAUGGAUGGGUUGACUAUUCAUAUACCUAGAAUAGUCUAUAAAUAGUUGCUCAUUUUGUAAUUUGAAGAUUGAUGAAUCAAAAUACAUUUUGUGAGAUUUUCACUUGAGAACUUAUCAAGGCUUUUUCCAUGUAGAGUUCCUCUUUCAUUUCUUAUACAUUCAGUUCUUGAUUAUUUAUAAAUAAUGGGUCGGUGUCUGUUCAAAACUAAUUCUUAUUUUCAACGGGUCACGUUCCAAUAACGUUGGUUCUUUUCUCGUACAAGUCAUUGAUUCAAGAUCCCUAUCUUAUUUAUUUAGUUAUCAAGUACCUGUUUAAAAACGGUCAGACAUUCAAGAGACAUGUAAUUAUAAAAUGAUUACGAGCUCACAUCAGUAAGUCUCUCUCCUCUAUUAAUGUUGUACAAAUGUAUGAAUGAGUUGAACGGGGGUCAACCAAUGCAUAAAAAAAUUAGUCAAAUAAGGGAAGUAUACCCUGAUGACAUAAGCACAAUCUAGAGCUCGGGACUCAGGUCUAGAUGUAGCCUCCUUGGUAAUCCUUUGACUACCAUUUAUCUUACUACUAACUCCAAAGUUUUUACCCCUCUGAGUUGUAGAACUAGGUUUUGCAAACUGAAUAGUAGUGCCCUCGAUCCUCUUUGGACAAUCUUUAUACUAGUUGUCUUGGGACCCACAUCGGAAGCAUGCCCCAAAAACAUUCAAACAAACUCCGAUGUGAUUCUUGUUGUAGUGAUCACAUGAUGGAAUUGAUGCUUUUCCCGAUCCACCAGUAUUAGCUAUCGAAAUAGUUUAUUGGUUUUGUCUACCUUGUUUCUUGCCUCUAUGCCCAUGAGAUCAUGUAGGAGAAAAGAAACGGUCUCGUGAUUCUCUAUCUCUCUUGGUUGAUAAUGGUGAAAAUGAACAAAGGUGAAGCCAGGGGUUGGCAGUAGCCUUGGCUUCCUUAAAAAUGAAAAAAAAUUAAUUUAGUCCCUUUAAAAUUAUUAAAAUUACAAGUAAAUCUAUUGUGAAAUUAUACUUUGACCCCUAAAAAUAUGAAAAAGAAAUUUUUGUUUAGUCUCUUUAAAAGUAAAAGAAUUAUAUAUUAAUAUAUGAUAAAAUUUCAUUUUGAAUUUUCAAGUAUUUUAUAAUUCGGUUCGCCCCCUAAAAAAAUUUUUAGCUUCACCUCCUGCAAUGAAUUCAUAGUCAUUCUCUUUCCAUGAUUUUUUUAUUCACCUUUUUCUUCUUAGCAACCAUUUUCUCCAUUUUCUAAGCUCUUUCAGAUAAUAACAAAAACUCACUUAUCUUAAGAGUCCCUACAAGUAGCUUGAUGUCUUCAUUAAGGCAUCACUUGACCCUUGUACAGAUUUCCACCUUAGUUGCCGCAAGCUCAUUUUCAUAAUAACAUAAUUAACUAGAUUAUAGAAGGUAACUCAUUAAGGCUUACUCAAACCUUAUACACAUUUCCUUGAUGUCUCCAUUUUUUAACCUUGUACACAUUAAGGCCCCACUCGAACCUUGUACACAUGUCUUCAGACAAAAGAACUCUCUCUUUCAUACUCAACAACUAUCAUACUGUCUUGCUUCAAAUAAAGAGACUCUCUCUUCUUCUCUUCCAAGUAUAACAGAUUGAUGUACUUCAUCCAGUAUUCAGUUAGAAAAAAGUUCCAGUUCACCCUCUUGAUAAGAGUUACACUUAUCGCUGUAACUUACCAUUGAUUGGCCCUAUUAUUCAAAAGACAGAUGGCACACCACAACUUUUCUUCGGAUGUGCAUUGGAGUUCCUUAAAAACUCUUUAGACAUUCUUUAAUCAAUAUUCUGCCACAAAUAAAUCAUUAAUUUUCUUGCCCCUGAGCUCUUCAACCCCAUACUUUCGAAGAUUAUCUAAAGAAAAAAGAAAUGUGAAAAUCAUUCAAGUGCAUGAAUAAACACACAUUCAAGCUCAUAAAUUAUAAUGGAAAAUCAAUAAACCAAUUAGUUAUAGUGCAUGCAUGCACCUCAAAGAUUUAAUCAUUCAACCAUGGCCCCAAGGACAACCAAAAAAUAAUCUUUAAAUUAUAUCCUCUAACAAAAUAGUAAUAACAUCCAACUUCAAUGUCCCCAAUUAAUAUGAAACUAAUAUAUAUAUAUACAAUAUGAAUAAACCCCUAAGUACAUGCCAUUAAAAAGCCACUUCUACAUGUAUUUAAGUUUCACGCUCUUCAAUGCCUUAGAAUAGUGAUAUGAUCCAAAGAGUUGAGUUGGCUUUACGAUCUCUACUCAAAAUCUAUACACAAGAAUAUAGUGGUGUGUUAUGUAUAAAUGAUUUAGUAAAAACUCAUGGAAAUGAACUCACUUACCUUCUUACCAAGUGUGAGACUUGAGUAAUAGAAGUAAAUUAAUUAAUAUAACAUUAAUAAGUGAUACAAUUAGUCAAGCAUACUUAGUCAUAUGCACACACACGCGCACGCACGCACGCACACGCACACGCACACAUUAGAGUUCUAAUCAUACUGAAAUAUCCCUGGAAUAAUCAGAGUCCAACUAAGAGAAGUAGUCCUGCUUGAAGUAUAAAAUGUGGCUGCCAAAUAGGAGAACACGCUGUGACAUGGCAUAUCGCCUCAUCACGACAUUGUCUAUGCUUUGUCGUUUCAACAUUGUCGCAUCGUCUCGACGCCCUGAUGCUUCUCGUCGUGAUGUUAGACCUAUUUUGGGCCUUCUUCGAUUGCUUGUCAAAACAUCUUUCAAAGUACCUUCAAAACAUCCGAUAAAUGCAAGGCACACCCAACAAAUCUCCACUUUGACACGUAUUUAUCACGUCUCCUUUUCCAUGCCCUAUCACAGGCCUAACUCGAAUUUGGAAAAAUAUCAAACAAGCUCAAGUAGUCUCGAACUUGUAAAUUGAAUGACUCAUAGUCUUCAAAUCAAAGUUGUAUAACACAACAAGGGACAAUUACACUUGAAUAGAAGAAAAAAGCAUCAACUCUCUUCACCUGACUAUAACCUUCUGCGACCAACCUUGCCUUAAACAUUCAGUGAACCAUUCAAGUCCAAAAGACCAAAAGGAGGUUAGGUUCUUCUCUAAAUCAGGAACAUGCCUGACAUCUGACACAACUCCACCUUCAACCAGAUUAUAUGGAGAGCAACGAAUCAUUACCCUUGUCCUCAGCCAUAUUAGCUAUCUCCGUAAUUAUCCGGAAUUGCCAGAAACUAAAAUUUGUGAUCUGUCAAACUUCUCGAUAUCCAAAAUCAUUGUUGCGUCACCGAACGAGUCGAUCUGCAGAAGUUAAACCUUGGUUCUGAUACCAAUUUGUUGGGGAUCGACCUAUAUAAACAACGAGCUAGUAAAUGUAGAGAAGAUCAAACACAUAUAUUUUACAUGGAAAACCCUCCGAAGAGGAUAAAAAAAACCACGAGUAAAGGAGGCUUCGACUUUUUACUAAAUUAGUAAACAAACGAGAGUAUAAUAUAGAGAAAAUAAACCUAAAAGUAUUAAAUGUACAAUCCCAAACCUCAAAAACAAAGUCCUAAUUCAGGAACAAAUUUCUCUCCAUAGUUACCAUGGAACUCUCACCAAAACUCAUAUAUGACUACAUCUUGUCGCCCUCAAGAAAAACCCUUGCUGAUUGGUAUCUCAAAACAUGGAUACAAUAACCCUUUUAAAUAUGCUAAGAUUAGAGUUCUAAUCAUACUAAAAUAUCCAUAGAAUAAUCAGAGUCCAACUAGGAGAAGUAGUCUUGCUUGAAGUCUAAAAUGCGACUGCCAAAUAAGAGAAAACAUCGUGAUGUGGCAUAUUGCCUGGUCGCGACACUGUCUCUGCUUUGUCGUUUCAACGUUGUCACGCCGUCCCGACGUCCCAGUGCUCCUCUUCGUGACGUUAAGUCUAUUUUGCGCCUUCUUUGAUUGCUCAUCAAAACGUCUUUCUAAGUGCCUGCAAAACAUCUGAUAAAUGCGAGGCACAUCCCAUAGUUUCUUAUAGGCUUUCACUACAAGUAAGAGGAAAAUCCACUUUGUUAACUAGGAUACUAUGUGUAAGCUGAAGGAGAUAUGGGGUUUAGAUCCAUGUGUGACUAGAAUUUAAUUCUUUGUGCAAAACUUGGAUGGAGAUUAUUGACUAAAAAAGAUAAAUUAUGGGCAAGUAUUAUAUGGUAAAUACCUUAACAAUACCAACUUACUCGAUGCUCCAAGAAAUGGUGGUAGUGAAGAUGGUUAGAGAAGUAUCCUUGCAGGCAAAUAUAUCCUUGAUAAAGGGUUAUGUUGGAGGGUGGGCGAUGUAAGUCUAAUUAGAUUACAAACUAACAACUGGAUGUCUGAUAGAAAUAUAGUUCAUAAAUGCAUCCAAAAUCCUUCACAGGAGUAGUUGCAAUUGUUCAGUAAGGAGUAUAGGGAGCAGGAGGUUGAAACUAUUAGGCUUUAUCACCUUUUUUUCUAGAGGAAAUUAUUGGAAAAAAGAACAUGGUAUUUCCUUUCUUGAUGAAUUACUGUGCUAAUGAUGAAUUUAUUUUGGGGGAAACUUCUAAUGGCAUCUUUUUAAUUAAGUCAGCUUAUGAGAUUCAAGUGAAUAGAAAAAGAUUUGCUUAGCUUGAUGGCAAAGCUAAUAUGGAAAGUUCUUUAACAUUCGAAGAUCCAAACUUCUAUUUGGUUAACUUGGAAAAGUAGAAUUACGAGUAAUUCAAAUAGAAAGAUAAGGUAACUUAUCAUGAUUGAUUCGUGGGAAAAUAUUGUGUGAUCUAUUUUUUCCUUAAAUUAUGGAACAUUAACUAUGCUUAAUUUGAGUAGUAUUGAUGGCAUAGAUUGAAGUACAUAAUUUUUAUAUACUUAGGUUGAAGUUUCAUCAUGCACAAUUGUUAUGUGUAGAUCUUCAAUUCCACUAUAUACUAUUGCUAUGUGUUAAUUUUAGUUUAAUAUGUUUAUAUUUUUUAUUGAUUUUGAUUAUGCUUUAUUAUGGAUAUAUUUAUAAACUCUAAAAUAACUAUACCCAAUUUAGUUUAUAAAAAAACAAAGCUGAAAUUGGGAAAUAAAAAUACAAGAUAAAUUUCAUUUUGAGGAUGGUACAACUUUUGCUUUAUUACCUUAUUUUUGUUUGAUUAGUUGUCUUUAUUUUGGGCAUAAUUUCUUUGCUUUUUUUUUUUUUUCAAAUUUAUAAACCCAAUAAUUGUGGGAUCAAUCAUAAAAAUUCACCAUGGAUCUCAAUCCAAUUCACUUUAAGUAAAAAUCCAAUUAUUUAUUAAUAAAAAGAAACCUAUUCACUUUAACAUAAUUCACUCCAAUUAUUAAUAAUAAUAAAAACGAAUAGACCAAAAUGACAUGACAAUAUACAAUAAUUUUCUGGAUGAUGAGUAAAACAAAGUUUUUAUAUAUAUUUCGAAACAUUGAAACGUUAAAUUAAUGGUGAAAAUUAUUUUUUAUGGACAAAUUAUAAAAAAAGUUACUCAAUUAUACCUUUCGUUUUAUUUUGGCCACCUAAUUAUUAAUUUUUUCGAUUUAAUCACUAAAUUUUUCGAAAUUAAAUAUUUUAAUUGCUUUGAGUUGAUGUGGGCUUUUCUUUAUUAGUCUAGUAACAAAUUUAACCCUCUAAUGUUUACAUAUUCUAUCAAAUUGAUCCUAAAUAUAAAAACUUCAAUAAAUUUAGUCCUCAAUGUUUACAAAUUUUGUCAUUUUAGUUGUAAUUCUAAAAAAAUUCAAUAAAUUUGGCCCUUAGUAUUUACAAAAUUUUUCAAUUUAGUCCUAACUCUAAAAUUUAAAAAAAUAUUUAAAAAUGUUUUCAUUUUUAGUCCUUUAUAACCCAACUCACCCAUGUGAGAUAUUAAAAUAAGAAAAGAAAAACCCCUUUUUCAAGUCACUUGCAACAAUUUCUUAUACUAUAAUUUAGGCUUCACAUUGGACCAAACCAAUUGAUUUGGAACCUAUCUAGAAUAACUGGUUGCAUUACUACUCAAAUAGGUAACGUUUUUAAUGCCAUUGUUUUUUGUCGGAUCUUAAAUUUUUGUGUUUUGUCCCAACUUUUUAGAGUUAUUUUGUAAGUGACUUGAAAGAGGGUACUCUUUUUCUUAUUUUAAUAUCUCACAUGGAUUAGUCAAUAGGUUAUAAAAGGCUAAAAAUGAUUUUUUAAAAAUUUCUUUUUUAAUUUUUAGAGUUAGGACUAAAUUGACAGGUUUUGUAAAUGUUAAUGGCCAAAAUUAUUGAAUUUUUAAAAAAUUAGAACUAAAAUGAUAAAUUUUGUAAACGUUGAGGGUUAAAUUUGUUGAAUUUUUUAUAUUCAGGAUCAAAUUGAUAGAAUUUGUAAAUAUUAGAAGGCUAAAUUUGUUAUUAAACUAAUAAAAAAGAGCUCACAUCGGCCUAAUGUAACUAAAAUAUUUAAUUUCGAAAAGUUUAAUGACUAAAUCAAAAAAAUUAAUAGUUGAUGACUAUUUUUAUAGUUUACUCAUAAAAAAAUAAUUUUCCGUAUGAAUUUGACAUUCCAAAUCCAUUUAACAAAUAAAUUUUAAUAGAAGGACUAAUUGACACGUUUCAAAAUGUAUAAAGAUUAAUUACUCAAUUUUUCGGUAAAAGGGCCGAAAUACAAUCCAGACAUAAAUACAAGAACUACCCUAGUACUUUCACUCAUCAUCCCAACAAUUAUUCAGAAAGAGGUGAAGGAAUCAUGGCGUAUGAAUAAGAAGAAUAAAACAACAUGAGGAAUAGUUAAAAACUUUAGAAAAUUGUAGAAAUUGCUGCUGUUGGGAGGAGAAUAGGGAUGGGAUGGGAUGGGAUGGGAUGGCAGUGAAUCAUGUGUUCCUAAUCUAUGUAAAAUUUGAGUUUAUUUAUUAUUAUUCAUAUUACAUUAAAUUAAAAAUACAAAAGAUUCAUAUAAUGAAUAUUUGAAUAUCACAAAUGUCUGAAUUGACCUUAUCUAUCGUCAUUCUUAGCUGAGUAAGAAGAAAUAUGAUCUUGAAUGGAAAAAUGUUACUUGUUUGACUAUCGGAGCCAGCGCAAUUUCCGAGAGUCAUUUCCAAAAACAGGAAAAGUUUUUGACAAUGGAGGGGUGAUGAUGAGUCAGCAAUGGAAGUGGAUAAAGCCCCGUUAGUGAUGGGACGAAACCAAGUAAGAACACGUGGCCUGAUGGGAGAGGUGGGCCCGAGGAAGCGACGAAACAUCGCCGUUUGAAAGGUGCCCCAGACAUUUUGCAACUAUUUAUCGGUUGUGAUGGAUAUUUGAAAACACAACAACGUGUUUGCCUUCCCCCUUUUACACUCCCCCACUCUUUCCUCUCCUCUUUACUUCCCCCUUCACAUAUAUCUUCCUUUUCAUCUUCUUCCUCUUUCUUUUUCUUCAAAUACUGCCCUCUAAUUUUCUCUACUUCUUGUUAAAAAGAAAGGUGUUUUGGGAGUGUUUAAUUAUUGAAACAAAAUGUGUGGGAUUUUAGCUGUUUUGGGUUGUUCUGAUGAUUCUCAGGCAAAAAGGGUUCGAGUGCUGGAACUUUCCCGCAGGCAAUUCAUCUUUCUUUUUUCUUUUUUGCUAAUUUUGAUGUUUGUGUCUUUAAAAUGGUUGCAUAACAUUUCUCCAAUAGGUUUAGACAAUGACAAAGUGUUUUUAUGGUUUGUUGCUGUCAAAGAUCAGCGAAAAAAAAAGACAGGGUUCGCGUGAAAUUUAACAACCUUAAAACUUGGUCUUGAAUUCUUGGUCAUCUUUAAGCUAUAUCGGGUGUUUUGAAGCAGAGAUACUCUGCAACUUGAGAACGAUAUAAAGGGACAUAAGCAAAAAAAAGUGGCAGAGUCCAUGUUUCAAGAUGCUAGUUCAAGCAGCUCAUGAACAUAAAAGACUAAUAAAUUGAAUUGAAUUUAUUGGUUAAUGAGUUAGUGAUUGUCCACGUUGAUGAUGGUUUACCAACAGGCUCAAGCACCGUGGUCCUGACUGGAGUGGCCUCUACCAACAUGGAGACUGUUAUUUGGCCCAUCAACGCCUCGCCAUCAUUGAUCCUGCUUCUGGUGACCAACCUCUCUUUAAUGAAGACAAGUCUGUUGUUGUCACUGUAAGUCUCUCUCUCUUUGCUUCUUUUUAUUUAAUAUUUCUCCAGUUCCACCCUAUGGCCACUCAUUUAACUUUUUCAACACUUGAGGACUGCCUAAUUGGUCAAUUCUGUGCUGAAAACUAGGUGAAUGGAGAGAUUUACAACCAUGAAGAACUGAGGAAGAAGUUGGCCAACCACAAGUUCAGGACUGGCAGUGACUGUGAUGUUAUUGCCCAUCUGGUGAGUCUCCAUGGAUAGAGCUAAUUUUUUUGGUCUGAAGUUUCUAUUUUGUUUUGUGAAUGAUUGCCUAAUAAGUACUUGACCUAUAUGAUAGUAUGAGGAGUAUGGUGAAGACUUUGUGGAUAUGUUGGAUGGAAUCUUCUCAUUUGUGCUGCUGGAUACCCGUGACAACAGCUUCAUCGUUGCACGCGAUGCUAUCGGUGUCACCUCCCUCUAUAUUGGCUGGGGACUUGAUGGUAUUAAAUCUAGGUUUUUUUUUCUCAGUUGCAAGUAAUUUGGGUUGAAACUGGUUUUUGCUAAUUUAAUUUCUACUUCUUAUAACCAGGUUCGGUUUGGAUAUCGUCGGAAUUGAAAGGGUUGAAUGAUGACUGUGAACACUUUGAAAGCUUUCCCCCUGGUCACUUGUACUCUAGCAAAUCAGGAGGAUUUAGAAGGUGGUACAAUCCACCUUGGUUCUCUGAGGCCAUUCCAUCGGUUCCAUAUGAUCCCCUAGUACUUAGACGUGCCUUUGAAAAUGUAAAACUGAUUACUUGCCGCCCAAGAAGCACUUUAUGCUUUUGGACUAAAGAAAUAAAUAUAUUUUUUCUGUAGUUUUGGCUUACGGGUUGUAUCAAAUAUGUUUACUGGCGGUGACCAAAAGACUGAUGACUGAUGUGCCUUUCGGAGUUUUGCUAUCUGGAGGACUUGAUUCAUCAUUGGUUGCUUCUAUCACUGCUCGGUAUUUAGCUGGUACCAAGGCUGCCAAACAUUGGGGAGCUCAGCUCCAUUAUUUCUGCGUUGGCCUAGAGGUAAGUUGUAAAGUAUAAGGAUGAACCCUUAAAGCUCUAGAGGAUUUGAAUGAUUCUUAAAACUUGAUUGUCAAUUUCUCUGCAGGGUUCACCAGAUUUGAAGGCAGCAAGGGAGGUUGCAGACUAUCUGGGAACAGUCCAUCAUGAAUUUCAUUUCACUGUUCAAGUAUUGACUCGACAUUUUUGUAGCAGUUUCUAUUCAAGAAUUUAGGGUUUAAUAAACCUGUAACAAGCUAGACUGCUCUCUAAUGUGGCAGGACGGAAUCGAUGCCAUUGAAGAUGUCAUCUACCACAUCGAAACAUAUGAUGUCACCACGAUCAGGGCAAGCACUCCUAUGUUCCUGAUGUCAAGAAAGAUCAAGUCACUAGGUGUGAAGAUGGUUAUUUCUGGUGAAGGCUCCGAUGAGAUAUUUGGUGGAUACCUGUACUUCCACAAGGCACCAAAUAAGGAUGAAUUCCACCGGGAGACAUGCCGCAAGGUAAUAGAUCAUCUUAUUCAGCACUUCACUUAUGAGUAGGGGAGUUGGAACAUAAGGAUAUUAACGAAAACUGGUCUGUUCUGAUACCUUUUUAUGCAGAUCAAGGCCCUUCACCAAUAUGAUUGCCUGAGAGCUAACAAAGCAACAUCCGCAUGGGGAUUAGAGGCACGAGUCCCCUUCUUAGACAAAGAAUUUAUCAAUGUUGCCAUGUCUAUAGACCCUGAAGCGAAGAUGGUAUGUAAACAAGCAUCUUUUUUCUUAUUGUUCCUGGAAUUGCUUGGUUUAUUCAUUCAUGGUUGAGAUUUACAGACUUAUGACAAAUAGUUCUUUGUUUAUGAAUCAGAUAAAAAAUGAUGAAGGACGCAUCGAGAAGUGGGUUCUAAGAAGGGCAUUUGAUGACGAAGAACAUCCCUAUCUGCCAAAGGUCUUCUAACUUCAUUUCUUGUUUUUCAUUGUCAACUAUGAAGCUAAACUAACAUGUCCUAUAUGAUGCCCUGCAGCAUAUCCUCUACAGACAAAAAGAACAGUUCAGUGAUGGUGUUGGUUAUAGUUGGAUCGAUGGUCUCAAAGCCCAUACUGCCCGACAUGUAAAAUAUCUUUCUUAAGUGGGUUCUGUUAUAUGCGUUUGCUUAGUUUAUUGUUUAUAAUUUAACAAUUACAAUCUUUCAGGUGACCGAUAAGAUGAUGUCCAAUGCUUCAUUCAUAUUUCCUCACAACACACCAACUACAAAAGAAGCAUAUUACUACAGAAUGAUUUUCGAGAGGUUCUUCCCUCAGGUGAUUUUCUGAAUCUCGUAGUUUGAAUACGUUUACACUUCUAACUUUUUGUCAGCAGCAUUAAUUGCUAAAGUGACCAUCUUCCUUUGCUUGGUUUACCAGAACUCAGCUAGAUUGACUGUCCCUGGAGGAGCUAGUGUGGCAUGCAGAUCUGCUAAAGCUGUUGAGUGGGACACUGCCUGGAAAUACAACCUCGACCCUUCAGGCCGGGCUGAUUUGGGGGUUCAUCUCUCUGCUUACGACGCAGAGACUCCUCUCAGCAACAAGCCAUCCAAGGUUAUUGAUGGUAUACCACGGAUGAUGGCCUUUCCUGGAGUUGCCAUACAGAGUUAAUGCCUGCCUACUGGAAGACAACAGAAUGUAUGAAUUAUUUAAUAAAAUGAGUAGGAUCAAACUUCCGAAUGUGUUGGUGUAUAAUAUAGGCGAUGUUUACGAGUACUAAGAGAUACAGUGAUCGUCGGAUCAUCUUUGGUUGUCAUCAACCUGUUGUUUCUUUAAGCUAAGUGUGCAUUCAAUAUUUUUGUAGUGGAAGUUAAUUAUGAAUGAGAAUCUUCCCUUUUUUUGGUUUAAUGUGCAAAAAGCUUAAGUUCUUCCACUUUACAAAAAUCUUGCCCUCAAAAGGACUGUAAUGUUAGAUAACUUGGAACUAGGCAGUAAUUUGAGAUGAAACAUGUUGUCUUCUAGUUUAAUCGAGCAUUGAAUCAGUCUAAAUCUUGAAGAUAAUAUCAUAUUUGACUUGAAAGAACUAUAUAAUUAUAUCAUUUAUUAAGACACAAUAUUAGUACGGUAAAGUGCAGUUUCUGCACCCUCUGCAAGCCUAUAAUCAAAAUUAGUAACUAAUUAUAAAAUGAAUUAAAAGCACAUACAACUUAGUAGAACAAGACAGUAUAAAAGAGUUGAUUCCAAGUAUCAGGCAAUCCAAGGAGGCACCAAUCGCUACAUGAUAAGCUGUAAAAGGAACAUAUUUUAAUCUUAUUUUUAAUGCCUUUUUGAAUGAUUAAUGAUGUAAAUUAGUGAAUAUGAUGCUCCUAAUCCUUUACAUUCAUGUUUCUAUACUUAGAAUAGCUUUUGGGAGCGAAAGUGUAACACCCUAAACUCGGUCUAGACAUUAUGGCCGAAUCUAGUAAUGUUACGAAGAAGGGUUUUAAGAAUAAUGUCAUUUCGUCCAAGCUUUGUAAAGUGGUUCGAUAAAUCAUCCAAGUUUUAUGACUAUUAUUAAAAAUGUUAUUUAAUUAAACCAUUUGCCAAAACAUUGUUUACAACGGAAGUUUCAGAAACCGUUUAUAUUUUAGAAAUUCAGUUCGUAUUUUUGGAAAAACCUUUGUUUUCAUAAAACCGUGAUUUUAGUCAAAUGUCGUAAAUAAGGUUAAAGCACAUCCAAAACCAGAAUAAAAAUCUAACAGUCUAGAGAGUCCAAAAAUUACAAAACUCUCAGAAAAAUAAUACUUAAAAUAAAUAAAACCAAUAUUAAAAACAGUUCACAUCUUGUGGUCACCAUGAGGCUCCAUCGCACCGAUCAGCCUAAGUCUGUGGAUUGCCUGAACAGAACAGACAAACAAAAGUGAGUUUUCAUAAACUCAUGUGUAACCCAACAGAAAAAGACAUGCAAUACAUACAGAAAUCUCAAAUACAGUCAGAUACAGAAUCAAACUUAGGUCCAUUUCAGAUAAAGAUAAGAGAAUCAGAUAAAUAGGUCAGAUAUACAGAAUCCUACCUCUAUCCUCUACAGACCAACUUCGACCAUCCCAUCACACCAUGUAAGGUUAAAAACACCCACCCAUCCUUAUACACCAUGUAGUGCUGAUACGACACAUCAUAGAUAAUAUGCAGCCGAGUUGCCAGAAUAUAAGCGAAAGGUCACCGUACAAAUCACUUUCUCCACAUAUACAAUUCCCACCUCAAACAUAUAUACAGAAUGCAAAUACAAAAAUAUCAUGCUUAACAUGCUAGUAUAAAGAUAACAUAUAUAUUUAACAGAAUAAUCAAACAUGCAUAACGGUGUCCUUCUCAGAGCAGAUUAUCAAAAUAUCAGAUCACAUAACUUAGGGUUUGGUUAGCCCUUAUCGACCCUACGAUAGACCCACAGUUGAUUGAAACAACCCGUGCGACCCUAGGGAAAAUUUUAGAAUUAUAGACUCACAUGUCCGUGUGGCUCGCCGUGUAGCCUACACGGCCUGGCCCAAUACCCAUACCCCCAAUAUAGCCUAGCCCGUGUGUCCCACACGGCCAUAUUCACGCCAUCACACGGUUGUGCACUACGCACGGCCGUGCUUUAGUUAGACACACGGCCGUGUCUCGCACGCGGCCAACUACACGGCCAGGCACACGCCCGUGUGACGUCGACAGAAAGCUUUUUCAGCUUUUGUCGAAACCCAAUUUUUUGCGUUUUAGGAACACACCUGGUAUGGUUUUGAUGCUAAACCACUCCCGAGCCAACCUGCACCUAAAAUCGAUACAACACAACUUCUAAAAUCAGUCUAAACUUACAAUUCAACCAAACUAACGGAACUGAUAACGGUAAAACUCAAGUGUACAACGCUUACCCAAAUUCCUGAACGACUCUGACUAUGAUUCUGCGAGAAGAGAGUCUCGUUCUUCACGAUUCGCUGCUACCAAAAACAUAAUUUCAAUACCAACGGAAAACAACAUCGUUCAAAAUAGAUUUAAAGGAAAAAUCUUUCUAACUCGAGCAAAGCAUUCUAUCACCACUUACCAACUCACAAGAACACCGAAAAGUCGAAAUACCGAAAUUGAGCAAUUAAAUUGACAGCAAAAAGAAAAACGUAGAGAAAAGAGGAAAACCAACGUCAAAAUUUUAAAAGAAAGAAAGAGAACCGAAAUUUUUUUGAAAAAUAAAAAUAAAAUUAGAUAACCCCCAAAAUCCAAACUCCCCAUUAUCAUCUCAACCACAACUACUUACUCACUCAGACUCUCAAUCCCAUCCAAACUCUCUCCGCCAACAGAAGCAAAAAUUAAUACCCACGCUCACAUAGGAAUUUGAACACAAGACCUCCAAGACACCAACUCCUUACCCAUCGAUCCAGCAAGCUCAUUCUAAUAUGGAUUAACAAACAAUUCUAUAUAAACCCACACAACAAGGAUAAGGCUAGGAUUAGAAAAAUAACAAAAUUGCCAGAAGUGAGACUUGAACCCAAGACCUCACACACACAUCCAAAACACUUAACUACUGAAGUAGAUACACAUUUAUGUUAGGUACUUAUAGAAACAUAAGUAAAUUAUUCAGGACGUUACAGAAAGGAGCAAAAAAGGAGCCAAAAUCAGACGAAUAGAGUUGUUUCUAGAAUCCACACAGCCUAAAUAUUUCUACACAGGCUGGCCAAACGCCCGUGUGAGCCACACGGGCUGGCCACACGCCCGUGUGAGCCACACGGGCUGGCCACACGCCCGUGUGCCAGCCCGUGCAAAUAUCGCACCCUGCUUCCCAAAUAUGCUGAAAAACCUAAUUUUUAGGCUUUCUGAGCAUUCUGAAGUCUAUAAAUACCAAUUAAAAGAAGACCUAGGGGGCACUCAGAGAAGAUAAAAAAAAUACUCGAAGAACGCCAUUGAAAUAAACUCGGAAGCGGAUUUCCCUCAAGAUCGAAGAUCUCCAUUUAAUUUCUUUCGAAGUUUUAUUGAGUUUCUUUUUGUCUUAUGGUUAUCCUAACUUUGAGAUGUUUCUAUUCAGGAUUAUGAACUAAAUUCUCUAGAUACCUAGGGAGGAUGAAACCUAUGAUGAACCUUAUUGUUUAAUUUAUGUUUUUACGAAAUAAAUACUUGAUUCUUGUUCUCAAUUAUGUAUGCUUAUUUUGUAUUUUAAUAUUUUUAGGAUAUUAAUUCAUGUUUAAUAUGCUUAUUUCAGUAGAGCAAAAGUUCAUGUUUAAGAGUAGAUCUAGCGUAAUUGAUUGGAGUUGCAUGCAAUCCUAGAAAUAGGACAACAUAAAUCUAUCGGAUUAGAGUCAAAUCUAAUAAGGGAAUCCAUAGAUUGAGUUAAUGUGAUGAUAGGGGUUUUAAUUAGAAAGAGAUUUCAAAAAAUCAACCUAGAUUCAGUUGUUCUUACUCUCGAAAGAGAUAUUAACAUAAUUUAGAGAUUUCUAUAGAUCAAGACACAAGUGAAUAAAUCGUUUAAUUUAGAUAUAGAGUAAUAGGUGAAGUCUAGGUGAACUCUUUCCAGGGUAUUGUCUAUCUCAUUGGUUAUCUUUGAUUAUUUUCCUAUUCCAUUUCUGUUGUGUUCUUAGUUAAAUUAGAUUAGUAAAUUUAGAUUAAAAACAAUCACUCCAAUUUGUCAGCUAAAUAAUAGAAAAACGUUAAUUACUAGUACUUUUAGUCCUUGUGGAUACGAUAUUCCCUACUCACCAUAACUAUACUAUUGUUCGAUAGGUGCACUUGCCAUAGUCGUAUUUAUAGUUAGUUUAGUGACCAUCAAGUUUUUGGUGCCGUUGCCGGGGACUAAAAUAGUAUGAACACUUGAUUUUUAUUAAUUCAAACAUUUUUAUUUUUGUUUUUAUUUUUAUUUUUAUUUUUUGCAUUCUAAUUUUUCUUUUCUUUUAUUUGCUUCUGGUAAGUUCUUUUAGUUUAUGACUAGAAGAGACCCGUUGGGACCAUUAUUAAUUGACAGUGAGAUUGAAAGUACAGCUCGCAGAAAUCAUAGAGAAGCAAGGCAGAGUCGAUAGAGUAUAGUAGACGAGCAAGAGGACAUUAUUAUUAUUACUGAGGAGAUGGGUGAUAAUCAAAAUAAUCAGCUACCUCCUGCAGUUGCUGCAAAUCCAAAUCAUGUUCAUCAUACUAUGUACAAUUAUGCCAAGCCCACUCUAAUUGGGGAUGAAUCGAGUAUUGUGAGACCCACCAUUACUGCGAAUAAUUUUGAACUAAAGCCGAACACUAUUUAGAUGGUACAAUAAUUCGUUCAAUUCGAUGGUUUGCAAGACGAAAAUCUAAAUACUCAUUUGGCUAAUUUUCUGGAAGUCUGCGAUACUUUCAAGAUAAAUGGCGUUUUUGACGACGCCAUUCGCCUACGGUUAUUUCCUUUCUCAUUGAGGAACAAAACUAAAAAGUGGUUGAAUUUUUUACCACGAGGCUCUAUCACUACAUUGGAUUAAAUGAUCGAGAAAUUCCUACCGAAGUACUUUCUACCGGCUAAGACAGCUAAGUUGAGGAAUGAUAUCUCUUCCUUCGUUCAGAUUGACUUAAAGACCCUAUAUGAUGCAUGAGAGAGGUAUAAGGACUUAUUGAGAUGCGCCCUCACCAUGGGUUACCCCUAUGGCUUCAGGUUCAAACCUUCUACAACGGUUUGAAUCCCUCAACUAAGCAGUUAAUCGAUGCAGCAGCCGGUGGUACUCUGAACAAUAAAGCACCUGAAGUGACUUAUGAGUUUAUAGAGGAGAUGUCACUGAAUAAUUAUUAGUGGCAAGUCAUAAGGAGGGUUUUUUUACAGAAAUAGAUUAAAAAAAAUUAAUACUGAAAUAGGUUAUCAGAUAGAUAAUUUACGAAAAUGGCUUUUUUUUAAUGGAGCCUAUCUGACAGGCGCCAAUGAAUAUUUUAUAUUAAUUUUUUUGUUUGAACAAAAUAUUAUUUUUUUAUUUUUAUUAAAAAUAUUUAAAUAUAAAUAUGGGUCAAAAUACGGUCAACGAGUCAAAGUACGGAUAGAAAAUGAGUUUUCGGGUGGCACAUGUCAGAUAGGCGCCACUAAUUGGGCCUCAUAGGGAGGCGCCAAUAACCAUGGCAACAUUGCUGCCUACUGCCUAUCGCUGCAACACCAGCAUGGUGUUGUCCCUUCAACACUACCAUUUUGUGGCCUAUAAGUAUGGUCCCAAUAUGGUCCCCAAACCCCUUGCAUGAACGGUAGAGAGAAAGGAGAAGAAGAAGAAGAAAGAAACAAAGAAAGAAAGAAAGAAAGAAAAAAGGUAAUGUAUUAUUUUAGUAAAUAAUUUUGUUUAUAAUUUAAAGAGUUUAAUUAAGAUAUUGUGAUUUUUUUGUUAUUAAUUAUUAAUUAUAAAUUAUUUAUGUUUAGUGUUUAUAGUUUUGGAUUAGUAUUUUGUAUGAAUAUUGUAAUUUUUUUCUUUUUAUAAUUAUUUUAAAAUUAAUUUAUUAGUAAUUUAGGAUUAUGUUAUAAAUUUGUGUUUGUAAUUAUUUUAAAAUUAAUUUAUUAGUAAUUUAGGAUUAAGUUAUAAAUUAUUGUGUUUAGUUUAGUAUUUGGUGAGUUUAACAUAUAAGUUUAUAAAAAAAUUAAAAAUCAUUUUAUUAAAAGUUUAAUUAUAACUGACUCUUUUAAUCAUAUAGUUGUUGUUAACUCAUUUAAAUUUUAUAUAAUAUGAACAUAGUUGCUGUUAAGUCAUUUAUUUUUUUUAUAUCAACUUGGGGUCUUUUACCCCAAUAUAUUAAAGAAAAUUAAAUACCGAAAUAGGUUUCAGAUAGAUUAAUUAUCGAAAUGGUUUGUUUUUUGUAAUCGUGCCUAUCUGACUAGCGCGAAUCAAUUUUAAAAAAAAAUUUAAUCGCGCCUAUCUGACAGACGCGAAAAAAUAUUUGUUUUAAUCGCGCCUAUCUAACAGGCACGAAUCAAUUUUUUAUAUUAAAAAUAUUUUUUGUUUAAAUAAAAUAUUAAUUUUUUAUUUUUAUUAAAAAUAUUCAAAUAUAUAUAUAUACAGGUAAAAAUACGGUCAACGGGUAAAAAAUGGGUCGCGCCUGUCAGAUAGGAUUAAGUUAUAAAUUGUUGUGUUUAGUUUAGUAUUUGGUGAGUUUAACAUAUAAGUUUAUAAAAAAAUUAAAAAUCAUUUCAUUAAAAGUUUAAUUAUAACUGACUCUUUUAAUCAUAUAGUUGAUGUUAACUCAUUUAAUUUUUAUAUAAUGUAAUUUUUAAAUAAUGUAAUUUUAUUUGAUUUUUUGAAACAAAUUAAAUGAAUUCAUUUUUUUAAUUACAGAUUUAUAGGCAAUGGGUUCUUUGAUUAAUAAUAAUAAUCACAUAUCAAGUACUAUUAAUGAGAUGGUAAUAAAAUUUUUAUUUGAUACUCAUAUUAUUUGCUGAAUUAAAUUAUAUUGUAUUAACUAUUUUGCUAAUUUAAUAAUGUCAGGGCCCAUACGGCGUAUUGAGGGGCCGUGUUAAUAGUGUAGGGUUUCUGUCAGAUGAACGCCUAAUACCAUACUUAGAGUUAGCCGGGUUCGGAUCAGCAGCAUUGAUCCAGACUUUUGAUCUGCGAUACGACUUGAUUUCCGCUUUAGUCGAGUGAUGGCAUCCGGAGACCCACACAUUUCAUUUGCCGUGCGGAGAGUGUACCGUCACUCUAGAGGAUGUUGCACUACAGCUCGGGCUUCCCAUCGACGGGAAUGCGGUCAUGGGCGUAAGUUCAAUCUCUAGGCCGACUACCCUUUGCUUUGAAUUACUUGGACGCUCGCCAAGUGGGGAAAUUUACCAGUUUGAGAUUUUCAUGGCUAAAGGCCAAAUUUGAGCAUUUGCCGAGUACUGCCAAUGAAUGGGAGGUGAUGCAGGCCGUUCGAGCUUACAUUAUGCACAUUAUAGGGGGUGUACUCAUGCCGGAUGCAAACGGAAGUAAGGUCCACUUGAUGUACUUACCCCUAUUAUCCAAUUUGCAUAACACUCGUUCAUACAGUUGGGGGUCCACAGUUUUAGCCAUGCUGUAUUGCGAACUUUGUCGGACGACAGAUCCUUCUGUGAUGGACAUAGACGGAUGCCUCAUACUACUGCAGUCGUGGGCACUUUACCGGAUGCCAUUCUUGGCAUCCAUUAGUCACCAAUCAUAUAUAUUUCCACUCGUUAAUAGGUGAUGAAUUUUUACUCGUUAUAAUAAUUAGUUGACUUUUUUUUAGAUUAUAUUAUUCUAACAAUUUGUUUUCGUAGAUGGAAUACUAAUUUGGGUGUUGAGAGGUCAUACACGGUUCCGAUAUACCGUCUAAUGAUUGAGAAUCAUGCUGGAGAGGGGGUAAGUUUUCCAAUAUAAACUUAAUUUUAUUAUUUUAUCUCACUCGACCCGCGUAAAUAUAACAAUGUUAUUAACUGUGUAGUUCAUUUGGAUGCCGUAUUCUGUUCCAGAAAUUAUGGCAGUUAUCCCCUUAUCUGCCCAUGUCCACUCAAACCUAUGGUGCAUUAGCGCACUCCUUAUCAAUUUUCAGGUAGUGGAGUGGUAUCAUGGCAAUCGAGUACUCCUGCAGUUCGGUUGCAUACAGUAUAUCCCGACACUGCCAGUACAAUUGGGGGAGAUCCAUGGGAUGAACAAGAGGGGAAGGUAUGGAGAUAAUUUGGGAGAAGUGCAUGAAGAAUAUAUUAAGAUGUGGAACAACCGGUUGGGGAGGGUACCUCAGAUGGAUCGUGCUUUGGAUCUGCAGCCCUCAUUAGAGUACAUACAGUGGUACUGUGAGAUAAGGAAACCAUUUCUAUUUGGUGGGCAGUCGAUGGUAGUCCUUUCGCAUACGACACAAAUUAGGCAACCCCUUCUAGAUCCGCAUCAUGCACCAGACCCAGAGCCAGAGCCGGAGCUAAAGCUAGAGCCGGAGCCGGAGGCUAAGACGAAACUAUAUUCUAGGGAUAAUUCUUAUCAUCCAGAUUUAGGGGGCGAUGACUAUUUCGCGAGCUCGUACGAAUGAGGAGAACGUUGAUCAUCGUAAUCACCCGCAACGUGAACGUCGAGCUACACAAAAAUAUACCCCUAGAACCACACCGUCAAACCAUCAAUUUUAGGGGGUUUUGUAAUAUAAACAACUUCAUAUUUAUGUAAUGAAUUUUGUUGACAUUUUAUUUAUCAAUUUUAAUUUUUUUGCCUUUUAAUUUUAUUUAUCAAUUUAAUUUUAUUUAUCAAUUUAAUUUAUGUUGCCUUUGCAAUUUAAAUAGUCAACUAUGUAUUUAUAUAAUGACUUUUUUGCCUUUUUUGUAAAUAAAAUUUUAUGGUUUUUUUUAUUUUACAAUUUCAAGUUAGAUUAACUGCAAAAAAUUGUAGACAAAUUUGUGAUUCAAUCCUCUCAACAUGUAAUGAACUACAUAUCAAUUUCUACCCGAUUGAGACGAUUGUCCAACAUGGUAGUUUCGGAACGGGCAUUUACUCCGAUUAUGACCGGCUAAUCUGCAUACGCCACACAGCUUCCCGUCAAAUUUUUCCCUCACGUCCAUUUCGUUAUGGAUUCUGGAUGAUUGCGGACAACCUUUCGGGUUCCUACGCAACCUUUUUUCUGGAAAAAGCUCAAAGGUCGUCGGAGGUACCUCCCAAGUAGAUAGGUCAGGAAGCACGGGGAACUCAUUUUUCCAUACACGCAACGUGCGUUCGAUGGUGUACACUUCAUCGAUAAAUUAUUCUACAUUGAGCCCAACUUUAGCACAAGCUACCACGACAUGUGCACAUGCAUAAUGAAGUGUUUGAAACCUCCUGCAGUCACACCGUCUGUUUCAGAGAUCAACUCCGUAGGACCUAGGUGGUAUACUGGGUCGACGACCGAUGGUCUCUGUAACUCGAAACGUUUCAUUAUGUCAUGAAUAUACUUCUACUGUCAUCGACCUCACCAUAUGACGGUUUGCAACCAUUGCAGCCCUAACAUCUUCGACAAAGAGGUGUCCCGCCUCCAUUUGGUUGACUUGUUGCUGACCCAUUUUUAGCAUCAAGGUAGCCAACCUGUAAAACGUAGUCGAGAAGACAGAUGAAAUUGGAAGAUGCCGUGUUUUUAAUAACACAGCGUUGAUCCCCUCCAUAAAUUUUGUGGUCAUUUGACCAUAACGAAAGCCCUCGUCAAAACGUCGAGCCCAUUGCCAUGGCUCCAUGGUACCCAACCACUGCCGAAAAGAUGUGUUGGUUUGACCUUCCAUGUCACUCUCAAGUCGGACCAUUCUUUGGUGUAAAAUGUGUGGCUCUAGAUCGUGCGCUGCAUAUGUAUUAAGAAAAUAUAAGUUACAGUAUUGCUCUAAAACAUUAAAACUUAUAUUGAAAAGAUAAGGUAAUUCUUUACCCAUUCUCACAACUUGUCUCUUCCAGUCUGCAUUCUUAUAAUCUCACUGGAAGUUAGCCGCGAUGUGCCGGAUAUAGUAAACAGAUCUCUAUGGUACACCGAAACGCCUAAUGGCUACAAUUAAUCAUUUCUCUCUAUCGGAGAUGAUGCAAAUAUUAUCGCUGCUAAUAACAUACCUCCGUAGGUUAGUAAGGAAGAACUCCCACGAUUCCAUGUUCUCCUUAUCGACGAUGGCAAAUGCUAUCGGGAGCACGUUCCUGUUGUCGUAUUGAGCAACUGCAAGAAGUAGGAUCUGUGUGUAUUUUCCAUAUAGCCAGGUUCUAUUUACUUGCACAAAUGGUUUGUAGUGGGGAAAUGCGCGCACACAUUGAUCAAACAUCCAGAACAUCCGAUGAAAAAUUCUUUUUCUCGAUUGUAGUUGGCCAUCCGGCCCGUAAUAAGGUCGUGUCUGCAACGCAAUGAUAGUCCCCGAUACGUGUUCCCUCAUAGCGGCUAUCCAUCCCUGUAACUCAUUGUACGAUGCAUCGAAAUCUCUGUAUAAUUACUCCAUUUCCAUCUGUUUAGCUAUCUAUGCCUUCCAGUAUGAUACUCGAUACUGGAAUCGAGCUUGUAUUUCGGUAAUCAGUACCAAAAAUUUAAUGGUCGGCAUGUCUUUCACCAUUGGCAUGAUGCACGUACAGAUAGUUUUGGAGUCAAGUUUUCGAUGAUCUUCUGUCAUACGUGUUGAAGUACAUGUGUGAGGCCCAAAAAAUUUUCGUAUCUCCCACAUCUGUGACUUUUGGAUAAAUCCAGCUCGUAUCUUCCAAUUGCAGCCUUCUGCCGACCUCCAACACUCUCCAAUAAAUAAUGCUGGUUUAGACACGAUGACUUUGUAAUCUACUGAUAUAUUCAUGCUAUACCGCUUAAUGGCAAAUAUGCCUUCUUCCUUACUUUCAAAUCUCUGGCCCAUGAACAACUCAUCUGGAUCAGAAUAUACGGCUAUUCGGUGAGCAGGUAGUAUUUCAAGUUACACCAAAAACUCGGCUGCCCACGCCGCAUCGGGGACUAUCCGAGACAUGUUUGCCCCAGGAUUAUUGUGUAUCACAAUACAACGAAUCUAGUUUCCCAUUGAAGAUGCGUUAGCGUUUCCAUCCUCAUUCACGCAUUCGUUGUCAAUAUCAUCCGGGACCUUGUCUACGUCGGGAUCAUUCUCACUAUCAACUUCGUGAACAACAAGAUCACUACUAUAGUAUACAUUAUCACCAGCCACAUCAGUCUUGGGUGCAGCAUUAAGAUCAAUAUCGAUCCCGUGUAUAGUUGAUUGACUAUCAACAUACGAUACUGGAACCACCAUACACGGCGUUUGAACUCCAUCUUCUUCACCUAAUGGAGUGGGAUCUUCAGUUGCCUCCACACCGGCUAACUCAGCAAAUAACUGAAUCGAUGUAUUUUGGUUGCUCCAAGUCCCACAAUAAAGAGCGAUCAUUGUCUCCACGUCUUCAUCGUCUACAAGUUCCAUUUCGGUAAUUUUUAUUGGAUCUGUCGAAACUGGAAACUUGUAGAAAAAUUUUGAUAUCCUUCUCCCACAACAUUUAUAAAUUUUUUCACUAAUUUUUUCCUUCAUAUCAUCAAACGAGAUAUUUUUAUUAAAUCUCAUUGCUACUUGUUUGCGACAUUCAAAUAUAUAUCCCACGGUUGUUGUCAAAAUUUCUCCAUCGAAAUAAACGCAUACAAAAAACUGAUUCUCCAUCUUCAAUACUAGAUCUGUUAAAAAAUUUUCAAAAUUCUUAAAACAGUUUCGAAAUGCAAAAAAUUACAUAAAAUUUUUAAUGCAAAAUUUUUCAUUCAGAAGCUAACAAAAUUAAUAACCUAACAAAAUAACUUUCAAAUAAUAAAAUUACUAACAAGACUCAACGUUCUAUUUAAAAAGAAAUAAACCAAAAUACCUUACACUUCUUCUUGUUGUCCUUUCUUUUUUUUCUUCUCUCUAUCUUCUUAUUUCCGUUCCUUUGCUAAAAAUUAUGUCUGUGUUUCGGGGGUAUAUAUAGGAAAAAAAUAAGACCAUUAGCAUCUCUCAACAUGGCACAACUAGUGGCACCUGUCAGAUAGGCUCCACCAUUGGCACCUUUGAGAUAGGCGCAACUACUUUGUAUUUACCAGGUCAUAUACUAACCCGGGAAUAAAAUUAAUGAUAUUUUAUUAAAAUAAAAAAAUUAAUAUAAAAUAUCAUUGACGCCUGUUAGAUAGGCGUCACUAAAAAAAUUAAUAUAAAAUAUUUAUUGGCGCCUUUCAGAUAGGCUCCAUUAAAAAAACAUAUCAUUUCCGUAAAUAAUCUAUUUGACAACCUAUUUCAGUAUUAAGUUUUUUUUUAAUCUAUUUUUGUUAAAAACCCUCAUAAGGACGAAGCCGAUGAAAGCAGCCAAUGUUUUCAAUUUAGAAGCUGUCACCAUGUUAUCAAAUCAGGUAGAACAAUUAAAUAAGAAAAUUGAUGGUUUAUAUGUUUUUAUGUAGGUACAUCCGGUGAUGCAAUGCGAUACAACUGGAGGAAGAACGAACAAUCCAGAAUGUUUACCCUAUAGUCCUAACACAGAGAACGAACAAAUCAAUUAUAUGGGUAAUAAUUAUAUGCCUCAAAAUAACCCUUAUAAUAACACCUAUAAUGCCGGUUGGAAGAACCAUCCUAAUUUCUCUUAGGGUGGUCAAGGAAAUCAGAUAGCACAACCCCCUCCAAGUUUCCAACAAUCUUACCAGCAAGAGAAGAAGUCGAACCUUGAGGAGAUGUUAACGAAGUUUAUCUCGGUGUCAGAAACUCGCUUUUAAAACACUGAAGCAACACUUAAAAAUCAACAAGCAUCGGUUCAAGGGCUCGAGAACCAAAUUGGUCAACUUGCUAAGUUAAUUUCAGAACGACCACAAGGUCGUUUGCCUAGCAAUACCGAAACUAACCCAAGGGAGCAACUUCAUGCAAUUACUGUGCGAGAUGAAGAAGGGUUAGUUGAAUCUGAACCAGAAUCGAGGCAAGAAAUUGUGGUAAGUAACGGUAAGGUUGAGGUAAGCCAAAAUGAGCAAAAGUCGGUUGCUACAGAAUAUAAAAUUUGAGUGUCAUAUCCUAACGCAAUGAAGAGAGACCACACGAACGAACAAUUUGGUAAAUUUCUUAAAAUUCUAAAAAAAUUACAUAUUAACUUACCGUUUGUUGAAGCUUUUUCGUAGAUGUCCAAUUCUGUUAAAUUUUUAAAGAAGCUUUUGGCAAACAAAAGGAAGUUAGAUGAUUCGUCGAAUGUGGAGCUAAAUGCAGUUUGCUCGGCCAUAUUGCAAAAUAAACUACCCAACAAAUUGAAAGAUCCAAGGAGUUUUCCUAUUCCUUGUUUAAUUGGUAGUUUGAAUAUUAAUAAUACUUUGGCUGAUUUAGGGGCUAGUAUUAAUGUCAUGCCCUAUAAAAUGUUUAAAAAAUUAGGUCUUGGGAAACCCAAACAAACUAGGAUGAGUAUUAUCACUCUAUUCAAAAUUUAUCACUCUAUUCAAAAUUUAUCAUUCCUAAUUUUAAAUAAGAAGUUUUUUUAAUAUUGGUUAAGGUAUUAUGUCCCAAGUUUAAUUAGGAAUGAUAAAAUUUGAAUCCUUCAAUAGAUUUCAAAUCGAUUCAUUUCGAAUAGAGUGAACUCUUUUUUAUUUAAAAAGUGAAUGCGGGGCGGGGUAGAUUUUUUUUUUUGAAUAGUGGGAUAGAGCGAUUAUGGUAAUUGCUUGUCUCGUCCCGAUCUACUUCAUUAUAUGAAAUUAUCAUUUUAUCUUUGUAUAUAUAAAUUAUUAAAAGGGUAAAAAAGUAAUAAUAUAAUAUAGAAAAAAUCAUAUAUUUUAUGUUUAAAUAUUUGCUCGACUUUAAAAAGAUUGAAAAUAUUAAAAAUAAGUAAAAAAAUUAAAUUGAAGCGGGGUGAGGCAGGGCGGGGCGGGGAUGGAUGCAUUCAUCAUCCAUAGAGGUGGUAGUGGUUUCCAAGAUUAUACAUCUUUAGUGGAGUGGGGCGGGUGUGGAGCAAAGCAUGCCAAUUGUGGAGCGGUAACGGAUUUUACAAUAUUCACCUGUGUUCCACUACAUUAUCAUCCCUAACUCCAAUUGUAUUUAUCAUCUUUACUAAAAAAAAUAGGCAAAUUAUCCAUUAUAUGCUCGAAAAAGUGCAAAUUACCCAAUUUGUUAAAAAUUUCAUCCAUUUGUGCUGUUAAGUGAUUAUUUGGUUUUUCUAGUUUUUUAAAUGUAAGGGACGUGAAAUUAAAGGAUGAGAAGGAGUAUAUAAAAGUACCAUUUGAGUCAAAUUCCUUUUUAUACCUUCUACUCAGAAAAUAAGCAAAUUAGUCCUUGUAUAUUAGAUCAAAGACAAUGAUAUGUAAUGUGUCAUGUGUACCUCAUGCUGACGUAACAUUUUGUCUCCUCGACAAAUAGUUAAAAAGUUAAAAAUCUUAAAAAAUAAAAUUUUCUAACAACCAUUUUAAAAACCAUGUCUGAACUUGGACAACUAAGUUCAUCAAAAACAUAGGUUUUUUUAAUAAUUAAAAAAUUAUAGAAAAUUAGUUAGAAAUUAUAAAUUUAUUAAAAGUUAUUAAAAACAACAUCCAAAAUAAACUUGAACAACCAUUUGUCUAGGUUCAUUUUGGAGUAUUUUUUAAAUAAUUAUUAAAAAAUAUACAACAUAUAAAAAUUAUUAAAUAUGAUUAAGAAUGAUAAGAAAUUAUAAACAAUUUUUAAAUUUUUAAAAUUAAUAAUAAAAAAUUUAUUGUGAAAGGUUUCUAUGGUAUAUAUUUGUGUAUAUAUAUUUGAAUUACAAUAAAUCAAAAAAUAUUAUGUGUCGAAACCAUUUUUUAUUUUUGGAAAAAAACAAAAAUUAGUUGUCGACUUUAAAAAAAACAAAAAUUAGGAGUCGCCACCAAUCUUUUAUUAAUGUGUGAUUGGAUCACCUAAAAAAUAGCUUUGGUCUACGAGUUUCAGAAAAACGGAAUCGGGAGUCAGUUACGUACGAGGAAGGAUUAGCACCCUCGUAACACCCAAAAAUUGGUACCAAAUUGAUUAAUUAAUGUCUUAAAGUCGAGAGUUUAAAAAAUACUAUCCUUAGUUAAAUUAAAUUAUUUAUUAAGACUUUCUCUUUUUGAAAAGAAAAAUAUCAUACCAAAUGCGUUAGGGUACAACAUUUUAUUCUCUUCAAGAUGAGUUGGUCCCAAAAACUCGUAUAAUAAAAUUUAAGAAAAUAUUUAAUUGUUUAAAAUUUAUGAAGAAAUCGUAGCCCAAUACGUUAGGGCACUAUUUCUUAAAAUCUCAAACAUUCAAUAUUUCCUUUAUAUUUAUUUUAAAAAAAUCAUUUAUCUCGAGAAAUCAACGUGUCAUAUCCAAUACGUUAGGACACAACAUAUUGAAUUCCCGAUGACAAGUUUUAUUUUGUUUGAUUAAAGAACAAUCCUCGAUUGUUAGAUUUUACGAAGAAAAUCGAAACCCAAUACGUUAGGACUCAAUUUUCUUGAAAAUCUUAAAUACGAGUAUUAUCUUUAUUUUGAAAAUUUUCCAUUUUUAAAUUCGAGUAAAAGAUAAUGUAAUGUUAUAAUGUAUGUAUAAAUAUCGUGAUAACAAAUACAAUAGUAAUAAAUACAACAAUGGCAUAGAAAUAAUAUAAACAAAUAAAUAAAAAUAAAUCAAUAACAUGGAAAGCAUCAAAUAAAUGAGCGAAAUAAAAAAAAACAUGCUUUUAAAAUAUAAAUGAAAACAUAAAUUGAUAAACAAAAGAAGGAAAUAAACAAAAAAAAUAUAAAGAGAAAAAAGGGUACAAAAUAUAUACAUGUACAUAUAUAAAAAAAUUAUAUACAUAUAUAUAUAGAUUAUAAAAAAGAUAAUUACAUAUAUAUAUAAACAAAUAAUAAUAAUUACAUAUAUUAAAAUUAAUUAAUUUAGAAAUAUAUAUAUAAAUUUUAUGAAGAAUAAUAUAAGAAAACAUACGUAUAUACAUAUUUAUCAAAGUAAAAAAAUAUAAAAGUAUAUAUAUAUGCAUAUAAAAGUUAGGAAAUAAAAAAUGUAUAUGUAUAUAAAAUGUAAAUGUAUAUAUAUGUAUAUAAAAGUUAUGCAAAUAGAAUAAUAAUAAAAUAUAUAUAAUAUGUGCAUGUGUUUAUAAAAGCUUUUUAAACAAAUGUAUGUAUAUAUAUUAUUGUAAAAAAAUAUGCGUAUGUGUAUAUAUAGUAAUAAUAAUAAUAAUGACAAUAAUAAUAACAAUAAUAAUAAGAACUUAAUAACAAGAAAAUCAAAUUUAAUAAAAAUAAAUAAAAAAUAAAAAAGACUAAAUCGAGCUUUGACAUAAAUUCUAGGCUUAAAUCCGCAAAUAAAUGAAGUCGAAAUGACUCUAUUGAACACGCCAAAGAAAAUAAAAAUGCAAGAGAAAGAGAAAUUUGAGGGAAUACUCUUAAGAAUUAUUAUUACUCCCAACUUCCCUCCCCUUACAAUGAAGGGAGAGGCCUCUAUUUAUAGUUGAGCCUCCCCAAAUCCAACGGUACAGAUAAAUUACAUCAACGGCUAAGAUUAAAGGGUAUCUACAAAUUAAAUCUCUAAGAUUACAAAAUAAUAUGUUCUAAGAUUGCAUAUCAUAUCUAAGAUUGCAUAUAUCAUAUCUAAGAUCAUAUCUAAGAUUACAUAUCCUUGAAGAUUAUGUUUCCAUAAGCUUGUAGAUGGACCUUCAACCUUUUCAAGUAAUGGGUCAUUUCGAUCGGGCCAAAUGAUAUAAUUUUGUACUGAACUUAGACUUUGUUUUAUUAUUUUGGGUUUAUUAUUUUUUUGUGAGCCCGGACUAAAAUUGGGUAUUACAGCUGCCCCUCUUUGCUCGUUGUCGUGUAAUAGGAAUGGAGAAAAGACUUUAAAAAUGGCCAAUUUUUGCCCAGUCACGCUGGAUCUUGGUGCUCUUCUUCUUCAAGCAGUCACAUUCCAUCCUACUGUAUCUUCAGAGGUAUAGGAAUUGGUGUCUCGAUCCACUCCACCGCAAUGUCGGGGAGAUAGGAUUGGUGACUCAUAACUUUUAAUCUGUUUAACUGUGAUGUGGGGGAAUUACGAUUCGCUGUUGUAGCUUCAAUCUUUUGAAUUGCAAUGUUGAGGAAACAAGAUUCACCGUCGUAGCUUCAAUCUGUUCCAUUAAACCGCUAGGGGAGUAAGAUUCGCCGUUGGAGCUUCAAUCUGCUCCACUGUAAUACCAAAGAGAUAGGAUUCGCUGCCCAUAGCUUCAAUCCGCUCCACUUCAGCUAAUCCAAGCCUUAAUGCCAAGGAGAUAAGAUUCGCCGUCGUGGCUUCAAUCUACUUCGCUAUAACGCCAAGGAAAUAAGAUUCGCCGUUGUGGCUUCAAUCUUUUCCAUUGCUACGUCAAGGCGAUAAGACUGAUGUCUUCGAUCUGCUUUACUGCCAGUACAGGAAUGCAAGAUCUGCUAUUUUCAACCUACUCCACUGCUGCUCAGGGAGAUAGGACCUACAAUCUUCAAUCUAUUCCACUGCUGCCUAGGGAGAUAGAAUUCUCAAUCUUUAACUUAUUCCACUGCUGACCAGAGAGAUAUGAUUCACAAUCUUUAACCUAUUCCACUGCUGACCAGGGAGAUAGGGUUGGGGUCAUCGAUCUGCUUCGCUGUCGGUGCAGGAAGGCAAGGUCUGCUAUUUUUAACCUGCUCCGCUGCAACCUAAGGAGGCAAGGCUGGUGUCUUCGAUCUACUUCGCUGUCGGUGUAGGAAGGCAAGAUCUACUAUUUUUAGUCUGCCCCGCUGCAACCCAGGGAGGCAAGGCUGGUGUCUUCGAUCUGCUUCGCUGUCGGUGCAGGAAGGUAAGAUCUGCUAUUUUUAGCCUGCUCCGCUGCAACCUAGGGAGGCAAGGCUGGUGUCUUUGAUCUGCUUCGCUGUCGGUGCAGGAAGGCAAGAUCUGCUAUCUUCGAUCUACUUCACACCAAUACAUGAAGAUAAGAUAUGCUUUCUUCGAUCUACUUCGUCACCAGCAUGGGAAGACAAGAUCUGCAUCUUCGAUCCACUUCCUACCAAUAUAGGAAGACAGAACCUGCUAUCUUCGAUCUACUUCACACCAAUACAUGAAUACAAGAUCUUCUUUCUUCGAUCUACUUCGCCACCAGUAUGGGAAUGCAAGAUCUGCAUCUUCGAUCCACUUCGCUACCAAUAUAGGAAGACAUGAUCUGCUAUCUUCGAUCUACUUCACGCCAAUACAUGAAGACAAGAUCUGUUUUCUUCGAUCUACUCCGCCACCAAUAUGGGAAGACAAGAUCUGCAUCUUCGAUCCACUUCCUACCAAUAUAGGAAGACAGGACCUGCUAUCUUCGAUCUACUUCACGCCAAUACAUGAAGACAAGAUCUGCUUUCUUCGAUCUACUCCGCCACCAAUAUGGGAAGACAAGAUCUGCAUCUUUGAUCCACUUUCUACCAAUAUAGGAAGACAAUACUUGCUAUCUUCACUGAUCUGCUCUCUGGGAACAUGACCUGUAUAAUGAACCUAAUUAUGCCUAAUGAUUAGGAUGGCAUAAAAUGAAUCAAAUGCUCCUAACUAGUCAUGUGUGAAUGGUGUUUGCACGAAUGCAUAAUUUUUUUUCGAGAAUGAUUCCACUUAGGUUGUCAUUGCUCGAAGUUUAUUAAGGCUUUAACACUGAUGUGCUACAACACCUUCUUGCUUGGCUGGCUUUUCUGAAGAAACAUUUAGUCAGGUUGCCCCUCACUGUAAACCUCAAAGUUUAAUCCAUUGGGGCGCAAAAUUUGUACCAUCAUUUUCCCACUGUAACCCAAAGGUAGGAAUAUAUGGCUUUUUCUCGAUCAUCUCCUAUCACAAUUCAAGGAUACAGGAUCUAAAUCUCUCUGGUCCCUUACACCAUUCCCAAGGUAUCGUACCAAAGGCUCAUGCAUAAAUGAAGGCUUUCUUCUUCGAGGAAACCUCUUCUUACUGUCUGGUGAUCAUUGCUUACUUGUUUAUUUAAGCUUUGUCAUUUUGUUCAAUCAAUGUUUUUAACAACAAAAUCCAAAGAGAAAAUCCUAAUUUAGACUCUUCCUUUUCAGAUUUCCAACCUUUAAACAUGGUGCGUUCUAAACAAUAGUUCUGUCUCAGGUUCCUGUAUUAUUUAGAAACUUCUAGAGUAAUAUGCCAAACUUCCCUUGUAAAAGUUUUAUUAGUCCAUUAAUCAUUAUUCCAAUGCAACAUGUUUGUAAAAAGGGUAUAACAAUAGAUGAGAAUACAAUUGGUUCUGAGCAUAGCUCGAAAGGAAUAGAUUAUCAAAAAUAGUAAACAAAGAAAUUGAUUGGGAAUAUGUAUCUUGGAAAAGAAUGAAGUAUUCCAAGAACAACAAAUUCAAUAGUAUAAAAAAUUGGGUGCCUAGAUAUCGCAGCUUGAGCUUCUCUGUACAAACCUUUUGGGUUUGACAUGUGUUUAGGAGAUCUAUAGUAUUCUGUCGAUGUCCCAAGAUGUUGUCUUCCCUUUCCUGUUGCUUCAAGAUCAUCAUAUGCCCCAAUCUGAUCAAAAUUUGAACUGCUCUGAUUACCUCAUGCUCCAUUCUAAUCAAUAUUUGAGCCGCCCUUUUCGGGUUUUCAACUCAAAUCCCUUUUGGUCUCAAGACGCCCUUUGCGGGUUUUCAACUUGGCCUCUCCAUUUUCUUUCUCUUUUUUUUUUUGCUCUUUUUUUAAUAUUUUGAAAUAUUUUUGAUUGAAUCUGAACUCAUAAGAUUAGACAUGUGCUUUCUAUCGUCGUUUCUCCAGAUAAGGCCUUCCACGUAAGAUCCUUCCCAGCUUGGGAUGAAGUUCUUUUUGUAUGGGAAGGAUUAGCACCCUCGUAAUGCCCAAAAAUUGAUACCAAAUUGAUUAAUUAAUGUCUUAAAGUCGAGAGUUUAAAAAAAUACUAUCCUUAGUUAAAUGAAAUUAUUUAUUAAGACUUUCUCUUUUUAAAAAGAAAAAUAUCACACCCAAUGCGUUAGGGCACAACAUUUUAUUCUCUUCAAGAUGAGUUGGUCCAAAAAACUCGUAUAAUAAAAUUUAAGAAAAUAUUUAAUUGUUUAAAAUUUAUAAAGAAAUUGUAGCCCAAUACGUUAGGGCAUGAUUUUUUAAAAUCUCAAACAUUCAAUAUUUCCUUUAUAUUUAUUUUAAAAAAAUCCUUUAUCUCGAGAAAUCAAUGUGUCAUAUCUAAUAUGUUAGGACACAACACAUUGAAUUCCCGAUGACAAGUUUUAUUUUGUUUGAUUAAAGAACAAUCCUCGAUCGUUAGAUUUUACGAAGAAAAUCGGAACCCAAUACGUUAGGGCUCAAUUUUCUUGAAAAUCUUAAAUACGAGUAUUAUCUUUAUUUUAAAAAAAUUUCAUUUUUAAAUUCGAGUAAAAGAUAAUGUAAUGUUAUAAUGUAUGUAUAAAUAUCGUGAUAACAAAUACAAUAGUAAUAAAUACAACAAUGGCAUAGAAAUAAUAUAAACAAAUAAAUAAAUAAAAAUAAAUCAAUAACAUGCAAAGCAUCAAAUAAAUGAGCGAAAUAAAAAAAACAUGCUUUUAAAAUAUAAAUGAAUACAUAAAUUGAUAAACAAAAGAAAGAAAUAAACAAAAAAAUAUAAAGAGAAAAAAGGGUACAAAAUAUAUACAUGUACAUAUAAAAAAAUUAUAUACAUAUAUAUAUAGAUUAUAAAAAAGAUAAUUACAUAUAUAUAUAAACAAAUAAUAAUAAUUACAUAUAUUAAAAUUAAUUAAUUUAGAAAAAUAUAUAUAAAAUUUUUUUAUGAAGAAUAAUAUAAAAAAACAUACGUAUAUACAUAUUUAUCAAAGUAAAAAAAAAUAUAAAAGUAUAUAUAUAUAUGCAUAUAAAAGUUAGGAAAUAAAAAAUGUAUAUGUAUCUAAAUGUAAAUGUAUAUAUAUGUAUAUAAAAGUUAUGCAAAUAGAAUAAUAAUAAAAUAUAUAUAUAUAAUAUCUGCAUGUGUUUAUAAAAUUUUUUUAAACAAAUGUAUGUAUAUAUAUUAUUGUAAAAAAAUAUGCGUAUGUGUAUAUAUAGUAAUAAUAAUGAUAAUAAUAACAAUAAUAAUAAUAACUUAAUAACAAGAAAAUCAAAUUUAAUAAAAAUAAAUAAAAAAUAAAAAAAGACUAAAUCGAGCUUUGACAUAAAUUCUGGGCUUAAAUCCGCAAAUAAAUGAAGUCGAAAGGACCCUAUUGAACACGCCAAAGAAAAUAAAAAUGCAAGAGAAAGAGAAAUUUGAGGGAAUACUCUUAAGAAUUAUUAUUACUCCCAACUUCCCUCUCCUUACAAUGAAGGGAGAGGCCUCUAUUUAUAGUUGAGCCUCCCAAAAUCCAACGGUACAGAUCAAUUACAUCAACGGCUAAGAUUAAAGGGUAUCUACAAAUUAAAUCUCUAAGAUUACAAAAUCAUAUCUUCUAAGAUUGCAUAUCAUAUCUAAGAUCAUAUCUAAGAUUGCAUAUUCUUGAAGAUUAUGUUUCCAUAAGCUUGUAGAUGGACCUUCAACCUUUUCAAGUAAUGGGCCAUUUUAAUCGGGCCAAAUGAUAUAAUUUUGUACUGGACUUAAACUUUGUUUUAUUAUUUUGGGUUUAUUAUUUUUUUAUAAGCCCAGGCUAAAAUUGGGUAUUACAUUAUGAAAUAUAAGGAAUUAAUAAAAUAGGACUUGUCAACUUGAUUAAGGAAGUACAUGUAUAUAUAUUGAAUUCUUUAAAUAAGCUAUAUGUAUGUGCAUAUAUAUAGUUUUAAUAAUUAUAAAAAAUUUAAAAACUUUAAAUGAUUAUUUAAAUUUCUUAUAAUUUGUAAUCAUUUUAAAUAAUUUCAUUUAAUUUUGUAUAAUUAUUUAAGAAACCACUAUAUGACUAGACAAUCAUUUUUUUCAAGUUAAUUAUGAACAUUUAAAUUAUUUUAGAAUAUAUUUUUAUUAAUUUUCAAUAUUUUUAUAAUUUCUUAUAUUUCUUAAUAAAUUUUGAACAAUUUUCUAUAUUUUUAUUUUUAUUUAUAAUUAUUUGAAAAAUCAAUGUCCAAGAUGAUUGUCCAGGUUGUACAUGUUCAAAUGAACCUGAACAACCAUUUAUUCAAGUUUAUCCUAGAUGUGAUUUUUUAAAUAAUUAUAAAAUACAUGUAUUUUAAAACUUUUAAAUAUUCUCACAUUAGCAUGAAGCACACAUAGCAUGCCACAUGUUACUGUCUUGUUGCUCUGUCAGCCGCAUUAGCACUUACUAGUAGAAAUAGAUGAAAUUUUUAAUAGAAUGACCAAUUUGCUUUUUAAUCUAACAUAUAGAGACUAAUUUGUCCAAUUUUUUAAUAAAGGGGGCAAUAUGCAAUUCAACUUCUAGUAUAAGAGCCUCCAUGGUACUUUUACUUUUUUGUACAAAUAAAAAGUUAAUUUUAUAUCUAACAGAUCCCAGACCUUAGCUGCAAAAGGGCAAUCUCAAAAACCAUAUUCUAAAUUCCUUACACCACCCCCCACACUUGGGGCAAACAGCAAAUCCAACUAGCCGUUUAUUGUAUAAAUUGUAGAAAUUAGGAAUUAGACGAUGAAAAAUACGCCAAGCUGUAAUUUUAAUCUUUCCUGACAAGUUGAGUUGCCAAAUCUUCUUGUAGAAAAUAUUGUAACCACUAUUAUUAACAAUGGUGUUAGGUAUUCUAAACCCUUGUAAUAGAGUCCUAUAGCCACUCCUAACUGUAUAUUUGCCUGAAGGUUCUUCUCCCCAAACAACAAUAUCAGGCUAUGGGAUACACAGAAUUUUUCUCACCACCUUGGUUCUAAAGCAACUGGUAAUUUUAGCUACAUCCCAUUUUCUUUCAUGUUGUGAAAUUAGGUCAGAAACUUUAGUGGCAAUGUACCUUCCAAAUUCUAAAUUUUACAUUUUGCUAAUCUAGGGACCCAGACAUCAUCCCAAAUACUGAUUUUCGAACUUGUUCCCACCUACCGGCCCAUUCCCUCUUUUAGCAGACGUAUUGCAGCCUAUAUGUUUUCCAGGUAUAGGAUGGGUAAGUUCUUAAAUUUGCAUCCAAAAAAUCAGUAGUAGGAUAGUAUUUGGCUUUAAGAGAUCUGGCUAAUAACGAACUUUGAUCUUUAAUCAAACAUCACCCUUGUUUAGCAAGAAGGGCAAAAUUUACCAAGAGUCCGGAAUCUCAUGCCACCAUUCUUUUUCAACUCCCACAACUUCGACCACUCACACCAAUGUAUCCCCCUUUUCCCCCCUAAAUUUUUGUUAAAAAAACCAGUAAUAAUACGUUCUUUAAUCCAAGCACAACGAAGCUGACUAAAAAAAAAGACAUCGUAAAAGUGGGAAUGGCCUGUAACACACUAUUUAUAAAUACAUCAUUCCCCCUUGGGAAAAAAGCCUCACGCACCAACUGUUAAUACGACUCCUCAAACGAUCCUUCAACCCUUGACAAGCUCUUUUUUUACUCCUCCCUACCAUGUUUGGCAAUCCCAAAUGUCGCUUAGGAUAAUAAGAACCACAAACCCCCAAACAAUCUAAUAUCCUCAUCCUCUCUCCUUCCUCAACAUUCGAACUAAAAUAAACAAAUGAUUUAUCAUAGUUUACGCAUUGCCCCGACGUCUCCUUAUGCUCCUUAAGAAUUUGUUUUAGGAUCUCCACCGAAACCCCUCCAAAUAAAAUACAGUCAUCAGCAAAUAGAAGAUGAGAGACCUCCGGACCCCUUCAACACAUUUGAACACAUUUAACCAAUCCAUCUUAGCUUGCCAUGCGCAUUAGAGAAGACAACCCUUCAUUGCAUAUUAGAAAUAAAUAUGGGAUAAGAGGAUACCCUUGUCGAAAAUCGCUUCUUAGAGAAAAACCCUCCCCAGUUCACCAUUAAGAACAAUAGAGUAUGAGAUGGUACUCACACAUUGGAUAAUAAAAUCCACCCAAAUUGUCGAGAAGCUCAUCUUCAACAUCAUCUUCUCUAUAAACUCCCACUCCACCCUGUCAUAUACCUUACCAUGUCAAGCUUAAGAGCAAGAUGCUUCUUCUUUUCAAGCCUUCUCCGCUUAUACACCUCUAAAAUUUCAUAUGCAAGGAGGAUAUUAUUUGUUAUUAACUUUCUAGAGAAAAAAGUGCUUUGCGCUUUAUCCAUACAACAAUUUAAUACUUUUUGAAGUCGGCUUCCACUAUUUUAGAGAUAGUCUUAUACAACACCGUACAAAGACUAAUAGGGCAGAAAUGCUUCAUGCUAGUAAUGUAAUACCCAAUUUUUAGCCCCGGCCCAAACCAUAAAUGAAGCCCAAAUCACAAACCAAAUACUAAAACUAAAUACAUUUAACCCAAAUAACCCAAACUACAAACCCAUUAACCUAAACCCAAGGCCAACUACAAUAUAGCCCAAGGGAGAAACCCUAAGCAGUUAGCAGCAGACAGCGCCGCAUGCCCCACGUUCGGCAGCCUCCACAUCGCCCACGUUCAGCCCUCCGCGCGCACGACGCACGUUCUUCCUGCAACAAACCACGAACCAUGAACAGCAGGGAUAGCAAAAAUAUAGCAAAGAUUAAAAAAAGAUUUUCAUGGAUUUUUAUUGGGGGGAUCUGCUAUAACAGCCGUUUUCAAAGCUGUAAAAAGGGGCAAAAAAAUCUUUUGUAAAAAAAGGAAAAUCAAAAGAGAAAAAACAAGCAUGUUGCAUCAACCAUCAGAGAAAAAAUACAAAAAUAGGGAUUGAAGGUAGUUUUAGUCUCUUCGUUUUGAUUUAUAUUAAACUAGUACAGCAAAUAAAAGGAAAAAGGUAAGGGAGGCUUACUUUUGCAUUCGUAUAUGCUCAAAAGGGGUUAAAAACCCAACUCGACGUGCCUUUUACCACCGUUCACGGUGGAACCGCGGCGGUUGGCAUGACAGCUGCGGCGUGGAGGUGCUAGGGUCAAAACCCUAGCAGAGAAUUUUCCCCCUUUUGUUUUUAAGGAAAAUGAAAUAAAAUGUUUUUUUAAAGGAAAUUUUGGUUUUAAUACUAUAAACAAAACGGCGCCGUUUGAUGGGGGAGGACCCGCGCGUCGACCCGACCCGCAAGCAGGGUCCGCGCAUUCUGGCCCUAAAUAGAAAAUUUUCACGAUUAGUCCUCCGCUUUUAUAACAUGCUUAAAUUGAUUCUUUCAUGUUUCCUAAAUGUGGCCGCAUUUUCCAUCGUUUAUUUCAAUUUGGUCCAGGCUUGGAGCGCUGCGUUUUGGAGGGCUUGGAAUAUUUCCGAAUUGACCCUCCAUGUUACGCGCAUUUUGCAAAUUCGCCUUCUGUUUUAAUUUAUUUUUGUUUUUUUUUUCAAUUAUGUUUUGAUUACAAUUUAAAUUUUGGUAUUUGUUUUACUAAUUAAGUUUAAUAAUAAUAAUAAUAAUAUAUUAUUAUUAUUAUUAUUAUUAUUACAACCAUGAAUUUGUGCGUAUUCCUUAUAAUAUACGUAUAUAUACCUUUUAUUUUACAUAUACAUUUUUCCAUUUUAUAAUCCAUACAUAUAUAUACAUUUCCUUUAUGUUAUAUACGUACAUAUCUUUUUAAAAAAUAUUAUAAAUAUAUUUUCUUUUUUUUGCAUAUUUCAUUUUUUUAUAUGCUUAUACAUACUUAUAUAUACAUAUGAAUUUUCAUACAUUCAUAUACAUAUUUUCAUAACUUAUUUAUAUAUUUUAUGCAUUUUUUUUCAUAUUUUGUAAAUACAUGUAUAUAUUAUAUAUAUUUAUUUUAUUUUCAUAACUUUUAUAUACACAUAUAUAUACAUUUAUAUUUUAUAAUAUAUGUGCCUUUUCCUUAUUUUAUAAUCCAUGCACAUAUACAUGCAUUUUUUUAUAAUAUAUAUACAUACUUUCUUUUUCUUUUUCUUUUUUUAGAAAAAUUAUUUAUAAGUUUUUUUUUGUUUUAUAUAUUUCAUUUUUUAUUUUUAUUUUAUUUUAUAUGUGAAUACUUAUAUGUAUGUAUUUUAAUAUAUGCAUACACAUAUUGCAACUAAAGUUAAAAGUAAUAGGUUUGAACUUUAUUGGAAGCAUCGUAGAAAAUUAAAAGUGGUAUUUACAAAUCACAUGAAAUUAAAACAAUUAAGAAUAAGCAUCUUAGUCUGCCUUGUUGCACGAAGUUAGGGUUUUCUUGUCUGCCUUGUCGCACGAAAUUCAAAUUCUAGGGUGAUUGAAAUACUGCCGAUUGGAAGGAAUUUUUUACUUAAAGUUUAGGGGUUUUUUGUUUACCUUGUCACGAAUCUUAAAUCUAAGACGGUGGUUCUGCCGGUUUAAAGGGAAGUUAAUUACUAGAAGACAAAGAAGGGUCAUGGCCAAUGUUAAUCAGGUGGAUACUGAGUUAGCCAACCUCAAUAUCAACGAUGAAGAGGAAGAUCCCAUGGUGGUUUUGGAGGAAAAUAAGGCUAAUGAAGAGUUAUAUGAUAUAUGUCUGGUGGGGAGAGCUAUUACGGAUAGCAUUGUAAAUUUCACAUAUUUAAUAAACACGUUGGCUGAUUUAUGGCAUCCAUUAAGAGGAGUAUCAAUCACAGAAUUAGAGAAUAAAAGGAUUUUAUUUAGAUUCUACAGUGAGAUUGAUUUAAAGCGUGUCAUGGAUAGGAUGCCAUGGUUUUUUAAUAGACAUCUCAUUAUUUUUCAUAGUUUAGCAAGAGACGAAGAUCCUAAUUUGAUCCCCCUAUGGAAUGCAGCUUUUUGGGUUCAGAUCCACAACCUACCUAAAGGAGUAACAUCAGAGGGAACAGUGCGUCAGCUGGGUGACUUUAUUGGCAAAUUUAUGGAGUAUGAUUCUGCAAUGGUGACAAGAGGGGGAGGUAAAUUCAUGAAAAUUAGGGUUCUACUUGAUAUUCGAAAACCACUGAAAAGGAAAAAAUGAAUCAGCAUCGAGCAGAAUAAAUUUAUAUAUGUUAUAUUUCAGUAUGAGAGACUAUCACUUUUUUGCUUUAUUUGUGGCUGACUUGGUCAUGGAGAGAGUUUUUGUGAAGUAAGAUUAACACUUGGGAACCAAAAAGUGGAGUUUGGGUGGGAUUUGUCGCCAAGAGCAAUGCCAAGACGGGGAGGACAGGCCGUGAGCAAAUGGCUAAGAGAGGAUACAGAAAAGGAAAAAUGGAAUGAUAUGGAGAUUGAUGGGGAAAGAAGGCUAAGAAGAUCUGACGAAGAAGGUAUUAAUAGGAACGAACUCAGGGGGAAAGAGGUACCUUGGGACGUAUCACUCGGCAAAUUCGGAUCAUAAACGAAAGGGAUCGAUUUAAUUUGAGAAAUUUAGAGGAAAAUAGUUUGAAGAAGAAAUGGAAGAUUUACUAGUAGAGCUUGUUGAUAGAAAAAAGCGGCAAAGGAUUAAUCCUGAAAAAUGUGUCUUUAGGAAAUAGUAAGAGCCUAACAGAAGGAAAUGUGGAAAUCAAUUUAUCGGCGGUCACUCCAAAGGUGACUGACCGGGCACAAUGAAAAUCUUAAGUUAGAAUGUUCGGGGUUUGGGGCAUCCUCGAACUGUACGACGUCUCAAAAACAAAUCGAGACAUAUCAAGCCCCAAAUAUUGUUUCUUAUGGAAACAAAGGUUACAAGUAAACGAAUAGAAUCAAUAAGAAGACAAUGUGGGUUUACAUGUGGUAUCGAUGCGGCGGCAGUAGGCACGAGUGGAGGGUUAUCAUUAAGAUGGAAGGAGGGAGGGAAAGUAUCAUUGAACAGUUUUUCGAAAUCUCAUAUCGAUGUAGAAAUCGAAAAUGAAGAGGAGAUGGAUUCAUGGAGACUCACGGGAUUUUACGGAGAACCAGUGGAGAAUGAAAGGAAAAAGACUUGGGGUCUAUUAAAGCUCUUAAAACGUGAAAGUAGCAAACCAUGGCUGACUAUCGGAGAUUUCAACGAAAUUUUCUUUUUUUUUUGAGAAAAAAGGGGGGAAAAUCCGUGAUGAAAGGUAGAUGAAUGCAUUUAGGGAAACACUUGAGUAUUGCGAUUUAUAUGAUUUGGGGUUUUCUGGACAAUGGUACACAUGGGAAAAAGGCCAGCUGGCUAACAACAACAUUAGGGAAAGAUUGGACAGAGGUGUUGCAAAUAUGGAAUGGUGGGACCUUUUUCCAAGAUUUAAGGUUAGCCACUUACAACACAGUUUUUCAGAUCACUGUCCAGUCAUGGUUGAUACAUUUUGGGAUGAAGGGAUACUAGGGAAGGAAAAACAUUUGCAUUUUCGUUUUGAUGCAAAUUGGAUUCUAAAUUAGGAAAUUGAGGAGAGGAUAACACGGGAGUGGAAUUCAAAUAAUCUGGAUGUGCUUGAGAAGUUGAAAAAAGUGGGUACGAAUCUGAGUACUUGGGCGAAGAAGGAGAAACGACGGAAAGAACAACGAAUGAAAGAUUUAAAUGGUAGACUACUGAAACUGGGGGCUAGCGAUAUCAGUGAUGCUGUAUUAGAGGAGAUUACUGAGAUUAAGCUAGAUUUGAAUCUCGAGGCAGAUAAAAAGGAACUUUUUUUGGAACAAAGAGCAAGAGUUAACUGGCUCCAAUUGGGAGACAGAAAUACGGCAUUUUUUCACAAGAAUGCAACACAUCACAGAAGGAAAAAUAGGAUUCAGGGGUUGGAAAAUGAAGCAGAAACUUGACCACUGAUGAGUCUGAAAUCAUGGUUCUAGCUACUAAGUUUUUCACAGAUUUGUUCACAUCUAAACCAGUGGAAAACAAUGACAGAUUUUUUAAUUCAUUUUUACCAUGCAUCACAGAGGAACACAACGGUAUUUUAAUGGAGGAAUUUAAAGAAGAAGAAGUGGUGAGGGCGAUAAAAUCUAUGGCACCCCUUAAGGCAUCAAGACAAGACGGAUUUCCAGCAAUUUUUUAUCAUAAGUACUGGCAUGUUGUUGGAGAGGGAGUUUCAAAAUAUUGUUUGGAUGUUCUUAAUGGACGAAGAAAUGUAGAGGAGAUAAACAAAACAAACAUAGUACUUAUACCAAAAGAGAAAUCGCCAAAGUCUAUAAACAAGUUUCGACCCAUUAGCUUGUGCAAUGUUAUUUACAAAAUUGUCUCAAAAGUCAUUGUUUCACGUUUUCGACAGGUACUGGACUUAUGUAUUGAGGAUACUCAAGGAAUGUUUGUACCAAGAAGACAAAUAACAGACAACAUUCUAAUUGCUUAUGAGGUAUUGCACUCGUUCAAAAAAAGAAGAGGAACAUCAAAAAAAAGUUUUGCUUUGAAGCUAGAUAUGAGCAAAGCAUACGACAGAGUUGAAUGGAGUUUUUUAGAAAAAAAUGAUGCACAGUAUGGGAUUUUGUGAGAAUUGGAUCUUACUGGUUAUGAGGUGUAUCACCAGUGUAGUAUAUACAGUGGUGGUUAACGGGAAAAACGGGGAAGAAUUCAGGCCACAACGAGGAUUAAGACAAUGUGAUCCAUUAAGUCCAUAUUUAUUUCUUAUUUGUGCCGAAGGAUUUUCAAGACUGAUUGCACUUGCAAAAAGGGAAGGGAGUCUUAUUAGGACAAAGGUGGGGAGAGGUAACGUGUCAGUGUCACAUCUGUUCUUUGCAGAUGAUAGUAUUCUAUUUGGAGAAGCUUCAGCAGAAGGAGCUAACCGUAUGAAAAGUGUAAUACAGGAGUAUGAAAAGGUUUCUGGACAAUUGGUUAAUUUUGAAAAAUCCCUUAUCUAUUACAGCGGCAAUGUGGAUUCGCUUAUAAAGGAUCAAGUGGGAAGGAUAUUAGGCAUCAGGAAUUCCAAUAAUCCAGAAAAAUAUCUGGGGCUUCCAACCAUGGUGGGUCGCCGAAAAAAGCAUGCUUUUGUUGAGUUAAAAGAAAAAGGCAUGAAGUUAUUGGGCAACUGGAAGAUGAAAUUUUUGUCGGUUGGAGGGAAUGAGGUACUUUUAAAAUCUAUUUUUCAAGCAAUUUCGGUUUACGCAAUGCAAUGUUUUAAGUUACCAGUUACAUUUUGUCAUGAAUUGGAGAUUCUGAUGUGUAAAUUCUGGUGGAGGAAUUCUAAAACAAAUAAAGGGAUUCACUGGUGUAAAUGGAAGGAGUUAUGCAGUGCCAAAGCAAAGAGAGGACUAGGAUUUAAAGAUCUAUCAAAAUUUAAUUUGGCCCUGUUAGCGAAGCAGGGGUGGAAAAAUUGGAGAUUCUGAUGUGUAAAUUCUGGUAGAGGAAUUCUAAAACAAAUAAAGGGAUUCACUGGUGUAAAUGGAAGGAGUUAUGCAGUGCCAAAGCAAAGGGAGGAUUAGGAUUUAAAGAUCUGUCAAAAUUUAAUUUGGCCCUGUUAGCGAAGCAGGGGUAGAAAAUUAUUAUGCAACCUGAUUGUUUGUUGGCACGCGUAAUGAAAGCCAAGUAUUUUCCAAAAGGUGAUUUUAUGAGUGCGGGGAUAGGAACCUACCCUUCGUAUACCUGGCGCAGCAUUUUGGGAGCUAGAUAUCUUCUUGAGGAAGAAAUGGGCUGAAGAAUCAGUAAUGAGGAAUCAGUGAACAUUUGGAAUGAUAAAUGGCUUCCUGGACCUGGCAAUGGCAGAAUUGAAUGUCAAAAUAUUGACAUAAGGUACACCAGAGUGUCUGAUUUAAUUAAUAAGGAAGAGAAUACUUGGAAUCAAGGAGUUAUUCGCACGUUGUUUGGAGAGAAACACUGGCAGAACAUAGCUUCAAUUCCAUUAGUGAGCAGCAGAUUACAGGAUACUCUAGUAUGGCGUAGUGACAACUCCGGGGUAUAUACAUCAAAAAGUGGCUACAGAUGGCUUAUUACAGAGGGGGUACAAAAUUAAAUAAUGAAAAUACUACCACUUUCUUUACAAAGCUCUGGAAGCUCAAGAUCCCUAGUAAAAUAUGCAUCCUAAUUUGGAGAAUUGUUAAUGGCUAUAUUCCUACUUUACAGAAUCUAAAAGCCCGUAGCUUGGUCCGUAAUACUGUUUGCCCGGUGUGUCAAGUUGAAGAGGAAUCGGUGGAACAUCUCUUUAGAGAUUGUAUCUUCACGCAACAAGUUUUGAGGGGAUUGGGAGUGACAGUCACAACAUGCAAUCAAGAAACCAGUUGGAAAAAUUGGUUAGUAAAAGAUUUUGAAAAUCAGAGCAUAAGAGAUUGUAAACUUAGAGCUAUCACCUAUUGGGCAAUUUGGCAUAAUCGCAAUAAAAGUUAUCAUGAGGGUGUACGGGAGACAGCAACUGAAGUAGUGGGUUUUAUUAAGGCCUACGAUAUUGAGAUAUCUGCUACAAGGGAAAAGCUAGCGAGUUCAUGUGAUGGUAGAAUAUCAACCUGGGAACCACCUGACAAUGACACCAUAAAAAUAAAUUUUGAUGCCUCAUUUAAUCAAUCAGCAAACUUCUCUACCACAGGAAUCAUUGCACGAAACAAAGAUGGACUGAUAAUGGCAGCAAGUACCUACCCAUGGAAAAAUAUUGCAGAUCCAAUUAUGGCUGAGGCAAGGGCGUGUCUGCAAGCUGUUAUUUUGGCGGAAGAAAUGGGAUUCCAGGAUGUAUGCUUUGAAGGGGACGCGCUAACCAUAAUACGCAAACUGAGAGCCACGGAUGAAGAUAAAUUGUGCAUCCGCAGUUUGAUUAAAGAGAUUAAGGAAAAAGGACGUAGAUUUAGAAGACUGAGUUUUAAGCAUAUACCGAGGGAAACUAAUAAAGUGGCUCAUGCGAUGGUGAAAUAUGGAGAACGAUACGAGCAUCUCGAUUUUGGAUUGAGGAAGCACCGCAUGCAGUAGAGUUUCUGGUAAAUCAAGAAAGGAGAAAUAACAGGCACAGUGGUAUGAGAGAAAGGUCGAGUCCAGGUUUGAGGUGAUGGUGCGCCUGAUGAACUCGUGUUCUGAAGAGAGAUUGUGAAAUCAAGAAAGUAAGAUUUUGGAAGAUAAGAGGUCUCUUGAAUGGCUGAUAAGGGAGUUUUGUUGUUUGAUGAAGAAGAGAGGAGAUGAAGAGUUCAUAUGUUCGUUCAUUUUUUAUUUUAGGUGAUUUUGAUUUUCUAGGAAUAGCUUUACAGCACGUUUGGUUCGCUGUAUUGGAUUAGAGGUGUAUUGGAUUAGAGGUGUAAUGGAAUAGAGGUGUAAUGGAAAAGCUGUGUAAUAGCAAAUCAACUGUUUGGUUGAAUGUAAUGGAAUAGAGGCGUAAUAGUAAUCCUGUGUUUGGUUGAGUGUAAUAGAGGUGUAAUAGCAUAAUGAAAAAACUAAAAUGACUAGAAUACCCUUAGCAGAAAUUUGUUUUGGUAAAUGAUUAUUGUUAUUGUUAUUUAAAAUUUUAAUAAGAUUAUUAUUAUCAAUAAUAAAUAAUUUAAUCAUAUUUAAACAUAAUUAUUAUUAAAUAUAUUUUAAUUAAAAUAUAUAAUUUAAUAAAAUUCUUAAUAAUCAAUAUUCUUAUAUGAAUUACUCAAAUCAUAAUAUAUGAUACUAUAAAAUAUAAAUUAACAUAAUUAUUAUUAAAUAUAUUAUAAUUAAAAUAUCAUGAAUUUAAUAAAAUUCUUAAUAAUUAAUAUUCUUAUAUGAAUUUACUCAAAUCAUAAUAUAUGAUACUAUAAAAGAUAAUUUGAAAUAAUUAAUAUUAAAUAUAUUUUAAUUAAAAUAUAUGACUUAAUAAAAUUUAAAAUAAUUAUAACUAAUAAAUUAUCUUAUAUGAAUUUGUAUAAUUUAAAAUAAUUAUUAUUACAUAUAAUUUAAUAAUAAUAUAUAAUUUCAUAAAAUUCUUCAUAAUAAAUUUUCUUAUAUGAAUUUAUACAAUUUAAAAUAAUUAAUAUUAAAUAUAAUUUAAUAAUGAUAUAUAAUUUCAUAAAAUUCUUAAUAAUAAAAUAUUCUUAUAUGAAUUCAUAUAAGAUAAUUUAUAAUUGCUCUUUGAGGACACUUUUGUGGUUUAAUCUUAGUUUUGCAUGUUAAUAGAUGGAAUAGCUUGAACUAAUGGUGUUAUAUAAAUCUGUUGGAUAUUUGCGCACCACAGGAUAAUGCCCAACCCUUGCAAUCAAUUGAAGGUGAUGAAAAGCAAGAAGAUACAUCUAGUAAUGGUGGUAAUGAUGAGCAGAUGGCUUCUGAAGAAGAAGAUGCUGAAAAGGCAAAGUCAAAAUCUGCCACAAGCAGGCAAAAUGAGAAGCUGUAUGCAGUAGAAGGCAUGCUGAACACAAAGAUGAAAAGAGCUGAGAAUAAGAGAAGGAAAAAAGCCAAAAAUAAAUUAACCUCACGGGAUGAAGCUAUGGAUGAUGAUGAUGAUAAUUAUGACUUUGGUGUGGAUUAUGUUAAGGGAAAGGAGCAAAACUAGUGGAGGAGUUCCAAUGUCAGGUGUUGAAGUUGAUGAGUGAUGAGAACUAGACAUACCUAGAAAAUUUUAUGCAGACACUGAAGGUGUUGGAUCCAUGCAGGAUCAGAAAUUUUGUUUAAUCGAUGUAAUUCCUUUCAAUGCUGUCACUUGUUAAAAUGUUAUUUAAUGAAUGCUUACAUAUUUUUUAAGAACCUGAACAUAUAAACCUGAAAGUUAUUUUUUUUGUUGAAUAUAAAGGGAGCAGAAAUAGAUUCAAACAAAAAGGAUAAUGGGGAUUAAACACCCUGGAUAUUAUAUUUAUUUGGUACUGUAUCAGAUGAAAAGUGUGAAAUACAAAUAGAGAUACUUGGCACUAUUCCUUUUUAGUAUCAGGCCCAGGGUCUGUAUUAGCAGCAGCAGGGUUGAGGGGAUUAUAGGAGGAUGGGGUUGUAGAAACUCCGUUAUUGGCAGUUGAGGGCGAAGCUUUAGCUGCAGCCCCAUUGUUUGCAGUGGCACCACUGCCCAUAGAUGUACUUAGGGAAGUAGACUUUGGAAUCAGCCUUUGUGCCUCCAAUUCCUCGCGUGCCGCUUGCUCUUUGGCUCUUUUUGCUCUUUCCAAUACCUCUUCCUGUGUGCAUGAAUUAAAGGGGAUGUCAUAUUUUAAUAAAUCAUCAAAAUGGAGUAGUAAAAUGCAGCAAAUUUGCAGAUGAACGAUUUCAAUUCCAACAAAAGAAGAAAAGAUCCUGAUGGCCAAUUUGUUAUUGCAUUUACUCAGAAAAUAAUGGUACAUCCCUAUGUAAACCGACAAAGGUCAGUUUCAAAAAUGCUGUAGUAGAUGUAAAGUUGAAUUCUAGCUUGAGCCUCCAAUAACUAACUAGAAAUGGAAUUCAGAUAAUACAACUUGCUAGAAUUUAAGUUGGUGUGAAACUAUGGCCAUGCAGUUCAUGAUGAGGUUAAGAGAGAGGGUUGGUUACUGGAAAUGCCAUUGAUACAGUAUAUUUGAAAACCUGAACGCCAUAAUUUUCCUCAAAAGGAAGAAAAGGGGUCUCUUACAUUAACUCUUCCUAUUGUAAAUGAAGCAAAAAUAAUACCAGCAUCAAAAGAAGGCAUUUAAAACAAAUGAUGACUGCAAUUUCGUAAGGCUCCCAAGAACAUAUGUCAAGAAAAGAAAAGAAAACCUUUAACUCCUCCCAUUUAAAUACCUUCAAAUUAUUGUUAUUUUUCCAGUAAGGUUUGGUUUGUAAGCAAUAGAACCAAUCACUUUGGGCACCAUAACAUUAGGAUUCAGAAACACACGUAAUGGUCAAGCAGCACAGAAGUGUAUUAGAGCCAAAUUUCAAAUUCAUAAAACUCUCCACUGGUGGCGUUUGUGCAUUACCAAAUAAGCUAUUCCAAGAGCUAUGAAAUAAACCCAGCAAAAGUGAACACCCCCCUCCCCCCCCAAAAGAAAGGGCCAUGACAUGAAUCAUGAAUUUAUCAAGGAUUAGAUUCAAGAACAAAAUCUGGUUACCUGGAAAUCCUGCACUUGCUUUUGUUGCUCAACCUGCAACCUUCCAACAACACUCAAAAAUUCCCAACUGUGGACUCGAUUCUCUCAUUCAAUGCUUCAGCUACAGCCUUCCCUAAGAAAAAAACAUCCAGCACAUUCCUGCUUUCAUUAUCACCUGCAAUACUAAGUAUCCCACUCAGUUUCACAUAGAAAGGAAGAAAAAAAACACACAGCUACAAUGUAUUAUAGGGUUGGGUUCACUCAUUCUUCUCAAGAAACACUCAAUUUAACCUUAUUCCCACAGGUGCACACAAUUGUAACCAUGUUUAUACUAUUAGGUCUUUCAAUACUUAUUUUCCAGCAAGAUAAAAUCCCUGGUUCAUUACUCCAACUAUAACCAGCUUAAUGAUGCUAUCUUGAUGAGCUCUUCUAGCAUUUCGACUAUCUUAAUGAGCUCAUUAAUAUUAUCACGUUGUAAAUAGAAAAAAAAAUUAGGGAUUUAUUCAUGUAUAAAUACACCCUCUAUUGUAUAUUUCUACUACAAACAUACACAGAGAAAUUCUCGAUUAAAAUCCAAGUUCAUGAAGCAAACACAAAAUAAACCCAGAAUAGUUGGAUUUUUGAAUCCCAGAAGCCACUUGGCAGUGAUGGAUUUGAACACCAAAUAAAAAGAAAAGGGAAUUAACACCAAGAAACCGAAAAGGAACCAGACCUGAAAAAUGAACACCAAGAUUCAUACCUCACGCCGAGACCGAGAGAAAAAAUGAAGCAGUGGCUUUCAAACGUGCUGCAACAAAUGAAAGGGAAAAAAUGAUCGAGAGAGAGAAUCGGUAAAGGCAGACGAGGAGAAAUGAUGAGGACAGAAAAAGGAGAGGGUCGGGUAGGGAGGGAGGGUAAAACAGAGACUUGGAAAGGGAAGCCGGACGUAAUGGGUAAUCCUCGAUUUGGGAAGGGAAUAGAAAAACAGAGAAUUUGGGGAUUAGGUCGGUAUUGUAAUACGCGCGUAAUACCUAUUACAGCGAACCAAACGCCGGAAUAGGUCGGUAAUGUAAUAGGCGCGUAAUCGGGGCGUAAUGGAUUACCUAUUACACUGAACCAAACACACUGUUAAAGUUUUGUUUUCUCAAGGCACCGUUUAGGUAGCCAAUCUUUUUUUAUUCUUUUUGCUACUUUUAAGACUGUAUUUAUUUUCAUCUUCUCUCUUCAUAAUAUAAAUAUCAGCACAGUUCAAAAAAAUAUAUGCAUACACAUAUUUUCAAAAUUUACUUAUAUAUUCACUUAUAUAUCAUCCUUAUAUAUAUUUUGUAAAUACAUAUACAUGUAUAAUUUAAAUUAAAAUAUUUAUUUCAUAUUGUACAUUAAUUUUUUAACAUCCCUUUUGAAAAUAUAUAUCUUGGUUUCAUCAAAACAUUAAAAUCAUUUUCUUUUGAUUCAAAGGCUUUUAAAAUAAUGCAAUAUUCGAUAUUCGAGAUUUUCGAGGAAAUUGAGCCCUAACGUAUUGGGUUCCGAUUUUCUUUAUUAAUCCUAAAUAACCGAGAAUAUUCUUUAUUCAAAAUGCAUAAGUAUAAAAAUAAUUUUCGGGAACUUAACUUGUUGUGUCCUAAUGUAUUGGGCAUGACAUAUUGCUUUCUCGAAAUGAAGAUUUUCUUAUAAAAUAAAAGAGGUAUUCAAAGUUUGGGGAUUUUGAGAAAUUGAACCCUAACUUAUUGGGUCUCGAUUUCUUCGUCUGACUUAAACAAUUGAUUAUCCUUUUCAAAUUUCAUCAUUUGAGUUUUUUAAAAAAUCUUUUUAACCCUCGACACUAAGACAUUAAAUAAUCAAUUUGGUACCGAUUUUGCGGAGUUACAAGGGUGCUAACCCUUCCUCGUGCGUAACUGACUCACGAACUCAUUUUCUUAAAUUUCGUAGACUGAAAUCAUUUUUAAGGUAAGCCAAUCGCACCACAAUAAAGGAUCGGUGGCGACUCUAGUUUUUUUUUUGUUUUUAAAGUCGACAACCAAAUUUUUGUUUUCAAAAAAUGGUUUCGACAAGUAACAUUAGACACUUUUGAAAUUAGAACAAUAUGGGUAUGAUUUAUUUCAACUAAAGACGCACCUUCAUUGAGAACAUCAAGACAGUAAGACCCAACAUCUUGCCCAACGAUAUGCCAGUAAGUUUGGAAAAUAAUGAAGGAAAAUCAUUAAGCCCCGAAGCUUUAGUAGGCGCUAUUGCUUUUAAAGCUAUGAAGAUCUCCUCCCUUUCGUAAUAGGCCGUAAGACAUUUAUUCAUAUCAUCUGAAAUGCAUAAUCGCAUCCCUGCUAAAAUAUUAUCAGAGUUACACAUUCCUUGUGAGGUGAAUAACUCCAUAAAGUACCCAUUAGCAAUGCUAGAUAUUCACUAUUAUCUCUAGUAAUAUGACCAUCACCCUUGUCUAACCCUUUAACUCUAUUUGUCCGCUUCCUUUAUGAUACAACCCGAUGAAAAAAACUUGUAUUUUGGUCAACCUGCUUCAACCCAUUCACACACACCCUUUUUUCUUAAUACAUCUACUCCUUAUCCAUCUCUAGGCUCAACUCUAGUUUACUCCCCAAAAAGUCCAAGAUAUUGUCAUCACUUCUGUCCUCAUUAAGCUUAACUAUUCUAUUGCACAAUUUCCUUAUAUUCCCACAAUUUUCCUUCCUUAAUCGAGUAGCCACGCCUUCAAACCCAACCCCAACGAUUCAAGGCAUUAAGGAUCAAUCCCCAUACUACUUCCCCAAAGCUGAUGACCCUCUACCUCACAUGAUUCCUCCAACGUCCAACAGGCCCCUCAAAACUUGAGUUAGCAACUCCUUUGUCCAACCUCUCCUUGAUAUUGUUAUGUUCAAAAUUACCUCGCUCCCAAGUAAACCAAGGCCCCUCAAAACCCAAAUCCUCUAAUUGACAAUCCAUUAGCACCCUCUAAAACUCCUUCAUUCGCCCCUCCUAUUGACUAACCCUCAUUUGUUUUCAAACGAAUAGACUAUCUCAUUAAAUCUCCGCACACCAUUCAAGGCAAACUCUGAUCUCUACCCAACCCACGUAAUAGAUUCCAUAAAUCAACUUAACUCCUCGAAUCAGGUGAGACGUAAAACCCUGUCAUCUUCCAUUUAACAUCACUCUCAUACUCUUGAAUCUCUACAUCAACAUGGUUUUUUGAGAAACUCCUUAAGCUAACUAUAACAUCAGGAAGCCAACCCAAACUGAGCCUACCCCUAGAUCCCUCUGCUGGUACAUCAAUGCUAUGCAAAACUCCCUUUCUACACUCUUUCUCUAUAAUGAUCGAAUCCAACUUGGUCUCCAUAAAGAAGGCGACUUAGGGAUGAUGAAGUUUUAGCAUCUAUUAAAGCCUCCUAUUAGCUCAUGGACUCCUCAAUCCAUGAACAUUCCAACACAUAAUCCUCAUUGUUGUCCGUCGACCUAUCCCUGGCUGUCACCGAUAAUUCAUCCUGGUAAGCCAAUGAUGACUCACCCACAUUCUCCCCAGAAUUCGAAGUUUCAGAAACCUUACCAGAGAAAACAAUUGUCCUUUGCCUUUUAUUACCAUCCAAACCAUCAUUCAAAUUCUUCUCUAGAUCAUGAAUCAUUGGAUCCUACCCAAAUCCCGUAGACGAACUCGCAACACUCCUAAUUCCUUCCUUUAGUCUACCUUCUAAAUUUAUUCCCAACACCGUAUUAAUAUUACUCAUACCCUUAGAUACGAGGAAGCCCCUGGCGAUCCUUACCCCUCUUGACUCCAAUGAAUUUCCAACCGAACCCACCACACUCCCCUCUCGUAACCACACACUCUUAACUAUAGUAGCUCAUCUUGUCGGUGGAGCCCAUAACGAAAUAUCCUACCCUAUUUCAGCUUCAUUCACUUCCAUCCUUAACUGGAUCGCGUAAAAACUAUUACUAUGCCCCAGGCAUCCGCACAGAAAACAAAAUAAUGUAAGUUUUUCAUAUUGAAACCUCACAUAAGUAUGGUUUUGAGGAAACAAUUGAAUUUUCUUUCUUCUUUUCAAUGGGGAUCUAAUAUCAAUUCGUUUCUCUCCUAGAUUCGAAAUCUCAAUGCCCCUUAAUGGAUGCCAAAGAUUCACUAAAGUAUUGCGCAUCACCUGAAAUUAGACCACACUGGAUGUAAGGAAACAACCCACAAGACAAAGAUCAUACAUUCUAUUUUGGCCUUCCGAGACUCCCGCAACCUGCAACACCUCCUCAUCAUCAUCAUUGAUAUGCAACCCCGCAAUCCCAUUUUCCAUUGACAGAUUCACACACACAACCAACAGCCUCCACAGAGAUCAUAUAAAAGACAAGAAAAAGACAACUCAAAAUCCUAAAGAGUCCAAAAACGAAAAAACACUAACAAAAUGAUAAGAAAAAACCCUAUAGACGUGCUACUUUAGAGCAGGCAGAGACGUGCCAUUAGGUAGAGUUUAAUUAUUUUAUUUAUAAUUAUUUGAAAAUUUAUGUCCAAGAUGUCCAGGUUGCCCAUGUUCAAAUGAACCUAGACAACCAUUUGUUCAAGUUUAUCUUAGAUGUGGUUUUUUAAAUAAUUAUAAAAUACAUUUAUUUCAAAAAAAUUUUAAAUAUUCCCACAUCAACAUGGGAAACACAUGGCAUGCCACAUGUCACUAUCUGAUUGCUCUAUCAGCCGCGUCAACACUUACUAGUAGAAAUGGAUAAACUUUUUAAUAAAAUGACCAAUUCGCUCUUUGAUCUAACGUAUAAAGACUAAUUAGUCCAAUUUUUUAAUAGAGGAGGCAAAUGCAAUUCAAUUCCUAGUAUAGGGGCCUCCAUGAUACUUUUACUUUUUUGUUCAAAUAAAAAAUUAAUUUUACCUUGAGUAUUACUUUCCACGUCAUUGUUUAAGGGUGAAUUUUGUACAAAAGAAUCAAUUUGCACCUUUUUUUUCCUUAAAGUAUUGGGGUUAAUUUGUUUAUUUUUUUAUAGAGGGACAAAAUAUAAUCUAACUUCUAGUACAAGAGUUUCAAUGAUACUUUUACCCUUAUGUUCAAUUCUUGUUUUCUUUAAAGUUGCAAUAAUUCAAUUCUUCAAGAUUCAGGUGUUCCUCUUCAAAUUUCAAUAUAUUAGGCUUUAAUAAUCUUAGAGAGUUUAAAGUCGUUAGAUUGCUUUUUGAAAUCAAUUGAACUUGAAAUAAAGUCAGUACAUAGAAAUGGAAAGCUUAACUUUAUUCAAAGUUUGUUGCCAUGUGAGAUAGAACGAAAAUUAUAAGCCCAUAAAAGAAAAAAAAACGGAGAAGAAAUAAUAAAACCAAAUGUUGUGAAUGCAGUUUAGACAUAAUGGUCCUACAUUUGUAGAACUUCGUUCAAGAUAUAAUAUUAUUCAAUCAACCAACCGGUCAACACACUUCUAUCGGCUAAAACCCUGAAACUCCCUCUACAAGUAAAGCUCAUAUGGCCUCAAUAGAGAGCAACGAUACAAUUGGCAUACACCUAAUAUUACUCUAAUACCAGAGAUUUCUUCAAAUAUGAAAAUCUCAAUACAAAGAAAACUUAGAGCAAGAUUAUUUGAUUUCCCAGCAUUCAAAGUCACACACCCGCAUCAAGAAAAUAAGUCUCCUUUAUAUAAAGUCAACCAGCAAGUUAAAAGAUCUUGAUAAGUCUGUUGAAUCAAAGCUUCACAUUCAAAGGGCAACCAAUAAUGAUAAAUCACCCAUCUUUAUCUAAUAGAUUGCUCAUGAUCACUUAUCCAUUAGAUUAAAGAGAUGAUGGAAGACACAAAAUUUCCCAUAUCAAGGUAACUGAAUGAAAGUUUUACUCUCUUGAUUUGUCAAAGAUGCCACUCGAUCUUUUUAGCUAAAAAAUAACGUGUUCGACCAGCCCAAAGAAAACAUGUCUUCAUUCGAAAAUAACAUGGAACCAGCAAAACAAAAGUCAAAAAGGGUAUAACAACAACUUCAUCAACAUCAAAUCAAUUUAAAUGUUUUUAAUUUCAGUUCUAAAUUUGAUUCCUAUUAAUCUUAAAUUCUGAUGACAUCUUGUAUAUUUUCAGAGUUUCAAGCCGCACAUCCUCACUCCAAUCCAAGAUCCGCACAAAAACACUAGUUUAAUGUUUUUUAUUAUUAUUUUUCAUAUUUAAGGUUUGUGAUUAUCUCUCCUAAAGGUGUCAUUUUCAAAGUUUGAACCUGGUCCUCGCCCUUGAGAGUGCAAUACGUUUUACCAUUUCAUCCAACCACUUGUUGAUAAUGAUUCAAGUUUUUAAAAUUACAAAAAUGAAUAUAUCAUAUCGUAUUUUAAACUAAUCUCAUAUCCUUUAAUCAAAUCCACCUCAUAAAAUUAAUAAUAUUUUUUUCAAUUAUCAUAAAAAUAAUCUUUUUUUUGCUGAUCUACAAGGAUCUUAAAAUCCAAAAUACAUUCCACACUACAAUAGAACAACUUGUAACGAAGAUUCUGUUUACAAAUGUAAUUAUAAAAGGGUUUACUAUUUUGAUAUAUAUAUAUAUAUUUUUACAUAAGCUGAUAUCAUAUAAUUCUGGAGAUACAAAAACAAAUAGGUGAAAGACGGUUUUGUAAGCAAGUGAUGGAUAUGGAUUCAUAUGAAAUUGAGUUCAAAUGACAAGCAUUGGCACAUCUAAUUGGGAAUGGGACAAGGAUAUAUGAGGUGGGUUUGUUUAAUCAUUCAUGAAAGGCAACAAUAAACUAAGAGACAAAUUUCACAUGGGUUUAUCAAAUCAAAAUCUAGUUUUGUAUCUCCAAACUCAACAUCAAAAUUCCCAACCAUCCCAAACUUCAUAAUUUUGAUAUGAUGUUGUGAAAUAUAAUUAAUUUCCAACUUUAGUUCAAAAUGGAAUUAUAUUAUAUGGGUGUCUACACUUUUACUAUCCAAAAGCUUAUAAUUUAUUUUAUUAUUUUGUAAACCUAACUAUAAAUAUUUAUUAAAUAUAGACUUGAAAUUCUAUAUUUUAUUUAAAAAGAAAAAAGAAAGAAAAAGAAAAACAAUGAACCUCUCAUCGAGAAGUGUCGGAGGACAAGUAGUAGGUGUAGUUUCAUCAGAUAGGGUCCCCCAAAAGAGGCCAAAUAGCAUUGAUAGUGCGAAAAAGAGGAGUUUCUCUUUUAGCAUCCGAAAGAGAAAGGAGACUUUCUUUUCUCAAACUCUUUUUUAAUCACUAUUUUACUACUAUUUAUCACCAAAAAUCGUUUGGAAGUAUUUAGAAAUGGAAUCAAUUGGAGUCCAGCCUUCAAUUUCAUCCAUAUCUGUAUUUUAAGUAUUUAAUUUAUAUUACUAUAUAUGAUUGAUAAUUUUUAAAUUUUAUUUAUUUCAUAAUUUUAUGUUAGAAGAUGCUUUAUCAAACACUCUAAUAUGUAAAUGCUAAUUUUUUUAAAUUAUGAACUACAAAUAGAACAUCAAAUAUGUUUCAUCAUUCUUUUAUGUUUAAAUUUGAGAUUUAAUUUGGACAUUCAAUUUUAUAAUAUCAUUAAUUAAUCCAAAUAAUUGAUAUAUUAACAUAAAUUUUUCUUAAAAAUAUCUUUCCAAAUUCAUCAUGCUAACAUAUAUUUUUGUAAUUUACGUCAUUAUUUUAAAUAAAAUGAUCAUAAUUAUUUGGGGUAAAAGGAUCUUCCUAAUCUCUCUCAAUUUCAAUAUGCAUAUUGGUUCCUUUUUUAAAAAAUUGAAGCAAUUUAAUCUUUAUUAAUUUUGAAAGUGAGCAACUAAGGACAAUUAAUUACGGUGUUAAUGACUUCCGUCAAUUGUACAUAAUUUUGAUUGAUAUAAUAACAAAUUUAGCCCUCAAUGUUUACAUAUUUUGUCAAUUUAAUCCUGAUUCUAAAAGAUUAAACAAAUUUAGUCUCAACAUUUACAUAUUUACACAAAUUUUGUGGGCUAAAUUUGUUAAAUCAAGACUAAAUUGACAGGAUGUGUAAACUUUGAGAGGUACAUUUGUUAUUAUACCAAUCGGAAUUAUAUACAAUUGAUGGGAAACAUUAACACAAUGAUUACUUUAACUUAUCCUUAAAUGCUCACUUUCGAAAUUUACAAGGACUAAAAUGCUCCAUUUUUUUAAAAAGAAAUUAGUUUGCUUAAUAUCAAUAUUGAGAAACACUGAAAUUUUCUUUUACCUUAUUUGAGGUAACCGAAGAAAAAUAAUAUUUUAGUUUCGAUUUGAAUUAUUAUUCUUUGUUUGGUUACUGGUUCAGCAACGUAAAAAAAACAUAUUUGAUACAUUUACAUUAAAAUAAUUACUCAUGAAAUAAAAAUUUGCUACAAUGGGUUGGGGUAUUAUAGUAGGGGAUAAAGUUGUGGCCUGGAAUUGUAGGCUGACUUCCUAGGUAGAGGUAAGUGGAACCUAAAUGCCAAAGCACGCAAAGAUUUGCUACAAUGGGUUGGGGGUAUUUGGACAAACUUGCUGGUGGGGGACAAAUUGAAAGCAAAGCAUGCCUUUCUAAUAUUUGUCCACUCAGUAGCUUUCAUUAUUGAAAUUUCAAUAAGCAAUUCUCCAGGAUUCUACCUUUUCAUGCCACAUAAUUAUCGGGGAAAAAAAAAUCAAAAAUAAGCACUACACUUUUUGCUGCCUGUGACCUAAAGAGUAAUGGAGGAGGCAAGAGCUUGAUGAUAGGAGUGAAUCUAACAUGUAAUUAUCACAUUCGGUAAACUUAAUGUUCAAAUCAUGAUAUCUACAGUCCUUUAAUUUUAUUUCCAACUUGCCGUGAAGAGAUAAUGAAACCAUAUAUAUAUAUAUCUGCAUUAAGCUUUGAACCUUUGGAGGCCAACUUUAUAGCCUAGAGUCCUGGUGUCUUUUUGCACUUGUUCUUGGAAAUCUUCGUAAGUAAAAGGUUUAUAUUUUGAGCUGUGGAUCACACUCUCUUCAGCUGGGAAUACAAAGUAGCAGAUUGAUAGCCGCUCCUCCUGCUUCUUCACUCUCACUCUAUGUUUCACACUCAUGUAUUCGUCGUCACUUAUAGCCUAUACUCAACACAAUUUUAAUACCAAAUAAGUAAGAUUUUCAACAUUGAUAAAUAAAUAAAUAAAUAAAACUAAAGCAUUACUGUUGAGGUUAAGAUCCUCAACAAACUAUAAUAUUAUUUUCGAUUGGGACUUUGUCUUUUUAAUUACUUAGUCAAGAAUUCUUGGCAAGUUCACAAAGUAGAGCUUGCCUCAUCACCUAUGGCAUAUAGGUCACUAAUGAAGAGCAUGCUACUACUUGAGUGUUCCGCGUGUUCAAGCACUAAGCGCUUUCACUUUAUAAAUCUAUACAACUUUUAAUAGAGUAAAAAGUCAAAAUCUCAAUCAGGGAGGAUACCUCAACAAUUACCAUAUAAUAUAUAAAUGAAAUUUGAAUGAAGUGGGUUGUAUAGACCUGCAUCAUGUCACCGAUAUGAACUAUAAGAGUGUUGGGAAUUGGGUUAACCAAGUGCCAUUUAUUGUCCUUGAAAAUUUCAAGUCCCCCAACAUGAUCUUGGUUCACUAUGGAAAGCACUGAGCUAUCGGUGUGUGGAGUCAUGCCCCAAGCCUCGCCAGCCAAGGAGCGGCGCGGUGGAUACCUGUAAACCCGAAUGAAUGCAGUGGAUUCAUCUAACUUAGACUCGGAUUGUUUGGGAUCCAGAUCGAGAUUCUUCGCCAUUGAUUCAAACAAGGUUGUGGCAAUCCUUGAAAGGUGCCUUCCAUAUUCUUCCAACAAAAGCCUAGUGGAAAAGACAGUUAAGGGAAAAAAUAUCUAGUUAGCAAGUAAGCAAAAAUGGGGUGGGGCAAAUUAAUCGACCAUGAGAGUCAUUUCGAGAACUGGGAAAGCAGAUUCGUUUCAUUUUGGGAAAAAGAUGAAGACCCAUGUUUUUGUUUAUAUAUGUGAUGGCAAAGAAUAAUUUGCAAUUGAUGGAAAGGCUAAGCACAUUGUGGGUGGUGGUGGGGGACUGUGUUGUUUCACUUAUGGAACAUAUAAAUCAAAAGCUGUUCCAAAGUCAUUCUUGUUCCUUGCUGCUUUUGCAUUUCAUGGCCUUACCUCACUAUCCAUGCUUUAUUUUAAGGGGAAUUAUAAGCUCCAUACACAAAACAGCAAGGUGCUUUGUGUUCCUGAGAGGAUCCUAAGGCAAACCCAACAUGAAUUCAAAAUUUUACUCCCAAAUUUACAACUUUGAUUCUCACCCAUCACUAUUUCUUUUGCAAAAUAACUAUGCUUUAACUCUAAAAUAGUUUACCAAAAAAAAAAACCAUGAUUUCAAACUAAAAAGUAAGGCAGAUAAUCAGCCUUUCAAAUCAAACCAUGUUUUUAAUAUGAUAAUUUAAUCUAAAACUAAAAACUCCAAUAUAUUUUAUACUUUACAAAAUCAUUUUUAAAAUAAAUAUUUUAUUUUUUUUCAGAAACACCUUUUUAUUGUCAAUUUUUUUUCAAAGCAUUUUCUAAAACCACUUUUUAACCUCAAUGAUAAACAAACUUUUAAUGUUUCUAUGUACAAACCGAUUGAGCCUUAACUCAGUUGAUUUCGUUACAAUUACAAUAAUUAGGAGGACAUAAUUUCAAAUACCUAUUAGAUAGGAUUAGGGAAAGAAAGGAACAAGAGUUUUGACCCUUCUUCAUCUUCUUUAUAUGAUCAAUGUUAUUAUAAUACUACUACUAAUAAUAAGGAAUUUAUAAUUUGACUAAUUUUAAUCUUGAGUCCCAUUCUACUUAAAAUUCUCGACAUUGUCAUUGAAUCUGAUUACAAGAUUAUAUCAAGUCAAAAUUUAAGUUCAAUUAUCUUAUAAACAAUGAAAUGGAACACUUAAUUAUUAAUUUUGUGGAUGAAAUUUUUAAUUGCCAAAGAUUAAAGGACAUGAUCAAUCAUGUAUAUAUCCAUCCAUAUUAUUAUUAAACUGGAGUUAUAAGUUAAUUAAGAACUAAUUCAAUUAGAAAAUAGUUUAAAAAUAAUUUCUUAAGAAAAUAAAAAAUAUUAUUAUAAUUAUGUUUUUGUCUUUUCGUAAUUUCCUAUAAAAUUUUUACCUAAAACAACUAAAAACUAAUUACCUAAAAAAAAUACUAACUAAAUGUUUAGGAUACAACAUAAGAUUUGCACAUAAAAUUUUUACUACUCCACUUAUAAUUUAAUUAAAAGUAAUUUUUUAUAAAUAUAUUUUUUAUAUGAUAAAUUAUUUUAUGGAUAUUUCCCACCACAUUAUCUAUGGUCCCUUUUUAAUUAUUUAAUAACAUUUUAAUAAUUUUUUCCAUGUCAUUACCACAUUAAUUUGGUAAUUUUUUUACUCUGAACCCUGAAUAUUGAACCUUAAAUUCCAAACCUUGAACAUUGAAUCUUGAAUAUUAAACCUUAAACUCCAAACCUUAAACAUUGAAUCUUGAACCUUGACUUUAACCCCUAAACUCUAAACAUUGAAUCUUAAACUUUGAUCCUCCAAACUUAAACUCCAAACUUAAAUCUUAAACCUUAAAUCCGAAUCCUAAACCUUAAACUUGGGGUCAUAGUGCAAGGUUCGGGUUAGUAGUUGCUACUGAGGAUUCACUAUCUUAGCUCGACAUUGAUGAAAUAAAUUAAUCAUCAUUGGAACUAUACAUUCAUCUUCCUAUCAAUAAACCAUACAGGAAAUAUACUAUUUACCGUACUAUUAUCAAUCCAUGAUUGUUAAUCCUACUGGCAUAAUUGGUCCCACAACCUGGAAGUUCUUGAUUAAUCUUCGUUACGACUUACAAGAAUGAGAAAUCAAAAACUGAUAGUUCUCAUUGAAAAUUAAAUUCUUCCAAUUUUCAGUUGAAUCAUAUAUAUGGUGAUGGUGAGGAAUGUGGUAUAUAACUAUGUAUGGAAAAUUAAAAGUAAAGAAAAUAUGAUGAUUGGUCCAUUGAAACUAUUUGCAUAUUUUGUUUUUGGGGACAGGGUCUUAAAAAAGUUAUUGAUGCUGACCUUGCAAUCUUCAUUUUUUGCAAAAAAAAAUCUGGAACAGUUCAAUCAGUUGGUCACUUCGUUGUGAUUACUGCCCACCCAAAAGCAAUACAAAAUCCAAAAAGAAAAACGCCAACCAAAGGCAAUCAACAAAGAAACAAUACCUGAAACAAUGAAGCAUAGGAUGUUCAGAAUGGAAGUGUGGGAGUUGAGUGAGUGGAACAUUAAACCCUUCGAGCCAGUUCAUGGUUGAAGUCGAGGCAGCAGGGUUUAGGGCAGUCCCAGAUGGGGUUAAGGCAGGGGUGCCCCAGAAAUAAGACAUAGGGUUAGUGAUUAAGGCUUGCUUGGACUCAAAGGAUAAACCAAACAACAUCUUGGCAUGGUACUGAAGUUUGGUCAAAAGGGUUGAAGGGAUCCCAUGGUUAACCAAACGAAAAAUACCCCAACUUUUACAAGCAUCCCCAAGCUUAUGCAGGCUAAGGCACUCAAGAUCCACCAUAGGGAUUGGAACUGAAUCUUCUUGGGUGGUGGUACUGGUGUCUUCCAUGGAGUAGUUGUUCUUCUUCAAUUGAGCCAUCAUCUGCUGCGGAGGAUGAACACCCCCACCGUUCAGCUGGCGAAACACAGGAGGGUAAGAUCCCACGUUGCUCAUUUGAAGCAUGUUUCUAAUCAUAUACCUUAUAUUUUUUCUUCUGUAUUUCUGGGUUCAGUACAGACGGUAUAUAUAGAGCGAGGGGAUUAGGUUUUGUCCUAAAGUGAUAUUGAAUUUAUAUUUAGGUAGGGACCCAUUUGAUAUGUUGUGAAACGUGUCGAGAUAUCGUCACCCUAGCUCAGCUGAUGACUUGUUUUUAUUUGUCAGUCACUGCAACUUUAGUGAAUGCCUAAAAGAACCUCCCUCAGUCAGCUGAUUUGCCGGCUACUGCCUGCUCUGGUCCGGUAUCGUCUUAGGAUUUCUCACAACACUGCUUUAAAAUUCAGGCUCUAAUUGAGAAUAAUUACCUAAUUUAGACCCCUAAUAGUAAUUUAAUUCGUACAUAAAUUAUGGUCCUACUUUUUUUUUUGCAAUAAAACAGUAUUUAAUUUAUGAAGUUGGCAAUUUUUUAACUUGAUUCAUGAUUUUUUUUGUCUACUUUAGUUUUGGAAUUUGGCAACGUUUACCAAUUUGGUCUAUGAAUUAAAGUAAUGAUGACACUAUCACUAAGAUUGGGCCAUGUUAUUACCUAUAUAUUUUUUUAAAAACUAUAUAAAAUCUAAAAAAAGCUAAAAAAAAUUUAAAUCAAGUAUUGAUAUAACUCAAUCUCAAAGUAUCACAUUGUCGUAUUCUUAUGGAAUUUAAAUUUGGGGACUAAAUUAAAAAAAAUUUAAUCAGGUUUUGAGAUUAAUAUGGACCAAAAAAUUUUGGGGGCUAAAUUAGGAAAAGUUUUCAAAUUCAAAAACUAAAAGUUAGUUUAUCCCUUUUUUUUUCUUUUUACCUAAACAUUUCUGUCUAGUUUAUAUAUUUCCUCCUUUUUUUUUCUUUAAUUCAUUGAGGAAAUGGCAAUAGUAGGCUUAGAGCUCGAAGGUGUUUCAUGGUUGAUGGGGUUGGUUAGGUCCAGUUUUGGGCCAGGCUUGACUUUGGAUCGACUUGAUCUAGUCUGUUUAUUAUUCAAAAAAUUUAAAAAAAUAAAUUAAAUUAAAUUUAAAUUUAUAUACUUUUAUAAUUAAAUUUAAAUAAAAAUAAUAAUUAAACAAUAAAACAGAUUAUUUAGAUAGACAAAAUCAUGUUCGAGCUUGAAAAGUUCUUUAAAAUCGAACCACGACCCAUGAACACUUAUAUGUAUUUAUUUAGUACAAUUAUGACUCAAACUUGCUUCAUUCUAUUUAUUUUUGAAGGAAGGAUAUUGAACUUCACAUCAUGUUUGGUUCGCUGUAAUGGAAUAAAACUGUAAUCAAUAAUUCAAGUGUUUGGUUGAAUGGAAUGGAAUAGAACUGUAACAAUAUUCUUGUGUUUGGUUAAAUAGAUUGAUGUUGUAAUAGUUUAAGAAAAGAACUGAAAUGACCAUAAUACUUUUAGCAGAAUUUUUUUAUGUAGAUAUUUAUUGCUAUUAAAUUUUAAUAAGAUUGGUAGCGAAUUCAAAAUUAUUAUAGGCCCAAAAUGGCAAGAUAAAAAAGCCCAAAAAUCUGAAACAAUAGCCCAAAUUAAAAUCCAAAGAACGAGCCCUAUGAUUUUUCCAAUUUCAUUUAUUCGUUUUCAAAUCCACACGGAUCCUCAUCUUUCUCUCUGCUUCGAGACUCUCCGGAACAUCACCAAAGCCGACUUUCAGGUCACCCUCCUCCUUUUCUUUGCUAACUCAUAUACCUGCUCCAAGCUUUCUGUUUACUUUCUUUUAUUUUCCUUUUGUUCUUUUUUUAGUUUUUUUUAUUGGUUGGUCUGCAAAUUAAAUUCUGUAAGUUAUUUUGCUUUUUAUAUGGUGCAAUUAUCUUAUAAUUAGGGUUGUAGCAAUAUCUAGGAAGCAAAAGAGAAUUAAAUGAACAUGGGAAUCAGAAUCUUAUUAAGUCCUGUCUUUGAUUUGUGAUGUUGGUUUUUGGAUUUUUCUUUAUAAUACUCUUUUGUAACCUCUGAAUAUUGAGGAGAACUUGAGUGUUUAUCUUAUAAUUAGGGUUGUGUUAUGGCUAAUUAACUAUCCUUCCAUAGCAGUAUCUAGGGAAUAAAAGGGACUUGCAUUAGUAUGAGUAUUAAUAGUAACAAAAGAAGGGAAUCAGGGUCUUAGUAAUUUCUGUUUUUUGUUUUCUGAUGUUGGGUUUUUGAAUUUAUCUUUAUAUUACACUUCUUGUAUUGUUUUGAUUCUUUUGCUUUUCUGUUUCAGACCUUGGAACAACUAGGAACAAGUUUGGGCAGUCAUGGCUAAGCACCAUCCUGAUUUGAUCAUGUGCCGGAAACAGCCGGAGAUUGCAAUAGGACGAUUAUGUGAGAAGCGUGAUGGCAAGUGUGUAAUCUGUGACUCUUAUGUCCGCCCUUGCACGCUUGUGCGAGUUUGCGAUGAAUGCAACUAUGGGUCGUUUCAAGGUAGGUGUGUUAUCUGUGGAGGGGUGGGGAUAUCUGAUGCAUAUUACUGUAAGGAGUGUACUCAGCAAGAGAAAGAUCGCGAUGGUUGUCCAAAAAUUGUUAAUCUCGGGAGUGCUAAAACAGACUUAUUCUAUGAACGUAAAAAAUAUGGUUUUAAGAAAAGAUGAUUGAUGUUUACCUAUUGUGAUUAGGUCUUGCUGUGCUUAUGUUGCAGGGAAUGCCGGAUUUUAGAAUAUGUUGGUAUCACAGAGAGACUUAAGCUCUUAGAAUUAUGUUAUUUUAAGAACUAUAGUUGAUUGUACUAGGGGCCUAAUUUAUUUACACAGAAUCUGGUAUGGAAAUAUCUGGUUGCAUUGUUUACGGAGUUCUAUUGCUGAUUUACACUUAUUGAUACGUAGUUUAUCCUAUGUAUUUGCAUGUGUGGUUUGUGGGUGAGCUUUUGCUAGCAAAAUUUUCUCAAAGUCGUCGUUUUAGGUUUUGCAUAUCUCGUGCUUCUGCCUGUCCUCGUUUUAGGUUUUGCAAAGUUUUUAAGUGCUUUAUUACUUGCAUUAUCUACGUCUAUAUGCGCUACAUUUUUCUUGUGUUAAUUGUGCAUGAAGCAAGUGAAAAUUGUUAUCGCACUACAAGACAAUCCUGGUUCGAAAUCGACUAUGUUGCAGAGCAACCAAGUGGCCGAAUGAAUCUCAGCAAUAUCUCCUAUUCUUGCAUGUAAAUUGAUUGACAACUUACUGUUUUUCCGGGGGUUAAUUAUACCAAAGUCCUCAAACUAUAGAUCAAAAUUAAAUUGAUCUUUAAACUUAAAAAUGUCUUAAUUGAAUUAUCAAACUAAAUUAUUCUUCUAAUCAAAUUAUUUCGUCAGUCUAAUUGCCAGCUUUAACGUUAAAUAUUGUAGCUUUGUUUUUAAACACACACAGAUUGAUAAUAUUUUAUGCACGUCAGAUUGAAGCUGAAGUCGAAGCUUAAGGCUAAGUUGACUCUUACCAUUAUCAGGCUUUGCUUUCAUGAAGUUUGAUUCCUCUAAAACGAGAUCUAUAUUUACCUUAAUAAUUCCAAACAUUUUCUGCAAAUCAUGUGGACUUGUAGCCAAUUGGAGAUGGUGAAAACGAUAUAAUAUAUGUCCCAAGCAUUCCCUUUUUUGUCAGAAAACUAUACUAGAACCUGCCUCGACAUUUUUGGAGUAUCGCCAAGGCCUCAUUGGAUCACAACUCAAUUUGGAGGACAUGUAAGCUUAUUACUAACUUUAAUAUUCUUUCAAAUUUCUCUUUUUUAGAGUUUUGAAAGCCAUGCCGUAAAAAGUAUUCUGUCUGGUUAUGAGGAAGCCUUGGGACAAGCUAUUAAUCUAUAGAAGUCAGGCAUUAUACUUGACUUCCUGACAGAUGCAUUAUUCGAAUAAUUUCAAAAGUCACUCAAUUUCACUAAAUCCAAAUACUGACAAAUUCCUUUUAAUAGUUUAAGUCUCUAGAUACAUGCCAAAAUACAAUAAUUACAAUCAACAUAGAAACAUGACAAUUUCAAAAUAUUGAAUAGUGAUGCGAUGCUCCCAUGCUAGAACCAUAACCUUCUCAACAAGUCCACAACCUAUGCGUUUAAACAAUUUACGCGUGAGCUCAAUAGGUACACAAGGAUAAACAUACUUAUCCUAUUACUUAUUAGUGUUGAGCCUCUAGGAGUAAUGAUUCAGAAUUCAAUUAAGCCACAUUUUAGUGUUAUUAACGGAUUAAACCCUUAUUACCGAAUUAAAGGGGGAUUCAACUAACAAAUUGUUGGUUCAUUAGGUGAUCACAUGUUCAAUUCAAAUGUAUAACUCCUAUUGAGUGUUCACAUAAUGUUUAGUCAAAUAUAAAGUCCAUCUUUUAUUAGAAUUCACUAGCUUAGUCAUAAAUAAAUUCAUUCCAAGUUUGAGAGUAAGCUAUAAAAUUGUGAAAUGUAGCACAAUGUCGCGACAUUAUGGUAGAUGAAGUCUCGACCUUAUUAAUUGUUGUCGUGGAGUUUAAGUUCAUAGAAGAAUGUUGUGACAUCAAGGAAGUUAACGUCGUGACUUAAUUUAUUAAAUUUCUGAGAAAAAAAAAAGGAGAGUAAAGUCAUGAUAUUGCGAGACAUGACGUCAUGACAUCAUUUACUAAAAUUGCGACAUCGACGUAAAAAUGUCAUGAUGUUGCUAGGAAUUUGCGGAGUGAUCAAGGCAUAGUUUGUAAAGUGUGACAUUGCGAGGCAUGACAUCAUUACAUUGUUGACUGAUUAGGAAUUUAUGUUAUCCAAGUGCAAUAUCCAUAGAGAAGGAUUAAUUUAACUCUUACUCAAGUAGAAACAAACCAUUGAGUAUAUUAUAACAUAGUUCAUAAAGUUUAUAAGGUUAUCCUUCCAUCUUACAACCAAUUCACAAAAUCAUUCUUAUAAUCAUUUAGGAGUUACAUAAACAGAAAUUUUGACCUCAUAUUUUUGUCUUGUGGCCCUUAUGAAUUAGUUCAAAAAUUUUCCUUCACAGAUAGGCCCUCGACCUUUCAUCUUAAUUACUUAUAACACCAUUCAAUUAUGCCACAAUGUUCGAAACAUGAUAUCAAAACAUAUUCAUUAUUAGUAUGUCCAUUUAUUCAAUUCCUUGUCAAAUUAUUAGUUUAGAGCCUUCGGUAAACUCUAGCAAAAUGUAACUCAGAUGCUUGAGACCCAUCCAAAAACAAUCAGAAAGCACAUAAUUACUAAGCCCAAAGGUAUCAUAUCACGACCCUCCAAACAGAACCAUAUUGCACAUAAGUGCAUCCAUCCAAACACAAUCAAAGAACACAUAAGUGCUAAGCUCGAAGGCAUCAUAUCACAUCCUUCCAACACAACCAUAUUAUACAUGAAUGCAUCCAUCCAAACAAAACCAGAAAGCACAUAAGUGCUAAGCUCAAAAGCUACAAAGAAGCUCUAACAUGUCAUCUCCUAGAUCAAAUGCAUAUCUAAUCUCUAUUGGUAUGCCAGUUGUACCCUAAGCAUUUCACCUAGUCUACUAAGGCACAUUAUGAUCAUAAUUAACUUAUAUCAAGCAAAAUCAAUAACAUUCAUACAGAGGUAUAUUCGGAAUUCACAGAUUUCAAAGUAUUGUUAGACAUUGCUUCGUCUAAUUUCACAUAUAGGGACAAUAGGUUCUUUCACACAAUCAUUUACAUCCAUAUUAAUUUAAAUCUUAUAAACAUGUUAUGGCUCCCAUGAACCUUAGGUAAUAUAUUCAUCUAUUUAUAAACAUUUUCAAUUGAAUUGUAACUAAUCAUAGUUGUUUUGGCAACGAAUGUGGCAUCCCGUAACUCAAACUCGACAAUCAAGUCAGAUAUGGGGUGUCACAAUCAUGGCUCCUCAGAAACGCAUUCCUUAGAUUACGUUUAUGGCAGAAUCUCAAACGUUUGGAUAUAAUAUUUCACUAUAGAAUAAAGCCACCAUUCGAAACAACCUAGAAAAAUGGAAGUUAUCAAAUCAAAGCAUCUCGAAGAAAGCCACUUUAUAACCCUUCUCUUGACUUAGAAGGAGGAUAUUGUUAUACCCCCAUCCAAUUUAAGAUAUGUGGCAAGCCAAGAAGACGCCUAAAUAAUAAGCCUGCCACUAGUAGGUCGGGAAGUCACCUACGAGCUCACCCUUUUGGUAUGACUACCUGGGAAACAAAUGGCCUAAUCUUCAUUGGGAACAUAAAGUCGUUGGUUACCAAAUACCACGUGGGCUCAACUACUUUAUCCCAUCAUAGCCAACAUGAAUGACAAAAUAUGUCCUUUCAUAAACAUCAUCGUCCCAUCGAAAAUGUAACAGCCCGAUUUUUUGUGGUGACAGAACAGUGGUUUCGGGACCAUAAAUUUCCGUUGUAUCGACUCGUAAAUAUUAUUUUUAGAAUAUUUAUAGAUUCGAUAUAGUCGUAUUAAAAUUUGGUUUAAAAAUAUUAACAUUUAAAUAGUUAAUUAAAGAAAAAGGUACAAAACUUGUUAAUUAAUACAUUUAGGCGAUUAAAUGGGUUAAUUAAUAAUUAAGGGAGGAAUUAAGGGAAAAUUAAACCCUAGUUAUAUUUUGGACGAAAAUUAGAAAGGAGAAAAGAUAGAAAAAUGGCAUGUUUAAUGACAAAAUAGUAAAUAAGUUAAAAUUAAUUAAAACAAAUUGAAACAUUAAAUCAUUUCUUUUCAUUCUUCUUCAACUCUUGGCUGAAACCACCAUUUUUUAACUAGGAAGUUUCAGUUGCUUCUUUGCUUUGCAUGGUAUGUAAAUUUACUCGUUUUCUUGUAAUUUUUAUGUUUUUGAUAUCGUUGCAACUAGGUCCAGCUAGCAUGUACCUUCGUUUUUUAUUCUGUUGAAAAUUUUGGAAGUUUUCAUUGAUGAAUAUUGAAUUUUUUUUAUGAAUACCAUGUUUUUGGAACUUUGAUUAUGUUAUUUGAUGAUUUUGUAAAGUGAUUUUUGUUAAAUUUUGAUUUUAGGAUUAAAUUGUGAAAAUAUCAAAAUAUUAGGAUUUGAUAUUGAAUUUGAUAUUUAUUAGGGGCUUUUGAGGGCCUAGUAUAUUUGGAUAAAUAUUUAUUUCAGAAAAAAAAUGGUUAAUUUGAUGAAUUUAAGGUUAAAGGACUAAAUUGCAAAAAUUGUAAAAGUUUAGGAUAAUUGUGAAAUUUUAGAAAAUAAAAGAGUAUUAGUUGUAAAAUGGAUUGUAAAUGAAAUAUAUUCUGCUAAAUAAAUAAUUUUACAUUUUAAAUCAAAAUCUCAUAGAUACUCGGGGCCAUAGAUACUCGGGGAAAAAGAAAAAUUGUAAAAUAAUUCCUGCAGUUCUGCAACUUCUACAAUUUAGUCCAGGUAAGUUCGUAGGGUUUAGAAUUUAAUAUCAAAAUAAACUAAUGAUUAGUCUAACAUGUUACGAUUUAUAUAAUUAGUCUAGAUUGUUGAUGAUGAAUGGUAAUUUGAGGUUUAAUAUUAAACUUGAUGCUCGGCUUGAUUUGAACGCGAGAUAGAGUACAUUUUGGAUUUGGUGCGUUAUGGUGGUUCGGAGUGGAGAUGGUAUUGGAGGGAUAUAUUUGUAUAUUAUCCGAGUAAACUGAGGUUCAAUAUUUGUUGCGAACUCUCGUGUUAUACUCUCUAUUUGGUGUGCUGGUUGGAUUAGCUCUUAUGAGCAUUGGUGUGAUGGUCGGUUUAGCUCUUAUGAGCAUUGGUGUGAUGGAUGGAUUGGCUCAAGUGAGCGUCUGGUGUGUUUGGUUGGACUGAUGAUGUACUUCUAUCAGUAAGCCGUUUGCCAUAACAACUCUAUAUAAUCAUGAGUUGCCAUAACCACAUUCAUGUCAACGAAGGGCUAAGAUCCAAUCCCAUAACAGCUCUAUAUAAUCAUGAGUUGACAUCACAUCCAGGAUAAUAAGAAAAGUCAACUCUCAACCUUCCAAACACCAUUUGCCACGUGUCAUACAAACAUAAAAUCUUUUGUUGUCUAUAAAUGGGGCUCCCGCUAACCAUAUAGUUCAGUUUCAUCCAAGAAAAAUGCAAAUGGGUAUUGGGGUUAAGCUCUGCAUCUUCAUUUUGUUUAACUUGAUCAUCAUUUCCUCACCUCGUAACACCAUUUCUCUUUCAGGUAUGUUUCUCUUCUUCAUUUCUAUACACACACAUAUAGAUAUAUAGCAUCGCAAAACAUACCAAAACUACAUACACAUAUAUCUUUUGCAUGCAUGAAAACCAUUUUUAUCCUAUUUUUCAUUCAAUAAAAAUAAAAUAAACAUGGAAAAAGACUUAUAUUUAAAUAUUCAUUUCACAUCUUUCUCAGGUUCAAUGCUUCAUAAUCCUUUUUCCUUAAAGAUUCAAAAGAUGUGAGAAGAAGAUUCAUACUGAUAAUGUGUUCAUCUAUAUGAAUAAAAACCUAUGUGAACAUGUAUUUUACAAAAAUGGGCUGUUUGGGAUAUUCGACUUUACAAAAAAACAAAAAAGAAAGAAAAAAGAGGUCAAAAUCGUUGUAGUGCGUGCAACAAUCCAGUUGUUUUCUGCAUACUUUGCUUCUAUCUAUACAAAUAAAUAUAUUUAUAAUUUUUGGAUAGUGACAACCUGGUUGUUAGCCAAUAUAUAUGCAGGUUUUCAUUUAUUUUAAUGAUUUAGAGUUUAAAAUAUUGGGCCAAUUUGUGAUAUUAACACUUCAUGUUUGAUAAUUAAAGACAAACUAAUUGCCGACACAUUUUUUUAAAGCUGAAUUUGGGUUUUCAAUACGAUUUUAUACUUUUCAUGAUCAUUUUGGCUUGGUUGACCCGUAGUUGUAUUAAUUUAUAAAAGUUUUUCUUUGGAUGUAUUUGUUAAAGACUGGUUUAAGGAUGGUUUUUUUAAUAUGCUUUGAAAAUAAUGAACAAAUAUGUCAGGUUUUAUAUUUAAUGUAACUCUAUUAUUAGGCCAACUGAUUGUAUUUUGAUGUUAUUGAUAGAUUAUUGAAGAUUGUGGAGUUUAGACAUAUAAGCUCUCAUGUGGGUAUAGGGAAGAUUAAAAAUCUAAAAAAAUAAGAGUGUUUGUACUAUAGAUGCCCUAAUUAUAUACAUGCGAAAGUAUUAUAUGAAAUAGGGGUGCACGUUAUCUUGUAUCUAUUUCUAAUUAUUUAACAACAUUUCAGUAAUUUGUUUUCAUGCUAAUACAUAAAUUUGGUAAUUUUUUAACUUAAACCCUGAACUCAAAUCUUAAAGCUUGAACUCUAAAUCUUAAACUUGGCAUUUUGGUUUAGGGUUAAAGUUCAAGGUUUUAAGUUUGGGGUUUGGGAUUUGGGAUUUGGUGUUUGAGGUUCAGGGUUCAGGGUUUAGCUUACAAAAAUUAUCAAAAUUAUAUAUCAAUGACAUAGAAAAAAUUACUGAAAUAUCAUUAAAUAAUUAGAAAGUGAUACUAUCCUUUUUCAUGUCUUGUAAUGGUAUAAUAAAAUAUUUUUAAAAAAAGAAACAUAUCAAAUUUUUAAGGCUGUUUAUAGAAUAAAAAAAUAAGUAUACUACCAAAUACUCCUCUUUAAUUAAACACUAAUAAUUGUUGCAUGGUUUUGUUAAUAAUGUAGGGGACGAGAUUGUAUUGGCAAUAGAAGGAAGGUCUCUAAUGGCAAGCGUGGAGGAUUACGAAGAACCAACAGCGAAUCGUGGCCAUGAUCCUCCUUCAAGGGCUAGAGGCAGUGGCAGCAACGGUGGUGGUCGUGGAGGCUGAAAGGCUAAAUAAAUAAAUAUAUAUAUAUAUUCUUGUGCUAUAUAUGUAAAAUAAAGAUGGCAAUUGUAUUUCUCUAAAACUUUAAUGUUUAUCAAGUGUUUUCAUGAUUUUUAAUUUAUUUAUCAACUAAUCUAAAAAAAUCUACCAUUUUCUAGCAGAGGAAAAGUGUGAAUGAACAAUAAACCCGUUAGUUUUUUCGACUAUAAUUUUCACAAAGUUGAUCUUAUAUUCAAAUCCAAAUAGCUCAGUCAAAGUUGCAUAGAUAGAAAAGAAGGUUGUAGGAUUUAGAACCAUUCUUCGAGAAAGGCAUACGACCGAAUUUGGUAGGAUUUUCUAGGAAAAAUUUUAGAGUUGAUGGGGUUAUAGAGAAGGUGGCAUUGGUGGAUCUUGGUACAUGGCUUCCGUGGCGGGAUUUUUCUAUAUAUGGUGACCCAUUAUUGGUCUUCCAUCUCAUGUUUGAGAAAGCAGUUCAGAAAGGUGAUCCUAGAGGUAGAGGUAUUGAGUGCGAGGAAAGUGGGGUCUUUCUUUCCCAUUUUCAGUUCUUUUUAUGGAAGCAGGGGAGGAGAUGGAGAAAAUGUGAUAAAGUUUUGAAUAUUGGUCUGAAAAUAAAUUUUCAGAAAUAGGGAUUGGAGUUGAGAUUUGCUCCUGAUUUGUGUGGAUACGUAGGGUGGGUUUAUUACUAAUUCGAGAAGCAUUUUUAUGUGGGUUUAUUGCCCUCUUGAAGUCUAUAAUCUUUUUUUGGUCUCCUUCUGAUCUUGGAUAUUUUUAAUUUAACAUUGAAAUUACCCAAUAGAGGUGGUGCCCUUAUUCUUACCUCCUUUCCAUUCAAACUUUCCUAAAAUUUCACUAUUAAAUAUGGUUUCCAAAUUUAAACUCAUCAUCUAAUCUAACUCCGCCACAAUAUUUGUGUGGGUUUCCUUGCUUCAUAACCAACCUUGGAUAAGAGGAGCUGAGAGGGUUGGAAUUUUUUUUUAUUUAGUUCUCUUUAUAAUUUAUAAAAUUUUAAAUUAGUAAUGAUAAAAUUAUACUUUGGCCCUUUAAAAAUGAUAAAAAUUUAAUUUAAUCUUUUAAAAACUAUAAAGAUAUAGGUCAUUGAAAUGAUAAAAUUACAUUUAUUAUCAUAAAAAUAUACAAUUUAAUUCCGCUCCAAAAAAAUUUCUAUUUUAGCCCCUACUUGAAAAUUUAGGGAGUUGUUCAAUAGUAUUCAUCAUCUGAUUUUGAUGUUUGGGAAGGUGUGGAGAGGCAGACCGUUUAAAGGAACCCUUGGUUCCAAAAUUUUUUAACAAAUUAUGAUUUUUUUUUUAAUUUUUAGAAAUUUUCAAGUUUUAAAUUUUUUAAAAAUUUUAAUUAAACUCACUUAAAAUAUUUAAAAAUUCUCACUAAUCUCAAAAAAAAUUAAAAAAUUUUAAUUAGACCCCCAAUUUUUUUUAAAAAAAAUUCUAAUUGAACUCUUUAAUUUUUUUUUUUUAUAAUUUCACUAGGUCCCAAAAAUUAAUCUUAGGAUGGUGUGUUUUGUUCAUGUCAUUCGUAAGACUAAUUCUUUUGUGUAUGCUCUAACAAAUGCUGGUAUGGGUAGAGAUAUAAUGUUUAUGGCCUAGUAGCAAUGCAUUUAUCUUUUUGGAAUAAAAAAAAUUAAUAGUCAUAUAAUUUUAAAUAUAUAUAUAUACAUGCUAUAAUUAAUAUGAAUUUAACAAUAAAAAAAAUAAUUGUAUUAACAACUGAAUCUAAAAUUUAGAAUCUAAAAAGUAAAAAAACUAUUUUUAAAAAUAAGAGUAUAAGGACUAAAUUCUAAAUUUUCAAAAUGUACCAGAAUCAAAACUUUGGUAAAAAAUUAAUUUAAUAGUUAAAAACAAUGAAAAAGCAUUAGGGUAAAAAAAAAUUAAAUCAGUAAAAAUUAUAUUGAAGACCAGACAAUUAAAACAAAUAGAAUACAUAUCAUGUAGUAACUAAUAAUGAUUUAUAAUUAAAUAAUCAGUUAAUUAAAGCGGUUAUUGUCCAGUUUAACUUUGGUUACAAUUUCUGGAUCACUAAUCUGAUUAUUGUCCAGUUUUUUAUUCAUUAAAAACUGUAGUAAUAUAAUUCUGUUACUAAUUCGCAUGAAUGCAUUUAUGCUUGCUAAAUUCAGUAAUCAAUUUUUGCCUUUCUGUAAGAUAAGUUUAGCCAAUGGACACGUGGCACAAACCCGUCACAUUAGUAAAUCCUAUUUUUGUGGAACAAAAAUCUUACUCAAAAGUCUGAGACUCAUAAAUUCCGCAGAAAAUCUGAAAUAUAUCCACAAUCUUUGGACCUUGAAAAACCCAUCUUUAAUGCCCCAACAAAUCUUUUAACAUUUUUAAAGAAAAUAAAAUUAUGAAACAGUGGUAAUCAAUCAGCCAUGUUUUGGUGUAGGAAUUUCAUCAAAAUCUCGACAGCUACCAAAGCUAAGAGCCCCAUCACCACUAACCUUAUACUAACUUCUUUAUCCCAUUUCAGCACCGCCAACCAACCCCCAGUUGCGGCUCAACCUUCAGGUCUUGGACCCACCAAAGCAGAUGAGAAACCAAGGGUGGUGGUGUUAGGCUCAGGUUGGGCUGGUUCCAGGCUAAUGAAAGGCUUGGACCCUAAGCUGUAUGACAUCGUUUGCGUUUCCCCUAGGAAUCAUAUGGUGUUUACUCCCCUCUUGGCUUCCACUUGUGUUGGGACUCUCGAGUUCAGGUCCGUCGCUGAACCCAUUUCCAGGAUUCAACCCUCCAUUUCUUCAGCACCUGGCUCCUAUUUUUUUCUUGCUAAUUGUACUGCUGUCAAUACUGAGAGCCACGAGGUAUGUGAAACAAAAUGUUGACUUUUAUUGGGUUAAAAUAGUUUCUAUUCCCUUUUACCGGAAGAUUGUAUUCGAGUCGAGCUGAGCCUUAACAAUGAGUAGUUCAAGCUCAAAACUCAAGUUAAGCUUGAUUAGAUAUUAUUAUAGAUGCUUAAGCUUGACUCGAAGUAAAACGUACUAUUCAAGUUUGACUUGAUUAAGUUCGUCUACAUAAUUGAUAAACUCAACCUCAAGUUUAAACUUUUUUCAUAUAUAAUUUUUUUGAUAGUGAAAUAACAAAUUUUAAGCUUCAGUUCUAAGUGUAUACAUGUAAACAAUAAAGCAAUAGUUUAACAUUAAAGAUAAAUCAUAAACAUAUAAAAAAAAUCGAUUAAGCUUGCAAGUUGCUCAAAUCUAAUAUCAGCUUACUUAAACUCAACAUGUUCAAUAGCUUAAAUGCUUUACAAUUGCCGAAUCAAAUUCAAAUAUUUUUUAAGUAAGACUCGAUCAACUUAUGAAUAUAAACAUCUCAUUUAUACCCUAAUUGGGAGAUUGAAAUGGGUUGACUUUGGAUUGAAGAAUUGAGUUUGAUGACUUGAAAUUUUAAGGUACCGUUAUGAGUUGAACCAAAUAUAAUUCAAUUAAUUUUUACACAAUUAUUUGAGAAUAGUGUUAUGACAACAUAUUUUAUAUAUGAGAGGAUCUUAUUUCAAGAUAUUGAUGGCAGCAUUGGAAUACCAAGUUGAACGAUAAAAUAUGUUCUUUUUUAUUGUUCUUCGUUGGAAAAGAAAAAUAGUACAAAUUAUACGAAACGUUGUAAAAUGUUGGGUAUUUCAAUGGCUUAAUCAUGGAACAUUUGGCUCGGGCAUUGAAGGUGCAUUGUGAGACAGUGACUGAAGGAGAUCAAACAUCGGAGGCAUGGAAGUUUAAGAUUUCAUAUGAUAAAUUGGUUAUUGCAUCAGGAGCACAAGCAUCUACUUUUGGAAUCCAUGGCGUAAAAGAGCAUGCGGUUUUUUUACGCGAAGUUCACCAUGCUCAGGCAAUUCGCAGGAAGCUACUUCUGAACUUGAUGCUAUCCGAUGUGCCUGGUAACUAGUUGUUUUAACUUUCUAUGGUGAAAACAAAUAUAACUCAAAGCUGUGAUUAUAGAUGUUUUGGCUUACUAGUUGGGUGUUGAGGCAGGGAUUUCGGAAGAAGAGAAACGUCGAUUGCUGCAUUGUGUGGUUGUGGGAGGUGGUCCUACAGGGGUUGAGUUUAGUGGUGAACUUAGCGAUUUUAUUAGGAGCGAUGUUCACCAAAGAUACACACAUGUAAAAGACUAUAUCCAUGUAACACUGAUAGAGGUUAGUCACCAUCCAAGUUAUUCAAGUCUUGUCUGAAGUUGGUGAUUUUUCCAUUGUAAUAUAGAAUUACUCUUUUUUUUUGCCAGGCAAAUGAUAUUCUCUCUUCCUUCGAUGAUCGCCUUCGUCACUACGCAAUUAAGCAGUUAACAAAGGUUAAAAGAGAGUUGAUUGAUGCAAAGAUGAUCCUUUUCCCCUUACCUGUUCAAGGGAAUUUUCUCAUUUUAAUCUUUCCUCGGUUUAAUUCAGUAGUUUUUCUCAGUCAGGAGUACGUCUAGUUCGUGGGACUGUAAAGGAUGUUAGACCUGAAAAUGUAACCCUUAGUGAUGGUUCGGAGGUUCCUUACGGAUUGCUAGUAUGGUCAACUGGUGUUGGUCCUUCUCCUUUUGUAAACUCUCUAAGACUUCCAAAAUCUCCUGGUGGAAGGUAAGACUAAAUCUAUUGUAUGGUUCCUGAGUCGGAUACCAGGUGAAAAAGUGAACAUAGAUUUGGUUUUCAUGGUUUGCAUCAAUGCUUUGUGAAGCUUUAGUUUACUAUGGGUUGAUCUUAAUUGUAUAACUAACAGGAUCGGUAUUGAUGAGUGGCUUCGAGUUCCUACUGCCCAAGAUGUGUUUUCAAUUGGCGACUGCAGUGGGUUUCUGGAGAGUACGGGUAAACCAGUUCUUCCCGCUUUAGCACAGGUACUUUUCUAAGCUAUGAUUCAAUUAUUUUUCUGCUUUACGUAAUAUCAACCGGUUCUAAUAAAAACUAGACUUGGGUGUUCAACAUGAACCACCUGCCUCUCUGUUGCUACAUGGAUUCAUAACAAUGGCUAGCUAUAAUAUAAGUCGACCUACCUUUAAUUGUUCAUGUCCUGAAAAGGAACAGAUUCAGAUUUCAUUCUUCUCAACAGUGUUUAAUUUAAGCUACUCUGUCCAGUUUCCAUCCAAAAUUCGGGUACAACAGAAUACAAGAUAAUACCAAGUUAUGUAUUUCGCCUAUCGGAGUCAAAAGCACUAUGGUGAACCUUCUUGCUAGGUUUUCAGACCAGACGAUGUAUGUAUUUGUGGCUUCCAAAACUGGGGUGCUAAUGUUUCUUUCAUGAACAGGUUGCUGAAAGACAGGGAAAAUAUCUGGCAGACCUACUGAACAAAAUUGGUAAAGAAGGUGGAGGACAUGCUAACCGUGCUAAGGCAUUAGACUUUGGGGAUCCAUUCGAGUACAAGCAUCUAGGAAGCAUGGCAACCGUUGGCAGAUUCAAGGCUCUUGUUGACCUAAGACAGAGCAAGGUGAUUUAUUUAUUGAUUUUGCACAUUUGAGAACUAUUAGUUCGGAUGAUUUGUGAGGCAUCUUUGAUUGUUUUUAUAGGAGGCAAAAGGGGUAUCCCUAGCAGGAUUUUUCAGCUGGUUUAUAUGGCGCUCAGCAUAUCUAACACGGGUCGUUAGCUGGAGGAACAGAUUCUAUGUGGUUAUUAACUGGCUUACAACUUCUGUAUUUGGUCGUGACAUUAGCAGAUUAUAGAUUCAACCAGCGUCAACUUCUAUUGGGUUUUAGAUCCAAAUACUUUCAUCCUAUUCCAUAAGUAAUACUAUUUAACUUCUAUGUUUAACAAAAUACUAAAAUAAAACUUGACCAAUUUGGAAAACUAUCAAGUACUAAGAAUAACAAUGUUUGUUAGAAUAAAGUGGCUUAUAUAAGUGCAACGAAAAGUUCAGAUACACGAGGUAAAACCUGAACCCGUGUUUUUACAAGCUUUCACGACAGAAAUCUAAGUAAUAACGAAAGAGAAACCUGAACCUUGUCCUGUUAUGAUCAAGUGCUUUCAAUCCAACAGAGCUAAGACAACACUACUCCAAGGUUGCCAGUCACUCUUGAAUUAGCCAAUGUUUUGGCGAUAAUAUCUUUCAACUCAAUCUCUCCAGGAAACCUUCCCUCCUUAAGCUUAGAGAAAACCUAUAAAUUCAGAAAGUAAACAAGGUAAGCAACUAGAAACACCAAUUCCUGCAUUUUUAAAUGUAACCAAAAAGAAAAUAAGUGGAGCUUCAACACCACUUUGGUCUUUAUAUUAUAGGGCAUUCAAACAAAACAUUUAGAUCAGGACAGAACUCAUACUAAUAUCAGAAUCGAAUCAAAGGUUUACUAAGCAGCUAAAACAACUCCAUCAAUCAAUAAACAAUAUGAAAUUGAGUUUUGGUUUCUCAACUGCUCAGGACACACACAUAUAUAGCAGAAGGGUCACUAACCAAUUCAUCAUUGCAGUAAACCUCGAAAGCACCGGAGCUUUGCAGAAAAGACUGCAUUACAUUCCCAAGAAGCCAAGCAGUAGCAAUGGACCCGAACCUGUUUGCACGCAAGGAAUAAUACCACGGAGGUGGUGUCGUAAUCCCAAUCAUAGGAAAAAUCUGUUCACCUGCCAUCAUAAUCCCUAUAACUCCAAAUUGGAAAACUGGAACCACUUUCGAAAGCAAACGUUUCGGCAAUGAUGGUGGAUAGUUAUCAAGGAUUACAUCAAUUCCAGGAAACUGGGCUUCUAACAUCUUCUUCAUUGUCACAGCAGUUCCCCUGCAAAUUUUCAUCAAUUACAUGUUCAAUUGUCACUUGAGGAAAAAUAUCAACUAUAAUAUCCAAAGAAAAGGAAGCAUCAAAAGAAAAAAAAUCAAAUAGAACCUGUAAGAGCAUGAAGCGCAGAAAUUGAUAUUAACCGUGCUGCCAUAGCCGAUUCCUCCAAUAGCGCUGGGUUUCUUCGAAGGAAAAAAAGAAGAGGAGAUAAAUUGAAUAAGAAAUUCAAUUAAAAUAAUGGAUGAAUGAUUAAAGUUACCUGUAAAGAAAUAUCUAGGGUUUCAGGAUUGAGUGGAGGUUUGGGUAGGUGGGGAUGAUGGUGGUGAUGGUGAUGGGACGGCGGCUUUGGGGGCGGAGGAGUGAAGAGGCUGAAGAGAUCGGUGGCGAAGAGGAAGAGAGGUAAUCCUACGAGGAGGAGCUGGGCCCGAUCCAUGGAGCUGAUGCGAAAGCCAAACAAAGAUGGGAACUUGAGGAAAUCCUCGAGAGUGGAUGAAAAUAAAAGAUCUAAAAAGAGAAACAAUGCUUGGGGAAGUAAAUAAACAACGAAUUUAAUAGCAUUUUCUCGGGAGAAAAAUCUGUAACUACACGUGUAUCCCAAGUAAUUUUUAUUUUAAAAAUUACAAAAUAAUUAUUUAUCGUUAUUUUUUGUCACUGACAGUUGAAGUUAAAUUAAAAUUGAAAUUAUUUUAAUUUUAAUUUUCAAGAUUUAUAUAUUGUGUUAAUUUAGUCUUAAUUCUAAAAAAAUUUAACCAUCAAUGUUACACGGGUAAUUUGAUCUUUUUUACAGUUUUGUUUUUCUUUAAGACCAUUUUAUUCAAAUAGCUAAAAGAAACAAAUUUAUCAAUUAAAUUUGAUCAAAAAUAUUUUUUUUAAAUUGACUCUUAAUGUCACCAACAAAUAAAUAAUACAAAAAAAUAAGCAAAUUACGUUGUGUAAAUGUUGAGGGUUGAAUGUUUUAAAAUCAAGACUAAAUUGGUAUGAUGUAUUAAUGUUGAGGGUUAAAAUUGUUAUUAUGUCAAUUUCAAAAGUUGUCAUAUCAUCUCCUCGUUAACCAUUUAACAUUUGGUGACAAAAAACAAAAUAAAACCGAAGAGUUAGGUAAUUAUUUUAUAAUUUUUCACCAUUGAGUGAUAAAAAUGAUACUUACUAAUAAUUGGAUGGUUACACCUGUAGUUUACUCAAAUAGGGAGAGAGAAUAUAGUAGCAUUUUUAUUAAGAAUUAAAUAUAUUUUUUUAUUUCAUACAAAAAAAAGGUUACAAAUUCGAGAACAAACUACUAUAUUAAUUGAGUUUGAAUUUUCACCGCUGCUCUCUUAUGUUGUUAACAUUAAUUUCUAUUUAGUCAUUUAUAUUAUAUUUAUAUUAUUAUUUAAAAGUUUAACUCUUUAAAUAAGUUGAUAUUACCCAUUAAUCGGGUUCAAUUUAAUUAUGAAAUGACUAAAAAUACAUGUUUUUUAUAAAGCAAGUUGUUUUAUUACGAGGAUAUUUUACCUUUUUGUAUUUUUUUAUAUAAAAUUAGUUUUUAAUGUCUCAUGUGUUGCACGUGAUUUUAGGUUUUUAUUUUUUUAAUUAAUUUUUAAAAUAAUGUGUUUUUAAAGGAUAAAAUAAAGCAUUUUUAAUUAUUUUAAUUAGUGUAAACUAUUUUUUUCUUCAAAUUGUUGAACAAUUAAAAUAUAUUAACUUAUUUAACAAUUCAAAUAUAAUAAUAAGAGUAAACUAUACAAUUAGCCACUCAAUCAUUAGCGUAUUUUUGUAUUGGUCACUCAACUAUGAAAAUUUUUAAUUUAAUCACUAACAUUAUCAUAUGAUUUUGUUUUGAUAAUAUUAGUUAAAAAUUAAAUAAUCAAUAAGUUAAUAUUUGCUUUCAUUUUGUUUUGCGUGCAAAAAUAGUUAAAGACAUUAUACGAAAUAUAUUAAUGAAAAUGAUGCAAAUUUAUUAAACCAAUUUGUUUGAAGAAUUACGAGUACAUUUGACAAUACCACUAUACUAAGGGCAUUAGAUCCCAACAGAAUUUGGUUUAAUUAAAAACAGACCAAAAAAAAAAAGAAAUCCAGGGAUUUUUUUGAUAAAACUUAAAACAAACUAGCACUUUAGGAAGCAAAAUGCUUGGCAAAAGGAGGAAUGCUAACAUCAAUCAAAUCGACUCUAGCGUUUAUAACGGUUUAUAUGUUAUCUUGUUUCAAGGCUCCACAAUAUUUCUGCAAUAAAAUUUAUUAUAGACUACUAGAGCCUUUUGGUGGAGGCAUAAGACAAGAGAAAGGAAUUCACGUCUCUGCAAUUAGAGACUCCUUUGCACACAGAAAAAUGAAGGGGCUGGGAAUUAAAUGGUGAGUUUUAUGAAUGGACCUUUGCUAGCUAAGCAAGCAUGACACAUGACAAAACAAGACUUCAUCCUAACUAGGUCAUUUCAAGCAAAGUACUAUAGUAACAAGUAUUUCCUAAGGGUUGAAAUAAGACUAGCAGAUUCUUGGAUAUGAAAAGGCAUUCUAAAAGGAAGAGAUGUGUGUCUCAUGAGAAAAGAAAUUCAAAUAUGGGGAGGUGACAUUAAUUCUGUGACAGUCUACACCCAAUCCUAUCAAUAGAUUUGAAUGUGUGAUGUCACAUUACGUUGUCGGAGUAAUGCAAACUAAUUUGAUUUUAUUUUACUAAGUAAUUGUUAGUUUUGAUGUCCCAAACUUUUAAUAUAACAACAUUUAAGUUAAAUUUUAUAGGUAUUAUAUGUCCUAAAUCAUUUGGCAAAAAUAUGAUUAAAAAUUUUGUCAAAUAUUUUCAAACAUUUUCAAAGACUUGCAAAAUACUAAAAGAUAUGUUUUAAAUUUGUUUUAAUUUAUUUAAAUGUUUUUGGAUUAAUACCAAAGUGUUCUAAAGUGUUUAAAAUAUUUUUUAGGAAACUUGGUAUGCAAGUCUCGAGACAUACAUCUAUAUGUCUCGAGACAUAAAAACUUCAAAGAAAAAAUUUGCUUUAGGAGCUGCCUAUCUUGAGACAUUUUACAGUAUGUCUAGAGACAAUUGGCAGAUUGUCUUGAGACACUAUUCUUGGUUAUCGUAAAUCUUUGAAAAGCCAAAGCUCUCCCAACUUUGAAAAUGUAUAAUCCUAACCCUUGUCAUCAAGGCUGAUGGUGUUGGCCUCUAGCCUGUGGCUCCUUGUCAUUCACCAUCUUUUCUAUCUAUCUUCUUCCUUUUCCACUUUCUCCUCUCCUUUUAUACUUAUCCAGUUUUUCUUUUCUUUCUUUCCCUCCUCUUUUUCCUUCCUCCCUUACUGUUGUCCUCCUCCUUUUUUCUAUUUUCUUUUCUCGUUUCUCGAUUCUAACUAUAAAUGGAUGGAAGUGCUUUCUUUGUAGGAGAGAGUCUUGGAAAUUUUAGUCAAUUUCAAUUAAUCACACUGUAUUUUUUUUUCAAUUUUCAUCAACUUUAGUUGGUUCCUAAUUAUGUUGUGGUGCAUGCUUGACAUUCAACAACGUAAGCGAACGACUAAGAUUCGUUGAGAAUCUUUACGGAAGGGUCUCUUGUUAAAGAUGGAAGAUUAUGUUGAAGGUAUUUCAAUGUUACCUUACUAAUAUGUUCGCUAAGAUGCAAAUAGUGUGGGAUUGAUACUUUCCAAAGUUUUGAAAUAUUUAUUGAUGUAAGUGAUGGAAGAGAUAACUAAUUGUCAUGUAUGACCUUAAUUACAAUAGUUGUAAAUGAUGUUUUUUUUCCUUUUAGUGUAACUCCCAACGUUUUGAUUAAUUAACUUGAACCUCAGCAUUUGGCUCAUUCGUCUUGAGUGUUAAUCUUUGAACCUCAUCCUGAGUUUGAGUCAUAAGGAUCACUUGCAUGUGAUGUGUGCAAGUGUGGCAGUUGAGGAUCCUGCCAAAGGCAUGUGAGUUGUAUAUAUAAAAAAUAAUUGUUAUCAAAACAAUGGUUAUACAUGGAGCAAAUCCCCAACUCUAAUAUGAUUAAGAGAGGAACAAAUGACUUUAAAAAUUGAGUUGAUAAAUAAUUUUUUUAAUUAUAUAUUUUUUCAAGUUUUUUUAGAAUAAUACAAAAAUUAAUUAUUUACUUAAAUAAUAUGGAAUUUUUUUAUCAAAAUAAUGAGAGAGAAAAUUUGAAUACAAAAAAAUCAACAUUACAACUGUCGAUUUGGGGUUGAAAUCGAUGCACUUAGUUCAUUGGGACCCCAAAUUGACAACCACCAUACUGAUUUGGUGUUUCUCAUGCCUUGUCAUGUUAGUACAAGGGACAAAGAUUCUCUGCUGCAUAGGAAGCCCAAAUCGGCAGUCGCUAUGUCGAUUUGGGUUCCCUAUGCAGUAGAAAAUCUCUACCCCCUACAUCGACAUGACCAAAGUUCUGGGAUUCCUGGACCUACCAUUCACAGGGUUCUUUAAAAACCCUAAAUUUUUAGGGACCAUUUGUAUCAAUUUGAAAAAGAAAAUAGAGAGUUGUUAAAAAAGAAUUGAGAGUUAAGUGAAGUGAAGGAAAGAAAAAAAUAAGAAGUUAAUAGAGUUUUUAAAUUUGUUAGAAGUUAAUUUUAGUUAGAGGAGGGUUAAGUGAAGUGAAGGAAAGAAAAGACUAGGAGUUAUUAGAGUUCAUGGAUUCGAUUAUCUAUCGACCUUAAAUCAAUCUGAGUUUAGCCCCGCUUAUGGGGGAUGCGAUCUACAUCCUGUUAAUUUAUUUAGUCAAUCAAUCCAUGUAACGACCCAAAAUUCGUGGGCACCGGAAAAGUGUGUUUUAUCGGGCCUCCGUCUUAGUAAACUGAGUCAUAAAUAAUUAUUAGAAAUAUUUACGAGACUACUUAUGUGUCUAAUUAGGUAUUAAUUAGGUGAAUUUAGUCUAAUUAAGAAUAAUUAGCAAAAAGGAUUAAAUUGAAUAAGGAGUGAAAGCCUAAUUAUAGAUUAAAAGAAAAUAAUAGGGACUAAAUAGGCAAUUAUGCCAAUUGCCAAAUUUGAGGCGGCAUAAGCAUAAAAAUCUGAGAUUUUUAUGUGUUAAAAUAUGUAUAUUUUAUAUAUAUUCUUAAUAAAUAAGUAUAUAAUAAAUUAAUUAUACAUAAAUAUCAUUAUUUCAAUUUAUACUUUUCACAUAUACUAUAUUAUUCGAGAUUGAUUUUGUCAGUAAGUUUAUUUCAUUUGUCCCUAUUAACUUGACUCGGACUCGGCGGAUACACGGAUUCCAACCAAACACACCAGUGAACAGUAAUCAGUAACGGUAGCAGUAACGGUAACAGUAACAGUAUUCAACACACAAAGUGCUGAACCUAUAACAGUAACGGUAACAGUAUUCGACACACAAAGUGCCGAGUCGGUAACAGUAACAGUAUUUGACACACAAAGUGCCGAAUCAGUAACAGUAACAGUAGUCGGCACAUAAGUGCCUGAUCAGUAAGCCAGCAAAUACCCCGUACACUUCCAUAUCCUAUGGCAUGCCAACUAUAUCCGACUAGCCCAACUAGUUAAUAGGGUAUUUAAUUUACUUUUCAGUACAAUUUCCAUUUUAGUUCAGUAUCGAUUAUAAAUUCCUUAUUUCAAUCAGUUUCACAGUAUUGCAGUAAUCACUACUACAGUAAUUUCACAAUUCAAUACAUUAUACGUAACAAAUUUUCAGUAUUUUCACAAUUCAUUCAGUACUCAUUUGCGUUCAUGUGGCUUCAAUUGUCGAGAUGCAUAAGCUAUUACUUUUCCUUCUUGCAUCAAUACACAACCCAGACCAUUCAGAGAAGCAUCACUAUACACAACAAAAUCUUUUCCCGAUUCCGGUAAUGUUAGAACUGGUGCCUCUGUCAACAUCUGUUUCAAUGUCUCAAAACUACUCUGGCACUGGUUAUUCCAAAUAAAAGGAACAUUUUUCUGUAGUAACUUGGUCAUCGGCAAAGCUAUCUUCGAAAACCCAUUUACAAAUCUUCUGUAAUACCCAGUCAGACCAAGAAAACUGCGUACCUCAGAUACAUUCUUUGGUGCCUUCCAUUGAACAAUUGCUUCAAUCUUCUUCGGAUCAACUCGAAUUCCAUCUGCAGAUACAACAUGCCCCAAAAAUACUACCUUUGACAACCAGAAUUCACAUUUACUCAGUUUCCCGUACAACUAUUUUUCCCACAGAAUCUGUAACACGGUUCGGAGAUGCUGCGGUAAUCUUUGCGUUGAAAAUUUGGAGGCAUUACUUGUAUGGUGAGAAAUGUUAUAUUUACACUGAUCAUAAAAGUCUCAAAUAUCUUCUAUCACAAAAGGAGUUGAAUCUGAGACAGAGACGAUGGAUAGAGCUUUUGAAAUAUUAUGAUUGUGUUAUAGAUUAUCAUCCAGGGAAAGCAAAUGUGGUAGCAGAUGCAUUAAGCAGAAAAGCAGCGGUUGAAUUACGGGCAAUGUUCGCUCAACUUAGUAUUAAUGAUGAUGGAAGUUUGUUAACUGAGUUAAGAAUUAAGCCGGUAAUGUUUGAUCAGAUUAGAGCAGCACAGAUGGAAGAUGAAAGGUUAAUGAAGAAAAGAGAAAUGGUACGGCAUGGUACGGCAAAAAACUUUAGUAUUGACGAGCAUGAUUGUUUGAGAUUUCAGAAUCGGAUUUGUAUUCCAGCUACUUCUGAGAUUAAAGAGUUGAUUCUCCGAAAAGCACAUGAUAGUACUUUUGCUUUGCACCCAGGUGGAACGAAGAUGUAUCGUGAUUUACGAGAACUGUAUUGGUGGCCAGGAAUGAAGAAGGAUAUAGUUGAAUAUGUCAGUAAAUACUUGACUUGUCAGCGGGUAAAAGUAGAACAUCAAGUACCAAUAGGUCUGUUACAGCCUAUUACUAUUCCUGAGUGGAAAUGGGAUUGCAUUACCAUUGAUUUUGUUACGGGGUUGCCAUUGUCAGUGAGUAAAAAGAAUGCCAUUUGGGUGGUAGUUGAUAGGCUUACUAAGUCUGCUCAUUUUAUAGCAGUCAGAACUGACUGGUCAUUACAGAAGCUAGCUGAGGUUUAUAUUCGGGAAAUUGUUAGAUUACAUGGAAUUCCAGUAUCGAUAAUUUCAGAUCGAGAUCCUCGGUUUACAUCGAGAUUUUGGAGGCAGCUACAUGAAUCAUUGGGUACUCGACUUAAUUUUAGUACAGCUUUCCAUCCUCAAACUGACGAACAAUCUGAACGGGUAAUUCAGAUAUUAGAAGAUAUGCUUCGAGCUUGUGUCAUUGAUUUUGAAUCAGGUUGGGAACGAUAUCUGCCACUAGCAGAAUUUGUUUAUAAUAAUAGUUUUCAAUCUAGUAUUCAAAUGGCUCCGUAUGAAGCACUUUAUGGUCGAAGGUGUCGAUCACCAGUGUGUUGGACAGAAUUAAAAGAAAGAAAAGUGAUUGGGCCGGAAUUGAUUCAAGAAAAAGAAGAAACAGUUAAAAAGAUUAAAGAUAGACUAAAAGCCGCUUUCGACAGACAUAAAUCUUACGCAGACUUGAAACGACGAGACAUUGAAUAUUCUGUUGGUGAUAAAGUAUUCCUCAAAGUAUCGCCGUGGAAGAAAAUUUUGAGAUUUGGUCGAAAGGGAAAAUUGAGUCCACAUUUUAUUGGGUCGUAUGAGAUUGUGGAAAGAAUUGGGCCUGUUGCUUAUCGAUUAGCCUUACCUCCAGAAUUACAGAAAAUUCAUGAUGUUUUUCAUGUUUCCAUGUUACGAAGGUAUCGAACGGAUCCAUCUCAUAUUAUUUCUACUGAAAAUAUUGAGAUUAGACCGGAUUUGUCAUAUGAAGAAAAACCAGUUCAAAUACUAGCUCGAGAAGUGAAAGAAUUAAGAAACAAACGGGUCCCUCUGGUAAAAGUACAGUGGAGAAGCCAUAGUGUGGAAGAAGCAACAUGGGAACCGGAGGAAAUUAUGAGAUCACAAUAUCCUCACUUAUUUUCAGGUAAAAUUUUGAGGACGAAAUUUUUUUAGGGGGGAAGAAAUGUAACGACCCAAAAUCCGUGGGCACCGGAAAGGUGUGUUUUAUCGGGCCUCCGUCUUAGUAAACUGAGUCAUAAAUAAUUAUUAGAAAUAUUUACGAGACUACUUGUGUGUCUAAUUAGGUAUUAAUUAGGUGAAUUUAGUCUAAUUAAGAAUAAUUAGCAAAAAGGAUUAAAUUGAAUAAGGAGUGAAAGCCUAAUUAUAGAUUAAAAGAAAAUAAUAGGGACUAAAUAGGCAAUUAUGCCAAUUGCCAAAUUUGAGGCGGCAUAAGCAUAAAAAUAUGAGAUUUUUAUGUGUUAAAAUAUGUAUAUUUUAUAUAUAUUCUUAAUAAAUAAGUAUAUAAUAAAUUAAUUAUACUAUAUUAUAUUAUUAUUAUAUAAAAGAAAUAAAUCAAAUGGUGCCAAAUGUAUGGUAAUAAAGUUGUACAAUUGUAAUAAAAUAUGUAUAUACACUUGUAUUAUAAUUAAAAAAAAUAUUAAUUAAUUAAAUUGUUAUUAAUAAAUUAUAUUAAUAUAAUAUAAAGUAAACGAAAUAAAAAGAAAAAGAAAGAAACAAAACAGAAAAGAAACAGAAUAGCAUUCGAAACAGAACAGAGAAAGAAGAAAAAGAAAGAAAAAGGGGAAAUAGGGUUUCUAAAGCUUGGAAUUUAAUUUGGUAAGUCAAUUUAGCCCUUUUCUUUUAAUUUUAAUGUUUUAGAAGUUUUAAGAUAAAGUUUUGUUAAAAAUAAGUUGAGGUUUUAGAAGUUUAUAGUUUAUUAAGCAUGGUUCAUGUUGAAUAAAUUGUUAAAUUAGGGAUGUAUUUGAUCGAAAUUUUGAUUGGAAUUGAAUAAAUGAUUGAAUUAUAAACUAAACUACAAGUUUUGAAUUUUAGGGAUUAAAUUGAAAUAAAUUCGAAAUUAUGAAAAUAUGAUAAAAAUUAGAUAGUUAAAUAUGAGUUUGGCAAGAAAUUGAGUAGCAAAAAGGUAUAAAUUGAGAAAGAAAAAUAUAUAGGUUUACUUAGGAUUAAAUUGAAAUUAAAGAAAAAGUUAGAUAAAAAUUUCAGCAAUAAAAUUGUGUUAUGUUAAUGAUUAUGAAAAUUAUCUUAAUUUUUUUCGUAGCUAAUAUCGCACCCGAGGCAUCCACGAGGAAAGGAAAAGAAAAAGUGGACGAGGAAUAGACACGAGAAUUACGGUUUGUAUCACUAUAAUUCAAAUUUCAUUAUUAUUAAGUGUUUAAUUUGUUAAUUAUGUGUGGUAAGUAUUUUAAGGUAAGUGUUUAAUAAACGAUAAAUUUAUAAUGUGAUAUUGGAAUUGAAACCGAUAUUGAAUUAAAUUAUGGAAUCCUGGAUAUUGUAUGAGUACUGAAUGAAUUGUGAAAAUACUGAAAAUUUGUUACGUAUAAUGUAUUGAAUUGUGAAAUUACUGUAGUAGUGAUUACUGCAAUACUGUGAAACUGAUUGAAAUAAGGAAUUUAUAAUCGAUACUGAACUAAAAUGGAAAUUGUACUGAAAAGUAAAUUAAAUACCCUAUUAACUAGUCGGGCUAGUCGGAUAUAGUUGGCAUGCCAUAGGAUAUGGAAGUGUACGGGGUAUUUGCCGGCUUACUGAUCAGGCACUUAUGUGCCGACUACUGUUACUGUUAUUGAUUCGGCACUUUGUGUGUCGAAUACUAUUACUGUUACCGACUCGGCACUUUGUGUGUCGAAUACUGUUACCGUUACUGUUAUAGGUUCAGCACUUUGUGUGUUGAAUACUGUUACUGUUACCGUUACUGAUUACUGUUCACUGGUGUGUUUGGUUGGAAUCAGUGUAUCCGCCGAGUCCGAGUCAAGUUAAUAGGGACAAAUGAAAUAAAUUUACUGACAAAAUCAAUCUCGAAUAAUAUAGUAUAUGUGAAAAGUAAAAAUUGAAAUAAAGAGAUAAUAAUGAUAUUUAUAUAUAAUUAAUUGAUAACAUUAAAAGAUUGAAUUGUUUAUUAGUAGUGAUAAUUGUAAUGAAAAGUAUAUGUGUAAUUUGAUGUAUAUAAUUAUAAAUUAAAUUAUAAUGAUACCACUGAGUAUAUGCAUACUCAACGUACGGUUGUUUCCGUGCGCAGGUUGUAGAAAUCAAGUACUGAACCAGCAUCCAAAGCCAGACCCGACUUCAGCAAACUUUUGGUGAUGUAUAUUUUCUUUUGGUAAUGUGGCAUGUACAUAGGAUGUGUAUAAAGGUUAUUAUGUUUUUAAUAUAAAUGGUUAAAAAUGUUAGUAUUAUAAGUUUAUGAAUUAUAAUGAAAGAAGUUUAUCUAUUUCUAUUUAAUUAGCAUAUUGAUAAAUUAUAUUGGUAUUAUAUUGAUUGAGUUCAAUUAGACUGUAUUUAGAAUAGAAAAUGAGAAUGUAAAAUGAAUUGGUUGAAUUGGUUGUGAUUGGAAAAUAUAUGAUUUUUAAUUGCAGGGGGUUUUAUGUAAAAACAAGCAGAAAUGCUGCCGAAAUUUUUCUAAAAAUGAAUGAAGUCAAUUACUAAAAUAUUAUAUGAAUUUAUGAUUUUAUCUUAAUGUGUUAAUAUUUAUUUAAGAAUUAUUGUAAAUUAUCUGAUAUGUCCGGUAAUGCCUCGUAACUCUAUUCUGGCGACGGUUUGGGGUUAGGGGGUGUUACAAUCCAAUAAAAAAAUUAAAUAUAUUUUUAGAAUCCCAUAAUUAGUAAAUUAAUUUAUCUUAUUCAGCAAUUCAUCAGACACGUGAUCCAAUCUAAGUAAUGUCAUACCUAGAACCUGUUUUGUACAGGCGCAAAAUUUUAAUAAUACAUUUUCCUUA